rnacentral:lncRNA from 1 species
AAGAGACGAGAUGGCUCCGGUGAAGCUGUACGGCGCGACCCUGUCGUGGAACGUCACCAGGUGCGUGGCGGCGCUGGAGGAGGCCGGCGUCGAGUACGAGCUCGUCCCCAUCAACUUCAGCACCGGCGAGCACAAGAGCCCCGACCACCUCGCCAGGAACGUACGUGCCCUACCAUGCCCUCCCCCCCUCUUGAAUUUACCAUCCGUGUCGAUAGUUCGGCGGCCCUGCGCCGUCUGCUUGCCUCUAAUCUCACGAGAUGAUGACGUCGAUUCGUUCGGUCCGUCGCUGCCAUCGGCGGAGCAAAAAGUCAGCCGACUCCCGCCGUGGGGGGUCGCUUCCAUGUCUCCAUCACUGUUUAUUUUAGCGGGGGCCGGAGAGAUGUCGCUGUCGCUCUCGUAUAAUCUAGCAGUACUGGUAUCACGAUUGAGACCAUGGUCCGAUGGGGCGUUUACAGGUCGAUGUUGGAGCAGAUCCUAGGUUCAGAUUGUACUUCGAUGAGGACGAUACAGGGCGAGUUUUUCCGCAGCUGGUCUCAGAUUGGCGAACCAUUUGGGCGUGGACCGCGUGGUGGACUAGAUUAACUAACACCUCCGGCUCCGCUGCUCCCCAAUCUUUUAGUCACUUGAAUUUCGCCAACUUACACUGUAGGAAAUUUAUAUUUUCACCACAUCCACGUUCCUGCUCCGACGACCCACGCCACUGGUAUGCCAAGUGUGUUAUUUACAUCUUCUCUUAAACCUUGUAAAUGUAAAUAUUUUUGAUUCAUUAUGGAAACUUGAUCUGGAUGUGCCAUUUAGUUUGCUUGUUCAUUGGUGCUUUGACAAGUUAAUUUUGGAACAAAUUGCAAGCUCAAGGAGGAAUACAGUCAGCAAAUCCCACGCCCUUCCUGCACCCAAGCACCGACAACGCCACCAACCACCCAGUUAUAUUACAAUUGUGUCACUUUUUGCCAAUAGAUCUCCCCCCUAAACCUUGUACUAAAAACAAAAUGAUUUGGGUAAAAUGUAAAAACUUGAUCUAGAUUGCCCUUUAAUCAUCUGCUAGUUCGAUUAGAGAUUUUAUUUUGUAGGUCUUAUAGGUUAGUCAUCCCUAUUCUUUGACUUGUUCCUUAUUAAUACACCACAUACAUCCAUCAGAUUUGCUUGGUGACAGGGAAGGUGUGGUAAUAAUAGGGUGGGUGUUAAGGUUUGCAAGAAGCAUGCUCCUUUCCAGUAUGGGCAUUCCCUGUGUACCUCACGGAAUAAACGAUCAUUGGUUCAGCAAACUAUCUUACAACAUUAACCCAGGAGUCCCAAGCAACCUGUGGAUGCUCAGAAAGUUGACAGAAAAACGUAAAUCAAAACAAAAUGUAGCCUGCAUUCAGUACCACCUAUUACGUCCUGUCGCAUUUUUUUGUUGCACAGCCACUACAGCAGCAUCUCAUGGAGACACUGCAAAAAACAUGCAUAAGUAGUACUCCCUCUGUACCUAAAUAAUUGUAGUUGGGGAGAACUAGACUAGUCCCUCCUUAAGUUCUCCUCAACUAUAAUUAUUUAGGUACGGAGGGAGUAUUUUGUUUGACCACCUAAUCUUAGUGUGAUAGUAAUCGUGACAUGUGGUUUCUGUUUUUAGAGAUUUGACAUAUGAUAAAACUGACUGUCUUCAUGUUGUUCUCUGCAGCCCUUUGGGCAGGUGCCAGCUUUGCAGGAUGGUGACUUGUAUGUCUUCGGUAUGAUCCUAUGUCUCGAGACGUUCUCUCUUUUCUACCCCUCAUAAACAGAGCUAUAAAGGGUCAUGAUGCUUUUACAUUAUUGUUGUUGUGGUUUGUUUUGCUGUUAAUGUUGUUGCCUUGUAGUAUAACAAAGGUAGCAUUUCCAUGAGCCUUUACUAAAAACAAAGGAACAGAUUCAUUUGGACUGAUGAUAAACCUUUAAAGGUGUUCUUCACAAAUCAGUAUGUGAUGACAUGAGUAAGAAAACAACGUUGCCUAAUUGUUAGCUGCCGCCUGGCAUUAUAAUUAGGAGUUAUACCUUUUUGGAGUUUUCAUCAACUACCAUCGAAUGCUUUAGUUCAGAAUGAUGAGGUAAUAAUUAUAGUUACCAACCACAAGAUUGGUCGGAAGACAAAAACAUGAGUUAUGGUAAGGUUUCCCAAGCAAUCAUAUAGUCUAUGCUUACGAGUUCUCAUUUGAAAUCUAAUCAAGUUUAGAAAUGAUCAUUUUACUAGUUUUAGACCUAUUUAUUGAAAUGGGAUAAAACAGUACCAUACUCCCUUUAGAAUCCUCAUAACUCUGGUUCUAUUUUCUUUUUCUCUUUGUAUUAGAAUCACGUGCUAUUUGCAAGUAUGCGUGCCGCAAGAACAAGCCAGAGCUGUUGAAGGAGGGCGACAUCAAGGAGUCAGCAAUGGUGGAUGUGUGGCUCGAGGUGGAGGCCCAUCAGUACACCGCCGCUCUGAGCCCCAUUCUCUUCGAGUGCCUUAUCCAUCCUAUGCUUGGGGGAGCCACUGACCAGAAGGUCAUCGACGACAACCUUGUUAAGAUCAAGAACGUGCUGGCGGUGUACGAGGCGCGGCUCACCAAGUCCAAGUACCUGGCUGGAGACUUCCUCAGCCUUGCGGACCUUAACCAUGCGUCUGUCACCCUGUGCUUGGCGGCCACACCCUAUGCAUCUCUGUUUGACGCUUACCCGCAUGUGAAGGCCUGGUGGACUGACCUGCUGACGAGGCCGUCCGUCCAGAAGGUCGCUGCGCUGAUGAAGCCAUGAUCUUAGUUUCUGGGGCUUGUUCGUCGAAAUAAGCCGAGGUGUGUCACCCCCGAUGUGUGCCUUUCCUAGUGUGUGUUCUUGUGAUGUGUCCUGGUGUUGAAUGUUCAGGCUUGUGCUUGCGAUCCUGUCGAAUCUUGUACUUAAAUGAGCAUUCCCGUGCUCUGGUUUGAUAAUAAAUUGUGCCCAGAUAUUGUCUCAGCCUCAAUAUUUUCUCAUCUGUUGCUUUGAUGAUAUGUCCAUUAGCCAUUUAUUAGCUGCCUGUGUAUCUUGAUUCUAUUUUUUUGAGAAUCACUUCUUUUUAGAAUCGUGAUUAUUUUCUGAGAAUCUAUGUAUCCUACUUGGAUGUAAGAAGGGAUCUGCUUUGGAAGAAGCAGCGAAAAUCUGAAGGCGAUCCAUAAGAUUGGGAACCUGUUCGUGCCAUUUGAUCCUCCUAUGUUGAAUUGUUUCAACGGUCAAAGAGCACCAUAUGAUUCUCAUAUAUUUGACAGUGUGCAUCCGUACCUAGGGUUUUCACCCCGGGACUCGAGACAAACCACCAAAUAGAAAUCAGGAUGUGUUGUGGCCACCAUUUCCCACGACCCCGGCAGCUACAUAUGCGUAGCAUGAUUUUACGUGAGACACCACACAAAUGAAGACCGUGCGUGAUUGUCGCCACGAGAGGCUCGAAACGUCAAGGGUCGACGUCACACAAACGACGAAGGUGUGCGACGAAGAUUGGUGAGGGAGGAAGGUCACCGGCACCGCUAAGAUCCCAAUUCGGGACACUUCAUCAGUACGACACACACCCCGAAGGUUAUUUUAUGCACAGUCGCAUAUAAUUCAAUCAUAAAUAUGUUUUUUUUUACCUCUGCAUCACUCGCAAAGAUGUCGGUCGCAUCCUUGAGCCCGAGAUGUGUCAUGUCGAGAUGUUCGUCGGCCAUCCGAAGAGCAUCCCGCUUCUUGGAUGUGAAGACUCGGUUGUUCCACGAGGCCUUCUUGCCCCAAUAGUGCAACACGCACUCAUACUCGAAAGAAGUCAACGACAUCUCCGAGAACUCCUCCUAGUCAUAUCUUGUGUAUUGGUCCGAGCAGUUGGUUGUGGGGAAGGAACGAGCCUAGAUGUCGCUUCUACCAUGAGGGACAUGUGCACAUCAAUACAUCAUCCUCAACAACCGAAGGAGACCCGCAGAUGGAUUAGGGCUUGAUAUAUGACGUGUUUUUUCAACAAGGAUCCAUCCUUAAGGCGAAAUGCAAGUAAAAUGCUUACUAAAUAGGUACAUGAUGAUUUCGCGACACCCGCUCUUCUGGAUUUUCUCAUCUUUCAAGGAUCAGUUGGGGGGGGGGGGCNNNNNNNNNNNNNNNNNNNNNNNNNNNNNNNNNNNNNNNNNNNNNNNNNNNNNNNNNNNNNNNNNNNNNNNNNNNNNNNNNNNNNNNNNNNNNNNNNNNNNNNNNNNNNNNNNNNNNNNNNNNNNNNNNNNNNNNNNNNNNNNNNNNNNNNNNNNNNNNNNNNNNNNNNNNNNNNNNNNNNNNNNNNNNNNNNNNNNNNNNNNNNNNNNNNNNNNNNNNNNNNNNNNNNNNNNNNNNNNNNNNNNNNNNNNNNNNNNNNNNNNNNNNNNNNNNNNNNNNNNNNNNNNNNNNNNNNNNNNNNNNNNNNNNNNNNNNNNNNNNUUGGUGUUCCCUUGAAGAGGAAGGGGUGAUGUAGCACAGCGGCGGUAAGUAUUUCCCCUUAGUUUGAGAACCAAGGUAUCAAUCCAGUAGGAGGAUCGCGUCAAGUCACAAGUACCUGCACAAACACAAAGAGCAUGCACCCAAUGCUAUGAAGGGGUUGUCAAUCCCUUAUAGAUUGUUUGCAAAGUGAGAACUGAAAGCAAAAAGUAAACAAAGCAAAGUAAAAGUAAAAGCUGAGAUGAUAACUGUGAAUAGACCCGGGGGCCGUAGUGUUCACUAGUGGCUUCUCUCAUGAAAGCAUGUAGACGGUGGGUGAACGAAUUAUUGUCGAGCAAUUGAUAGAACCGCGCAAAGUCAUGACUUUAUCUAUGGCAAUGAUCAUACAUAUAGGCAUCACGUCCAAAACAAGUAGACCGAUACUUUCUGCAUCUACUACUAUUACUCCACACGUCGACCGCUAUCCAGCAUGCAUCUAGUGUAUUGAGUUCAUAAGAACAGAGUAACGCCUUAAGCAAGAUGACACGAUGUAGAUGGACAAUCUCAAAUCUAUGAUGAAAGCCCAUCUUGUUACCCUUGAUGGCAACAACAGGAUGCGUGCCUUGCUGCCCCUUCUGUCACUGGGAAAGGUCACCGCACGGUAUGAACCCAAAACCAAGCACUUCUCCCAUUACAAGAAUCAUAGAUCUAGUUGGCCAAACAAAACCCAAGACUCGGAGAGACUUACAAGGAUAUCAAAUCAUGCAUAUAAGAAAUCAGCAAAGACUCAAAUAUAAUUCAUAGAUAAUAUGAUCACAAAUCCACAAUUCAUCGGAUCUCGACAAACACACCGCCAGAGAGGAUUACAUCGGAUAGAUCUCCAUGAAGAUCAUGGAGAACUUUGUAUUGAAGAUCCAAGAGAGAGAAGAAGCCAUCUAGCUACUAACUACGGACCUGUAGGUCUGAAGUAGACUACUCACGAGUCAUUGGAGAGGCAAUGAUGUUGAUGUAGAAGCCCUCCAGCUCCAAAGUCCCCUCCGGCAGGGCACCGGGAAGGGUCUCCAGAUGAGAUCUCGCGGAAACGGAAGCUUGCGGCGGCGAAAAAGUGGUUUCGUGGACGCUCUUAUUUUUUCUGGGAUUUUAGAGAAUAUAUAGGCCAAAGAGCUAGGGCAGGGGAGCUCCAGGGAGGCCACAAGCCUGGUAGCCGCGGGCCCCCUGGCCGCGGCUACACGGCUUGUGGGCUCCCUGUGGGCCUCCUGCCUUGGCCCUCAAGUCCCUCGAUCUUCUUCUGUUCUGGAAAAAUUCAUUUCGGGGAUUUUAUUCCGUUUGGACUCCGUUCCAAAAUCAGAUAUGAAAAGAGUCAAAAACACAGAAAAAACAGGAACUGGCACUUGGCACUGAAUUAAUAAGUUAGUCCCAAAAAAGAUAUAAAAGGUAUAUAAAACAUCCAAAGUUGACAAGAUAACAACAUGAAACCAUCAAAAAUUAUAGAUACGUUUGAGACGUAUCAAGCAUCCCCAAGCUUAACUCCUGCUCGUCCUCGAGUAGGGAAGUGAUAAAGAAUGAUUUUUUGAUGCUUUCAUGCUACCUAGCAUAGAUGUACUUUGUAACUCCUCUUAUGUGACAUGAAUGUUCAGAUCCGUUAGAUUCAAAACAAUAGUUUGCUAUUGACGUGGAGACAAUAAUACUUCAAGCAAACUAGCUAGGUAAUCAUGAACUUUCAAAAUAACAAGGCCAAAAGAAAGUUAUCCCUACAAAAUCAUAUAGUCUGGCUAUGCUCUAUCAUCCUUGCACAACGAAUUUAAAUCAUGCACAACCUCGGUAUUGGACAAGUAAUUGUUUUCACACCUUUACUUUCUCAAACCUUUUCAACUCUCACGCAAUACAUGAGCGUGAGCCAUGAUUUUAGCACUAUAAGUGGAAUGGAGUGUGGUGGAGGUUGCAAGGCAAACAAGGAGAAGAUGGUCACAUUGACUAGGCAUAUCAUUGAGCUAUGGAGAUGCUCAUCAAUAGAUAUCAAUGUGAAUGAGUAGGGAUUGCCAUACAAAUGAUGCACUAGAUCUAAGAGUAUGUGAAAGCUCUUAAAGAAAACUAGUGGGUGUGCAUCCAACUUGCUUUCUCACGAAGACCUAAGGCAAUUUUGAGGACGCCCGUCAUUGGAAUAUACAAGCCAAGUUAUAUAAUGAAAAAUUCCCACUAGCUAUAUGGUGGUGACAAAACGAGAGACUCUCAAUCAUGAAGAUCAUGGUGCUUAAUAUGAAGCACAAGUGUGGAAACGAGAUAGUAGCAUUGUCCCUUCUCUCUUUUUUUCUUUUUUUUUGGUGGGCUCUUUGGCCUUUUUUUUGGUGGGCAUCUUUGGCCUCUUUUUGUAAAUGGGCUUCGCUGGCCUCUUUUAUUUCCUUACAUGGGACAAUGUUCCAUCAGUGAUGAUCAUCACACUUACAACUCAAAACUUAGAGCAAUGAUGACUCUAUAUGAAAUGCCUUCGGUAGUGUACCGUGACUAUGAUCUAGCAUGGCAUAGACAUCAAUGGAAACAUCAUGCUAACUAUCUUAUGAUCAUGCAAUGACAAUGUAGAAGUGGUGGCACAUGUCAUGGUGGUAGUUGCAUGGCAAUAUAUCUCGGAAUGGCUUUGAAAAAGCCAUAGUAGGUAGGUAUGGUGGCUGUUUUGAGGGAGGCUAAUGGUGGGUUUUAUGCACCGACGAAAGUUGCACGACACUAAAGAAGAUAGUGAUGGUGGAAGGUGAAAGUGCAUCUAAACCAUGGACUCAACAUUAGUCAUGAAUAACUCGUAUACGUGUUGCAAAAGUUUUAGUAGUAAUCGAAACAAAGCAUUCAACGCAUACUCCUAGGGGAAGGGUUGGUAGGUAUAAACCAUCGCGCGAUCCCGACCGCUACACAAAGGAUGACAAUCAAUAAACUAAUCAUGCUCAGACUUCAUCACAUAGCGGUUCACCAUACGUGCAUGCUACGGGAAUCACUAACUUCAACACAAGUAUUUCUAGAUCCACAACACCUUACUAGUAUAACUCCAAUAUUACCACAACCACAACUCAAAACUAAUUGAGAGGAAUCAAUCUUCUCUAACUACUCAAUGCACAUGAAGGUGGAAGUUUUCAUAUCCCUUUGGAUAACUACCCCUUUUGAGACUACUUUCAUAGCAUAGAUCAACUACCACGCCACGCACUGACGUGCUCCAAAAGAUAGAAGUGAAGCACAUAGAGCAAAAUCAACUAGCUCAAAAGAUAUAUGUGAAGCUCGACACGGUGAGUGCAUGUCUCUCUCUCUAGGUGUGCAGCAAGGAAGAUUGUGACAAAACAAAAAUAAAAGACUCCUACGAUACAAGACGCUCCAAGCAAAACACAUAACAUGCGGUGAAUAAAAAUAUAGUCCCAAGCAACGUUACCGAUGGAUUGAAGACGAAAGAGGGGAUGCCUUCCCGGGGCAUCCCCAAGCUUAGGAUUUUUCGGCAUCCUUGAAUCAACUUGGGGUGCCUUGGGCAUCCCCAAGCUUGAGAUCUUGCCACUCUUUAUCUCUUUGUCCAUAAGAACUUCACCCAAAACUUGAAAACUUCACAACACGAAACUUAAACAGAAACUCGUGAUAUCAUUAGUAUAAGAAAGCAAAUCACCACUUCCUUAGGUAUUGUAGAAAACUUAAAUUCUACUUAUGUUGAUGUUGGGUUACUGUAUUUUCAACCUUCCAUGGCUAAUACCCCCCGAUACUAUCCAUAGUUUCAUCAAAAUAAGCAACCAACUCAACAAAAACAGAAUUUGUUAACAGCAGACCAGUCUGUAGCAAUCUGUAUACUUCGUAUACUUAUGGUACUUCAACAAUUCUGAACAAUUACGACAGUCUGAAGAAUUUGCGUAGAAAUCAGCAGCCAAAAGAAUCACCUCAAAAGCUCUCACAGAAAAAAAAUGAAAAUUCUUUUCGUGACCAGAAAGUUUCUGGCUUUUCCAGCAUGAUCAAACGAUCAUCCCCAAGACUAAUCAUAACGGUUUCACUUGGCACAAACGCAAAAGAAACACAAAAAACACAAUCAUAACAGAAUUAUGAAAGUGUGGAAAACACAAAACAAAAAGAAAAAGGAUAGAUUCGUUGGGUUGCCUCCCAACAAGCGCUAUUGUUUAACGCCCUUAGCUAGGCAUAAGGUGAUGGAAUCACGUAUAGUCAUCUUUGGUGCUCAAACCAUAAGUAGCCCUCAUCAUAGAUUCAUAAGGCAAUCUUAUUUUCUUUCUAGGAAAAUGCUCCAUGCCCUUAUUUAAAGGAAAUUGAAAUCUAAUAUUCCCUUUCUUCGUUUCGAUGAUAGCACCAAUAGUCCUUAGGAAAGGUCUACCAAGAAUAAUGGGACAUGAAGGAUUACAAUCUAUGUUAAGUACAAUGAAAUCCACGGGUACAUAGUUCUUAUUUGCAACAAUAAGAACAUCAUUGAUCCUUCCCAUGGGUUUCUUGACAGUAGAAUCCGCAAGACGCAAAUUAAGAGAACACUCUUCAAUCUCAUGAAAACCAAGAAUAUCACAUAAAGACUUUGGAAUCACGGAAACAAUAGCACCCAAAUCACACAAAGCAUUGCAUUCAUAGUUUUUGAUUUUGAUUUUGAUAGUAGGUUCCCACUCAUCAUGAAGUUUUCUAGGUAUAGAGACUUCUAAUUCGAGUUUAUCUUCAAGAGAUUUCAUCAUAGCAUCUAUGAUAUGUGCGGUAAAGGCUUUGCUUUGGCUAUAAGCAUGUGGAGAGUUUGCAAUGGAUUGCAUCAAGGAAAUGCAUUCAAACAAGGAGCAACUAUCAUAAUUGAAUUCCUUGAAAUCCAAAGUGGGAGUUUCAUUACUACCCAAUAUUUUGAUUUCUUCUACUCCACUCUCCACACCUUUAUCAUCAAGAUAGGUGGACUCUGAAUCAUUGGGGCGUUUCUCAACCAAAGUGUAUUCAUAUCCAGCCCCUUCGUCAAUAGGUUUGACACGCGAAAACAAAGAUUCAAGAAGAGUCACACCAAGCACUUUAAGAUCUUCGUGAUUUGCAUCACCAGAACGCACCCUUUUAAAUCAUUCAUGCCUAGCGCGGAUUUGGGCGGUUCUUUCUUUGCUCUCAUUCAUGGAGACACGCAUAGCUUUUAAAGUUUCAUCCAAGUUAACCUUGGGAGGAGCACAUCUAACUUUCAAAGCAUCAAUAUCACAAGACAUCCUAUCAACGCUCUUAGCCAAAAUCGUCUAUUUUUAGUAGUUUUUCCUCUAUGGACGCAUUGAAAAUCUUUUGAGAGUUGAUGAACUCUUGGAUAUCACUCUCUAAAUUAGAGGGUAAUUUGUUAUGCUUUCCAUAAGUGUUGUUGUAGGAAUUGCCAUAGCUGUUAGAGGCGUUACUAGGAAAAGGCCUAGGAACAUAGUUUCCUCUAAAAGCAUUGUUGUUGUCAAAAUUGUUCCUACCAACAAAACUAACGUCCAAACUAGCGUUGCUACUCUCAAUCAAGGAAGACAGUGGCAUGUCAUAAGGAUCUAAAGGAGCAUUUCUACUAGCAACAAAAUUCAUCAACUCGUCCAUCUUAGCACUAAGCGAGUUAAUUUCUUCUAUAGCGUGUACCUUUUUGCUAGCAGGUGUCCUUUCAGUGUGCCACUGAGAGUAGUUGGUCAUGAUAUUGUCUAGGAGUUUUGUAGCUUCUCCUAACGUGAUUUCCAUGAACGUUCCACCUAAGGCGGAGUCCAAGAUAUUUUGAGAGGCAAAAUUCAAACCAGCGUAAAAGAUUUGUAUAAUCAUCCACAAACUCAAGCCAUGAGCGGGACAAUUUCUAAUCAUUAACUUCAUCCUCUCCCAAGAUUGUGCAACGUGUUCAUGAUCAAGUUGCUUGAAAUUCAUGAUACCGUUACGGAGAGAGAUAAUCUUAGUCGGCAGAAAAUACUUGGAUAUGUAAGCAUCUUUGCACUUAUUCCAAGAAUCGAUACUAUUUUUAGGCAAAGAAGAAAACCAAGUUUUUGCACGAUCUCGCAAAGAGAACGGAAAAGGCUUCAAUUUAACAACAUCAUUAUCCACAUCUUUCCUCUUUUGCAUAUCGCAAAGUUCAAUGAAAGUGUUAAGAUGGAUGCGGCAUCUUCACUAGGAAGGCUAGAAAAUUGCUCUUUCAUAACAAGAUUCAGCAAGGCAGCAUUGAUUUCAUAUGAUUCCGCACUAGUGGCGGGAGCAAUCAGAGUACUAAUAAAAUCAUUAUUAUUAGUAUUCGAGAAGUCGCAAAGUUUGGUGUUUUCAGCCAUGAUGACUUCAACAAACAUACAAGAACACAAGCAAACAAGAAAUCUGGCAAAGGAAAACGACAAAAGGCAAAAGAAAACGGCAAAGGAGAAAGGCAAAUGAAAACGGCAAAUGUGAAGUGGGGGAGAGGAAAACGAGAGGCAACUGGCAAAAAAGGUAAAUGCAAGAGAUGAGUUUGUGACACUUACUUGGAUAGAUCUUGACUUGAUCUCUUCCCGGCAACGACGCCAGAAAUCCUUCUGCUCCUGGCUACACCUAUAGGGAUUUCCUUGGCAAAUAUGCAAAGGAUUCCCCUGCGGCCUUGGAGCCUUGCAUUGGUGUUCCCUUGAAGAGGAAAGGGUGAUGUAGCACAAUGGCGGUAAGUAUUUCCCUCAGUUUGAGAACCAAGGUAUCAAUCCAGUAGGAGGAUCGCGUCAAGUCACAAGUACCUGCACAAACACAUAGAGCUUCCACCCAACACUAUGAAGGGGUUGUCAAUCCCUUAUAGAUUGUUUGCAAAGUGAGAAUUGAAAGGAAAAACUAAACAAAGCAAAUAAAAGUAAAAGCUGAGAUGAUAAUUGUGAAUAUACCCGGGGGCCGUAGUGUUCACUAGUGGCUUCUCUCAUGAAAGCAAGUAGACGGUGGGUGAACGAAUUACUGUUGAGCAAUUGAUAGAACCACGCAAAGUCAUGACGUUAUCUAUGGCAAUGAUCAUACAUAUAGGCAUGACGUCCAAAACAAGUAGACCUAUACUUUCUGCAUCUACUACUAUUACUCCACACGUCGACCACUAUCUAGCAUGCAUCUAGUGUAUUGAGUUCAUAAGAACAGAGUAACGCCUUAAGCGAGAUGACAUGAUGUAGAUGGACAAUCUCAAAUAUAUGAUGAAAGCCCAUCUUGUUACCCUUGAUGGCAACAACACGAUGCGUGCCUUGCUGCCCCUUCUAUCACUGGGAAAGGUCACCGCACGGUAUGAACCCAAAACCAAGCACUUCUCCCAUUGCAAGAAUCAUAGAUCUAGUUGGCCAAACAAAACCCAAGACUUGGAGAGACUUACAAGGAUAUCAAAUCAUGCAUAUAAGAAAUCAACAAAGACUCAAAUAUAAUUCAUAGAUAAUCUGAUCACAAAUCCACAAUUCAUCGGAUCUCGACAAACACACCGCCAAAGAGGAUUACAUCGGAUAGAUCUCCAUGAAGAUCAUGGAGAACUUUGUAUUGAAGAUCCAAGAGAGAGAAGAAGCCAUCUAGCUACUAACUACAGACCCGUAGGUCUGAAGUAGACGACUCACGAGUCAUUGGAGAGGCAACGAUGUUGAUGUAGAAGCCCUCCAGCUCCAAAGUCCCCUCCGACACGGCACCGGGAAGGGUCUCCAGAUGAGAUCUCGCGGAAACGGAAGCUUGCGGCGGCGGAAAAGUGGUUUCGUGGACGCUCUUAUUUUUUUUAGGAUUUUAGUGAAUAUAUAGGCCAAAGAGCUAGGGCAGGGGAGCUCGACGGAGGCCACAAGCCUGGUAGCCGCGGGCCCCCCUGGCCGCGGCUACAGGGCUUGUGGGCUCCCUGUGGGCCUCCUGCCUUGGCCCUGAAGUCCCCCGAUCUUCUUCUGUUCUGGAAAAAUUCAUUUCGGGGAUUUUAUUCCGUUUGGACUCCGCUCCAAAAUCAGAUCUGAAAAAAGUCAAAAACAUAGAAAAAACAGGAACUGGCACUUGGCACUGAAUUAAUAAGUUAGUCCCAAAAAAGAUAUAAAAGGCAUAUAAAACAUCCAAAGUUGACAAGAUAACAACAUGAAACCAUCAAAAAUUAUAGAUACGUUUGAGACGUAUCACUAGUGCAUAAACCUUAACAUGGUAUCACAACCUAAGGACUUGAGUUCAAGUCCCCGCUUUCAGAGUUUAUCUAAAAAAUUGUUGUUGACCCCUUUGUCCACGUAUACACCUCUUGAGCCAUACCUCUGAGUUCGUCCAUAUGUUGACUUUCCCCGUCACUCGUGAGAGGGUGUCUUGAAGUGUAUAUGUGGAUUGUCUAACCCUUUGCACCAGUUCAGAUUUUUGGUUGCGUUGUCUAGUGCAUGAAUCUUAACAGUGUUGACGUUGCCCCUGGGCCGAGGAGCAUUCACACUAGGAUCUUGUCUUGUCAGACCGGGGCGACCAACUUCUGCAGCAUCGACUUGAAAUGGAGCUCCGCCCUGGUGGUGUAUGAUCAAAAUGAUGUCCUUGACAUUUAAGCCGACCUGAUAAGUAAUGCCAUCGCAUUGGGUGGUGACGAUGUUAUUGUCCUCGACUUGGCCGUGCUCCUGCCAAUCUGGAUUCCUGGUGUUUGGUCAAGGAACCGGGAAGUGGAGCUUGGUAGACCAUAGCCUCCAUUCCUGUUGAACAGAAGUAUACAACCAUCAGCAUGAAGUAUGUUAGAAUUGUGUCGAAUAUUUGUACAAGUUAGGUUUGAUUUGGACUUGGAUUUGGACUAUGCGUAAAUUGGGUAGGAGUCGUGUCCUAUUAGGACUCAUGUACCCCUAGGCCUCUUACAUAAUGAGAGGGUAGACACACGAUGUAACCUAUGCCAACAUAAUAGCACAUGCACGCAGGGGGAGCAGGUGGCGUGUGUCGUCGCCCGGGCGACCGGGGUGCGGUAUUAUAGCGGUGUCAUGAGGGGAGCACAUGUAGUCAGGCCUUGGGGAUGUAGCCGUAUCGGUGAACCUCGUUAACAAAUCUUGAUGUCGUGCCUUGUGUGAUUGCUUGGUCCCCGAUAGAUCGAUGAUACGCCUCGAAUUUAUUUUCACAAGUGGUAUCAAAGCAAGGUUGAAGGAGGCAUUGUUGAUCUAGAGGGAGGGUGGAUGUGUUCACAUGGAUUUAUGGGCUUGAGAGCUGAUAGGGUCAUUGUAAGGCGUUGUCGUGCAGAAUAAUCGAAAUUUGCAGAACACGUUGAUGAGGAGGUUGGCUAGGGCGCGUUAUUCGAUGGCAACGUGAAGGCAUCCAUUGAAGGCUGACUUGGUUCGCUGAUUUAGUUUGUUACAAGUGAUCGUGUAUUAGUGGCCGGAAGCGGUGAUCAAAGCAAUCAGGAGGCACGAGCUCGGGCGAAAACAACGACAGCGGAAUCGUGCAAAAGCCGGGAGUCUCGACGAGAUCGGGUCGAUCCACGCGGAUUUGGACGAGCGGCGCUACAGUUUAGGAGAGCUAGGGCAGCGACUCGAUCGAUCGGCAGCCAGUGUUCUGGUCGGCAAGGCUCAUACAAGGUGGAGGCCUAGGUGCACGUGGCAGAUGAUGUGGGCCCCUGAGAGCAUUGAGCGUGGCCCAUACGGCGCUGGAGGCGUGUGCUGGAUGGUUUAGGGCCAGUUCUUUUGAGUGAUGCUAUAGAAAUAAGCUCUUGUGGAAAUAAGCUAGAAAUAAACUCCCGUGGAAAUAAGCUUGAGAUAAUAAGCUAACAAGUUCUUUUCAAUGCCGAUUUUUUAGCUUAUCUGUGGUAUGGUCUACGAAAAUUAUGUAAUGCCCUUGACACAUUCAAAAUAACAACAGCAGGACAUACACAUCAACCAAAUUAUGUCUCUAAAAUUUGUACUAACAUGGCACAAUCUACAACAUCCAAUCAACACAUCCUUACCAUAGCAAAUCUAGAUAAUUUUUUUGUAAAAAAAUCCACAUGAGCUGCACACCUUGUCGGACGUCAUGCUCACAGCCUAACCAGGAGGAGGGGAUGGGGAACGGGGGUCCUUCUAUGGAGUAUGACGUCAGCCGGAGUGGGUCACCAGCCGUCGGAGUGGAACCCUGGCCGGACCGGGCCAGGAGCUUCUGGUGGACACCAACGGAGAGAGGGGACGCGCCCUACGGAGGAUUCACACCUGAGGGAGCUGGGAUGGGAGAUGCAGGCCUACCCACAGGCCAUGUCGUCAGAUGGGAUCCGAGGACAAGCGGCAGCGGCGGUGCCUCGAGGAACCCUAGGCGAGAGCGAGAGAACAAGGGAGUGUGAGAGGGAGGGGAUCGAGUGCGAGCUACUCUAUCGUUUUUUCCCGUCGAGAACGGUCCCAAUGCGGGCCUAGGCAGUGGCAAUUUUGGCAUAAUAACAUCAAACAACAAGGCCACUUUGUUAUACCCUUUCAUUUUAAGUGAGAAGCUUGUGAGAAGCUGCGGGAAGCUAGCCGAACCCAACUUUUUUCUCUUGUACACGAACAUGAGAUGAAAAUAAGUUAAGCUAGAUUUUCCAAAACGAGUUUUUUUGGAUUAUUUUGACAAUAAAUUGUAAAAAGUUGGAAAAGAACUGGCCCUUAAUCAGGAGCUGCAAAGGCUGAGCUGUGUUCAACCAUGCGAGUGGAGCGCACAUACGUGGGAUUUGUUGCUGAUAAAGGCCGGUACGCGGAGGCUAGAAGCAAAUUAAUCACAGAACAGAAACAAAUCACAUGGAUAGCUUUGCAUGUGGUAUAAGUAUGUUGGCUGAAGGAAAAAAACAACAUCAAGCAUAGGAGAUUGUGCCAAGAGAAGCACCACCACAUGAGGACCAAAGGAUAUUUUCCUGGUUGGAUUUUACGGUAGGAGUGGAGUAACUUGGUAAGCAUAGCAAUGGCAUUUGAAGGUGUUGUAGAAGCCAUAGCAUCUAAGAUGGAAGUAUUGUGUGAUGGUUGAAGAUUCAUAGAAGAUAACUUGAGAGCCUAGAGUAUGUCAUGGUAGAUCCUGCAUAUAUAGGGCGUUCAAGGCAAUGCACAGAUGUGUGAGGUGGACACAACGCAUGGUGAAGCAUGAUUGAGUUGGGUAAUUUUGGCUGGGUUGGACUGGACAGUCUGAUGGGUCGACGGGGAUGUAGGUCAAAGCGGAAGAAAACGGUGAUUUCAACGAGGACAAUGGCAUAGGAGCGUGAUGUUGAUUUUGGCCAACUUCUGGGGCAUGGAAACAUGUGGUGCAUGCCUGGGGGCUUGUGCGGCUCCGACAAGACUAUGACGCAAGGUCGAUUCGAGGAAGUGUACACAUGAGAGCUUCAAGUCGACAGUGCGCGAGGUAGCACAACCAGCUACAUGGAGUCAUGCUGAAGGUGGGGCUGGAAUCUAAUGGGUGACUUCACUCUAUGCUGAUGGAGGGGCUAUGACGUAAGAAUUCGGAGAAUCGUAGCCUAUUUCAGUGGGACAACGCGAGACACGUGGAUAGGGGUGGGUACUAUCGUGGGAAUGAUCCUCAUAAUAGUACCGGGGUUAUAAAUGAGGGGCGGAGCCUAGCUAUGGCGCAGUGGAUACACUCAGAUGUAUGAGUUCAGGCCCCACUCGAGAGUGGUAACGACCCUACGUCUCGAGCCCGGAGGCUAGUGUUUGCUUAUGGGUGUGUGAGAUUAUAGAAUGCUCAACCCUUGUCCAGGAGCUUGGGUGCGACUUAUAUAGAGUGCACCAUGACUGACCGAGCACCAUUACAAAGGUGAGUUAAUGCAAAUAACUACAAAAUUUAUGAGUAACAACAACUCUAACUCCGAUGUUACUGGUAACACACGUCUUCCAUGCACUUCAUGUGGUAGUUUAAGUCUGUAGCCGUUGGAGUCUCUUCGCCGUCCAAGCCUUGCUGUAGUCAGAGUGUCGUGGUACGUUUGACUGACAGAAGACAAUCCGAGUGACCUUGUACAAGCUAAGUGAGAACUUUCUUGUACGAGUGAGACCAUGACUGCACCGGUAGCUUUGGGAAUAUUGAUGUCCAUGUGGGGUCUUAGGUGGGCCGUGGGAUGCAUGUCCGUGGGCCUACCCCUAAUGUACAACCCCGUGAGUAGCCCCUGAAUCGGUUGAGGUUUUACUAGCCGAGUGGAUGACACUCCUUAGUGUCCUCGGUGUCUCAGGGACGCCGAGGUUGUAGCUCGGGGCUACUUCACUCGGACUCUUAGUAAACCACUAUGGAUUCAAGAGUGAACAAAUCCGAGUGUUUGAGCAUGUUUGCAUGCCUGUAAUCGGUAAUAACUGAGUAUCUUUCAGGAAGAUGGAUUGACGAUUAGGACGAUCGUGAACUCAGAGCUUCGAAUGCCCAACGGCGAGAUAGGAGAUCCCACUUGUGCUAUUGUGAGGGCGAUCGGGUCGCCUUCUCGUUUUAUCUGAAUGAUUGAGGUCCCAUGGAAGGACGAGUUGCAGGAUGUUUUGCUCACCUCAUUUUGUGUCGUGGAUUUAGAAUCCAUUUGGGUUAUGAGGGAGGCAGCAUCUCCGCGCUUUUUGAAUUGAAGGAGCGCACACGAGGGGAGGAAACGUCAGCGACAUGGGUAGUGGAGGUAGCGGAGAGGCACCUCCAUUUCCGCGCAUGAGAUGUCGCUGUCGUGACAUAGGUGUGCUAUCCCAGGGAUCCUGUGGAUCCCCCUCGUACCGGUGAGGUACUUGUUGGUGUAUCUCCGGGUGGUGUAUAAAAGGGACAAGGUAGAGAGGGGAGAGGAUCACACUUCCAGAUCUUGUCCAUCUCCAUCUCCUCUCCGAACCUUGCCGAUGUAGUUGAGAGGUCUUCCCCGUCUCGAGCUUCCUCCUGCCUCGCCCAUAUCGCCACGCGACAUGGUGAAGGGUGCAACAGUGAAGGCCGAGCGGGCCAAGAAGGGUUCGCGCGGGUCUUCAUCGGGUGUCGGGGCGCUCUCGUCGGGUUGGAUUCAAGGCGACUCUAUGUCAUCCCCAGUCUGCAAGGGGCGCAUGCAGGAGCUGGAGAGUGAAGGUCUGGUGGUCCCAGGGAGCUGGCAACUGUCGGAAGAGGGCGAGCGGGAUCCCGUGCCGAGGGGCGACGAGCGAGCGCUCCUCGUCACCCAUGUGGAAAGAGGUUUUUCUAUGCCCCCGCAUCUAUUCUUCCGCGCAUUCCUGGACUUCUUUGGAGGGCAGCUUCAUCAUCUCCCUCCCUAAUGUUGUCUCGUACUUAGCUUCCUUCGUGUCCUUGUGCGAGAACUUCCUAGGAUGCUAUCCGCAUCGGUGAUACGUCCCAAACGUAUCUAUAAUUUAUGCUUGCUCCAUGCAAGUUUUGGGUGAUAUUGCUAUGUGUUUUGUACACUUUCAUAUCUUUUUCAACAUAUUUGGACUAACCUACUAACUCAGUGCACCCAGUGCCAGUUUCUGUCUGCUGAUGUGUGUGAAUUGCAGGUUUAUACCCAUAUUUACAGAUUCCACAGAAAAUAUAUAAAAACGAGUGUUCCAAAAGACUCCAGACGCUCGAAGGAGAGCCACAGGGGGGCCACCCCCCACCCAGGCGGCCACCUGGCGCGGCCUAGGGGGAGGCCGCGCCACCAGGCUGCCUGGGCAAGUGGCACCUCCCCUGGCGCCCCCCUUUGGCCCUAUUUUUACCCCCGUGGAGGAAACCCUAAUUCGAUAACCCUUUUCUCCAUAAGCAAUUCCAAUCUCCGCCGCCAUCGCCAACAAGUUUCGGGGGACCAAAAUUCCUAUGCCGGCACCGUGCUGGGAUGGGGAAGUGCCCCCGGAUUCAUCUCCAUCGACGUUGCUUCCUACCUCCAUGAAGCGGGAGUAGUUCCUCCUCGGGGCUGAGGUCUUCUACAUUAGCUAUGUGGUUAAUUCUCUCUCCCAUGAUGUGAUCUUGAUUGUGAUCAUAGGCUAUGUUAAUCUAGGGUGAUCCCAUGAUGUUUCCCCUUCUUCUAUGUAUUUGAUUGAUGUACUCAGUUGAUCUUAUCUAGUAUAAUCUCCGAGACCAUGGUGACAACGGUCUAUUGGACAUGGAUUAGAAGAAUAUCUUCAUGAGUGAUUUCCUCUUUUGUGAAUUGAUUGAAGAUUGAGAGUCUCUUGGUGCUUGUCUUUGACUAUCCUUGACAUAUGUUGUGGUGAUUGUGGUACUCUCUUUGGAUGGCCGUGGUGACAUUGGCAAAUCCAUAGAUGAGAACUACGAACACUGAGGUGUGCUUUUGUAGCCAUACAUGAUUCUCGUCCUCUCUUGAUCACAAAGGAAUGACCUCCGAGUACGUCUCCAUUGCAUGUUUUAGUGGAAAUAUCAUGUGAUUAGACUAUGUCAAUGUUGUUGGGAGUUGCCACUAGUGAAAGUAUGAAGCCUAGGCCUUGUUUCUCACCAUUGUUACACCGUUUGUGCUACUUUUGUCACUUGCUACCUUGCUGUAAUUUUUUAUUACAGAUUUAUAUUACCUUGCUUUGCCACACCUAUCACCCAUAUUUUACCAUCUCUCCGUUGAACUAUUGCACCUAUACAAUUUACCAUUGUAUUAGGUGUGUUGGGGACACAAGAGACUUCUUGUUUCUUAAUUGCAGGGUUGCUUGAGAGAGACCAUCUUCAACCUCUACUUCCCUGAGUUCGAUAAACCUUAGGUCAUCCACUUGAGGGAAAUUGCUCAUGUCCUACAAACCUCUGCGCUUGGAGGCCCAACAUAGUCUACAAGAAUAGAAGCGUGCGUUGACAUCAACCAGGGAUUGUUCAAGCACUUGUUUACAUCAAGCGUGCGUGGACAUCAACAGAAUGACGGCACGAGUGGCUCAGCUGCCACAGGGACUACAUAGAGCGCGCGAUGUGGCAUGCCAGUACCAUGGUCACCACGGUUACGGCUGCCACAAGGCCACACAAGCCCGGGGACCAUGUCCAUUGCGUCGACCGUACUCUUAUUAGUCACCAUUGAUGACCCACAAGUAUAGGGGAUCAAUCGUAGUCCUUUCGAUAAGUAAGAGUGUCGAACCCAACAAGGAGAAGAAGGCUUUGAUAAACGAGUUUCAGCAAGGUAAUAACCGCAAGCACUAAAAGUAGCGAUAACAAGUGAUGGUGUAGUGACGUGAAACGUAGCAAGCGAAAAGUAACAAGUAACAAGUAGUAGCAAUGGUGCAGCAAAGUGGCCCAAUCCCUUUUGUAUCAAGGGACAAGCCUGAACAAAGUCUUAUAAGAGGAAAAACGCUCCCGAGGACACACAGGAAUUUCUGUCAUACUAGUUUCAUCAUGUUCAUAUGAUUUGCGUUCGUUACUUUGAUAGUUUGAUAUGUGGGUGGACUGACGCUUGGGUACUGCCCUUUCUUGGACAAGCAUCCCACUUAUGAUUAACCCCUCUCGCAAGCAUCCGCAACUACGAAAGAAGAAUUAAGACAACGUCUAACCAUAGCAUUAAACUAGUGGAUCCAAAUCAGCCCCUUACGAAUCAACGCAUAGACUGGGGUUUAAGCUUCUGUUACUCUAGCAACCCAUCAUCUACUUACUACUCCCCAAUGCCUUCCUCUAGGCCCAAAGAUGGUGAAGUGUUAUGUAGUCGACGUUCACAUAACACCACUAGAGGAAAAGACAACAUACAUCAUAUCAAAAUACCGAACAAAUACCAAAUUCACAUGACUAUUAUCAGCAUGCCUUAUCCCAUGUCCUCAGGAACAAAAGUAACUACUCACAAAGCAUAAUCAUAAUCAUGAUCAGAGGUGUAAUGAGUAGCAUCAAGGAUAUGAACAUAAACUCUUCCACCAAGUAAUCGAACUAGCAUCAACUACAAAGAGUAAUCAACACUACUAGCAACCUUACAAGUACCAAUCGAAGUCGCGAAACGGAGAUUGGUUACAAGAGAUGAACUAGGGUUUGGAGAGGAGAUGGUGCUGAUGAAGAUGUUGAUGGAGAUGACUCCCCUCCGACGAGAGGAGUGUUGGUGAUGACGAUGGUGAUGAUUUCCCCCGCCGGGAGGGAAGUUUCCCCGGCAGGAUCGUCCUGCCGGAGCUCUAGAUUGGUUCUGCUCAAGUUCCGCCUCGUGGAGGCGGAGAAUCCACGAAAAAGCUCCACCCUGAUUUUUUCUCGGACGAAACCCUUCAUAUAGCAAAAGAGGGGGCCAGUGGGCGACCAGGGUGCCCACAAGCCCUGUUGCCGCGGCCACGGGGGUAGGCCGUGGCAACCAGGCUUGUGGGCCCCUGGCAGCUCCCCUCUCGCACCUCUUUCGCCCAGUAUUUUUUAUACAUUCCCAAAAAAUUCCACGUUGAUUUUCAGGGCAUUUGGAGUUGCGCAGAAUAGAGGACUCGGACCUGCUCCUUUUCUAGUCCAGAAUUCCAACUGCCGGUAUUCUCCCUCUUCAAAUAAACCUUGCAAAAUAAGAGAGAAAAGGCAUAAGUAUGGUACCACAAAGUAUAAUAACAGUCCAUAAAGCGAUAAAUAUCAACAUGAAAGCAUGAUGCAAAAUAAACGUAUCAACUCCCCCAAGCUUAGACCUCGCUUGUCCUCAAGCGAAAACCAAGAUCCAUAAACAUGUCCACAUGUUUAGGGAUGAAGGUGUCGAUAAAACAUAAUACGAACAUGAGGGCAUCAUGAUCACACAUAGAACAACAAUACAUCAUUGAGAUUCUUAUGGGAAAGUAACAAUUCCUUCACAAAGCAAAGUAUGAAAUAAAAACCUUACUGAGAAGUAGCCAACAACAGUCCAUAGUCAUUGAAGCAAUUGCAAUUUAUCAUAUCAUCAGAAAGAGUCAAAUAAGAGCUUGUAAAGCAAAUCCACAUACUCAAUCAUCUCUUUUGUUUUCCACAAUUGUUACAACUCAUGAGGUACUCAUGGUAUCAAAGUUUCAGUUGGACACAGAGAAAGAUAGGGGCUUAAAUUUUGCCUCCCAACCAUUUAACUCAAGGGUAAAGUCAACAAUAAUAGAGCAUAAGUACUCAUCUCCAAGUUGAUAUAUGAAUAUAGAUCUUUCCCAAGCAUAUGACGUUCACCAAGAAAAAGGCUAAAUAAGGAAUUGGUGAAGAUCACCAUGACUCUUACAAGGGCAAAAAGUAAAGGUACAAGAUAGGCCAUUCGCAAAGGGAAGCAGAGGUUGCCAUGCACUUUUGAGGUUUGGAUGCGUGUCCUCUUAGUGCGGGGAACGUCACUUUAUAUUGCCCCCUGUGAUAAAGAACUUUAUUAUGCAGUCUGUUGCUUUUAUGUCUUCCUCAUCACAGGUUCGUAUAAAGCUUAUUUUCCACACACUAAUAGAUCAUACAUAUUAGAGAGCAAUUUUUAUUGCUUGCACCGAUGACAACUUACUUGAAGGAUCUUAUUCAAUCCAUAGGUAGGUAUGGUGGACACUCAUGGCAAAACUGGGUUGAAGGUUUAUGGAUGCACAAGUAGUAUCUCUAGUUGGUGCGGGAGUUUUGGCUAAUAUGAGGUGGAAGCAAUCCUCACAUGCUAAGGGAUCUCUAAUCAUAUAACAAUGUUUGGAACUAAGUAAACACAAUUCAUUAUGUUGUCUUCCUUGUCCAACAUCUACUUCUAAGCAUGUAAUAGUUUGGCGAGUCCUCACAAUUACAGAAAGUGUCUAAGAUGAUAUAUUUAUAUGUGAACCUCUCUUUCCUUAUUACUUCUUAUUAAUUGCAACAAUGACUGAGGUCUAUGUUGGUCUAUUCUCAACAAGUUUAAAUCAUCAUACUUGUUAUAUGUGAAGCUAUCACUUUCCAUAAGAUCAUCUCAUGAUCUUUCAUGCUAUCGUUCUUUUCAUACUUUUGAUCACGGCACAAAACAAAGCCCUUGACUAAGAUACUCUUUAUUAUAUAGCUCGCAAGCUCGAAUACAUCGGGGGAGACACAAGGCAAAAGACUCAAACUAAACACUAAAGACUUAUUCCACUAAGAGAAGAAAUAAAAACUGAAAAGGAAAGAACUAAAACAAAGGUAAAAGCAAAAGAUACAAAGGUGAUAUGAUACCAGGGCAACUCCCCCAAGCUUGGCAUAAGCCAAGGGAGUUGCCCAUACCAAUGCUUAGUUGUCUUCCUUUGGUGGUGAUGGUGGUGGAGUCUUUGCCUUUGAUUCCAAGAGAGCUAUCAAUCUUUGAUUUAUACCUUGGAGAUCUGCGACAUGGUUUUCCAGCGAAAGAACUUCAUGAGAAUGGGAAAUAUUGCGAGCACGAGUUGUUUCACAAAAACUCAAGAGUUCAAUCAAGGAUGGAGACAACACGUGGAGGAAGGGUUGGUGAAAAUCCACUCCUUCAACGUCUUCAAUGUUGAACAUAGGUUGAACUUCCUCCCUAGCUUGGGUUUUCUCCUUAGCUUUGUCCCUGGCUUUCGUGACUUCUACUCUUUUCAGAUCAGCAUCUACUUCUUCAUGAACUUGAGGGAGAUUAUUCUCCCCAACAGAUUCCUGAGACAUCUUUGCUUUAAAUCUGCGGCAGACAACAGGCUCGAAACAAAAACAGAGGAAAACUGCGCGAUACGGAGAUCAAAACCCUCGGGCGUAUAUAUAAUGAUUUUUUCUGGACUAGAAGGAGUGCUCCGCAAGAAAACGGAGUCCGGGAGGCACACGAGGUGCCCACAAGCCCUGUUGCCAUGACCAGGGGGGAGACCGCGGCAACCAAGCUUGUGGCCGCCUCGUGCGCUCUCCGGACUGCUUUUUUUUUUCUAAUUUUCCAUAAAUUCCAAAACGGAGAAAAUUUCCUAUUGGAAAAGUUUCGGAGUCCAAUUACUUACCGAAACACAUACCUCUUCGUUUUCAGGGUCUAAAACAGGCUGAUAAACAUCCCUUAUGUACUCCUCUGGAGUUAUGAUAUUGAUGAUUUUGGUCUCAACAUUUUUGGGAGUACCAGAGAUAUAAUGCUUGAUUCUUUGCCCAUUUACCACUCUAGGAAAAUUACCUUCCGUGUUAUUGAUUUUGAUGACACCGGAAUGAUAUACUUCCUCGACAACGUAGGGACCUUCCCAUUUAGAGAGAAGCUUGCCUGCGAAGAAUAUUAAGCAAGAAUUGUAUAGCAGGACAUAAUCACCUACAUUGAACUCUUGUUUUUGUAUUAUUUUAUCGUGCCAUCUCUUAACCUUUUCCUUGAACAACUUGGCAUUCUCAUAUGCCUGGGCCCUCCAUUCAUCUAAUGAGCUGAUAUCAAACAACCGCUUCUCACCGGCAAGUUUGAAAUCGAAGUUGACCUCUUUGAUUGCCCAAUAAGCUUUGUGUUCCAGCUCAAGAGGUAAAUGACAGGCCUUACCAUAAACCAUUUUAUACGGCAACAUUCCCAUGGGAUUCUUAUAAGAAGUCCUAUAAGCCCAUAGUGCAUCGUCAAGUUUGCUAGACCAAUUCUUUCGAGAUCUAUUGACAGUCUUUUGUAAGCUCAAUUUGAUCUCCCUAUUACUCAACUCCACUUGACCACUAGACUGAGGAUGAUAAGGAGAUGCAACUCUAUGGUUGACAUCAUACUUAGCGAGCAUCUUGCGGAAAACACCAUGAAUGAAGUGUGAACCUCCAUCAGUCAUCAGAUAUUUAAGGACUCCAAAUCUUGGGAAAAUGACUUCUUUAAGCAUCUUAAUAGAGGUGUGGUGAUCAGCAUUUCUAGUGGGGAUAGCUUCUACCCACUUAGUGACGUAAUUCACAACAACUAAGAUGUGAGUAUACCCAUUGGAACUCGGGAAAGGUCCCAUAUAAUCAAAGCCCCAGACAUCAAAUGGUUCAAUGACAAGUGAAUAGUUCAUAGGCAUUUCCUGACGCUUACUGAUGUUCCCUAUUCUUUGGCAUUCGUCACAAGACAAGACAAACUUACAGGCAUCCUUGAAGAGAGUGGGCCAAUAGAAACCUAAUUGCAAUACCUUAUGAGCAGUUCUGUCUCCAGCAUGGUGUCCUCCGUAGGCUUUGGAAUGACACUUCUGCACGAUCUGUCCCUGUUCAUGUUCAGGCACAAAACGUCUAAUAACGCCAUCUACUCCUUCCUUAUAAAGGUGAGGAUCAUCCCAAAAGUAGUGUCUCAAAUCAAAGAAGAAUUUCUUCUUUUACUGGUAGGUGAAACUGGGUGGUAUGUAUUUGGCUACGAUAUAGUUUGCGUAAUCAGCAUACCACGGUGCACUAUGUGAAGUGCGGAUGACAUUCAAUUUCUCAUCAGGAAAGUUGUCAUCAAUAGGUCGUGGGUCAUCAAGGACAUUCUCUAGCCUAGACAAGUUAUCUCUACAGGGUUAUCAGCACCCUUUCGGUCAACAACGUGCAAAUCAAAUUCCUGUAGCAGGAGAACCCAUCUGAUUAGCCUAGGCUUAGCGUCCUUCUUCUCCGUAAGGUACUUAAUAGCAGCAUGAUCAGAGUGAAUAGUUACUUUGGAGUCAACUAUAUAAGAUCUGAACUUUUCACAUGCAAACACGAGUACUAAAAACUCCUUCUCCAUAGUGGCAUUGUUUCUUUGGACACUGUCUAGAGUUUUACUAGCAUAGUGAAUGACAUUCAACUUCUUGUCAACUGUUUGUCCUAAAACAGCACCAACAGCAUACUCACUAGCAUCGCACAUGAUUUCAAAGGGAAAGUUCCAAUCAGGUGAUUGAACAAUAGGUGCGGUUAUCAAGGCCUUCUUAAGAAUUUCGAAAGCUUCCUCACAAUCCUCAUCAAAAACAAAAGGAACAUCGUUCUGCAAGAGGUUGGUAAGAGGCCUAGAAAUCUUAGAGAAGUCUUUAAUGAACCUUCUAUAGAAACCAACAUGACCUAGGAAACUUCGUAUACCUCUGAUAUCUGUGGGGCAAGGCAUUUUCUCAAUUGCAUCAACCUUAGCCUUAUCAACUUCAAUGCCUUUCUCGGAGAAUUUGUGUCCUAAGACGAUGCCUUCAUUAACCAUGAAGUGGCACUUCUCCCAGUUCAAGACGAGGUUGGUAUCUUUGCUUCUGUGUAAGACUCGAUCAAGGUUGCUGAGGCAAUCGUCAAAGGAAGAACCGUAAACGGCGAAAUCAUAUAUGAAAACCUCAACAAUCUUUUCACAAAAGUCAGAGAAUAUUGCCAUCAUACAUCUUUGAAAGGUGGCAGGUGCAUUGCAUAAACCAAAAGGCAUACGUCUAUAAGCAAAUGUACCGAAGGGGCAGGUGAAAGUGGUUUUCUCCUGAUCAGAUUGUGCAACAGAUAUUUGCGAGAAACCUGAAUAACCAUCUAGAAACAAGAAGUGUGUGUGUUUAGAUAGCCUUUCUAGCAUUUGGUCGAUAAACGACAAAGGCUAAUGGUCUUUCCUGGUUGCCUUGUUCAGUUUUCGGAAGUCUAUCACCAUCCUAUAACGAGUAAUAAUCCUCUGUGGGAUUAGUUCAUUCUUAUCAUUAGGAACGACGGUGAUACCUCCCUUCUUAGGUACGCAAUGUACCGGACUUACCCAAUCACUAUGAGCAACAUGAUAAAUGAGUCAUGCUUCCAGAAGCUUUAAUAUUUAUUUUCUCACGACCUCUUCCAUCCUCGGAUUUAAUCUCCGUUGAUGAUCAGCAACUGGCUUAGAAUCAGGAUCAAUUUUAAUCCUAUGCUGACAUAGAGUGGGACUAAUACCCUUAAGAUCAUCAAGAGUAUAUCCAAUAGCAGCACGGUGCGUCCUCAAAGUUUUUAAUAACUUCUUCUUUUCGUGAUUCGAGAGGUGAGCACUAAUAAUAACAGGAUAUAUCUCCUUCUCAUCAAGAUAGGCAUACUUAAGAGUAUCUGGUAACUGUUUUAGCUCAAACACAGGAUCACCCUUUGGUGGGGGAGGAUCCCCAAGCAGUUCAACAUGCAGAUUAUUCUUGAGAAUAGGAUAUUGUUCUAAAACAAUUUUAUCUAUCUCAUCUCUUUCAUCCAUAUGCAUAUCAUUUUCAUGCUCAAGCAGAUAUUGCUCUAAAGGAUCCGUAGGAGGUACGGCAAUAGAGGAAAGAGCAAUGAUUUCAUCCCUACCAGACGACUCUUUUUCAUGAGGUUGUCUUCCAAACUUGGAGAAGUUAAAUUCAUGAGACACACCCUCGAAACUAACAGUGACAGUCUGUUUAACACAAUCAAUAUGAGCAUUGACAGUGUUGAGAAAGGGUCUACCAAAUAUGAUGGGACAAAAGCUAUCUUGUGAAGUAGCAAGGACGAGGAAAUCAGUAGGUGCAAUCUCAUCUUUGAUUUCAUCAUAUAGGGACCGGGGUAUUGCACUAACACUAGCACCCAUAUCACAUAAACCAUGAUAACAGUGAUCUCCUAUCUUGACAGAAACAACGGGCAGGCCAACUACAAAUCCGUAUUUGUCUUUCGCGUGAGGUUUAGCAAUUCUAGCGGAGUCCUCACAGAAUUUGAUAACAUGCCCGUCUAUGUCUUCGCCUAAGAGAUCUUUGAUAAUAGCAACACUAGGUUCAACUCUAAUUUCCUCAGGGGGAGCAAGUGGUCUAAUGUAACCCCUACGUAUCACAGUUGGAGCUUUAGAAUAAUCCUUUUUCCUAGCAGGGUAAGGUGGUUUCUCACCGUAGGCACAAGGAACAAUAGGAUCACUAAAGGCAAUGACUUUCUCAUCAACUAGAUUGGGUUUAACUAUGUUGACUUCUACAGGAGGAUGAUACUUAAACCAAUUCUCUUUGGGAAGAUCAACAUGAGCAGCAAAAGAUUCACAAAGAGAUCUCAGAGUCAAGUCAAUACUUAGCGCUAAAAUCUCUAGAAGUGUUUGUUUCAACAAAAGAUUUAACGCAAUCAAACUGGAAAUUCAUACCUGACUCCUUCCCUUCUUCAAGCUCCCAAUCUUCAGAGUUACAUUUGAUUCUUUCCAAUAAAUUCCACUUGUGGUCAAUAUCCUUCUUCAUAAAAGAACCGGUACAAGAAGUGUCAAGCAUGGUACGAUCUUCAUGAGAAAGCCGAGCAUAAAAGUUUUGAGUGAUAAUUUCUCUCUCGAGCUCAUGAUUGGGGCAUGAAUAUAGCAUUGAUUUAAGCCUCCCCCAAGCUUGAGCUAUGAUUUCCCUGUCAUGAGGCCAAAAGUUAUAAAUAUAAUUCCCAUCACGAUGUACUAAAUGCAUAGGAUAAAACUUUUGAUGAAAUUCCAAUUUCAACCGAUUGUAGUCCCAUGACCCAGUAUCAUCACAUAGCCUAUACUAUGUCAACACCUUAUACUUCAAAGAUAAAGGAAAGACUUUCUUCUUUACCUCAUCCUCGAGCAAACCUGCAAGCUUAAAUAAACCACAAACUUCAUUUACAUAUAUCAGAUGCAAGUCUGGAGGUGAUGAUCCAUCUCCUGUAAAAGGAUUAUCCAGCAGUUUCUCAAGCAUACCCGAAGGAAUUUCAUAAAAGAUAAUUUCAGUAGGUACCUCAGGUUGAGGAGCAACCGCUCGUGCUUCCGUUCAUGGUGAAGAUACCCCGAACAAAUUCCUCAAAGGAACAGUUUCCAUAGUGACAAGUGACAAUAAAUUUCAGCAUGGUAUAUAAAUGUUUCCUUACCAAAUUCCACUUACCAAAGGCGCUUCACUCCCCGGCAGUGGCGGCAGAAAAGAGUCUUGAUGACCCACAAGUAUAGGGGAUCAAUCGUAGUCCUUUCGAUAAGUAAGAGUGUCGAACCCAACGAGGAGAAGAAGGCUCUGAUAAACGGUUUUCAGCAAGGUAAUAACUGCGAGCACUGAAAGUAGCGAUAACAAGUGAUGGUGUAGGGAGGUGAAACGUAGCAAGCGAAAAGUAACAAGUAACAAGUAGUAGCAAUGGUGCAGCAAAGUGGUCCAAUCCCUUUUGUAGCAAGGGACAAGCCUGAACAAAGUCUUAUAAGAGGAAAAUGCUCCUGAGGACACACGGGAAUUUCUGUCAUGCUAGUUUCAUCAUGUUCAUAUGAUUCGCGUUCGUUACUUUGAUAGUUUGAUAUGUGGGUGGACCGGCGCUUGGGUACUGCACUUUCUUGGACAAGCAUCCCACUUGUGAUUAACCCCUCUCGCAAGCAUCCGCAACUAUGAAAGAAGAAUUAAGACAACGUAUAACCAUAGCAUUAAACUAGUGGAUCCAAAUCAGCCCCUUACGAAGCAACGCAUAGACUAGGGUUUAAGCUUCUGUCACUCUAGCAACCCAUCAUCUACUUACUACUCCCCAAUGCCUUCCUCUAGGCCCAAAUAUGGUGAAGUGUUAUGUAGUCGACGUUCACAUAACACCACUAGAGGAAAAGACAACAUACAUCAUAUCAAAAUGCCGAACGAAUACCAAAUUCACAUGACUAUUAUCAGCAUGACUUAUCCCAUGUCCUCGGGAACAAAAGUAACUAAUCACAAAGCAUAAUCAUAAUUAUGAUCAGAGGUGUAAUGAGUAGCAUCAAGGAUCUGAACAUAAACUCUUCCACCAAGUUAUCCAACCAGCAUCAACUACAAAGAGUAAUCAACACUACUAGCAACCUUACGAGUACCAAUCGGAGUCGCAAAACGGAGAUUGGUUACAAGAGAUGAACUAGGGUUUGGAGAGGAGAUGGUGCUGAUGAAGAUGUUGAUCGAGAUGACUCCCCUCCGACGAGAGGAGUGUUGGUGAUGACGAUGGCGACGAUUUCCCCCUGCGGGAGGGAAGUUCCAUGGUAGGAUCGUCCUGCCGGAGCUCUAGAUUGGUUCUGCUCAAGUUCCGCCUCGUGGCGGCAGAGAAUCCACAAAAAAUCUCCACCCUGAUUUUUUCUCGAACGAAACCCUUGAUAUAGCAAAAGAGGGGGGCGAGUGGGCCACCAGGGUGCCCACAAGCCCUGUUGCCGCGACCAGGGGGGUAGGCCGCGGCAAGCAGGCUUGUGGGCCCGUGGUAGCUCCCCUCUAACACUUCUUUCACCCAGUAUUUUUUAUAUAUUCCCAAAAAAAUCCACGUUGAUUUUUAGGGCAUUUGGAGUUCAGCAGAAUAGAGGACUCAGACUUGCUCCUUUUCCCGUCCAGAAUUCCAGCUGCCGGUAUUCUCCCUCUUCAAAUAAACCUUGCAAAAUAAGAGAGAAAAGGCAUAAGUAUGGUACCACAAAGUAUAAUAACAGUCCAUAAAGCGAUAAAUCUCAACAUGAAAGCAUGAUGCAAAAUUGAUGUAUCAACCAUCCAUCACUAGUUCAACGAAUCACACACUCCUGCGAAGUGUAGCAUCAACUACAGCUUCUGCGUGCAGAUUUGGGGAGGAUCUAGAGCUCAAAUGGGUUAGGGUUAGGGCAAGCUAGCAUGUCUGGGUUAAUUAGCAUAGGAAAGACUACAAACUGGCAAAGUUUGAAAGGAUUUGAAGAUCAAAUGAAUAUAGUUCCUUUAUAAAUCAUCUUUCUGGUCCAGGAUGAAAAUGAGCUCAUGGCACUCACAUGCAAGCCCUACUAAUGGUGAAACUUGGUGGAGGAGUGUUAUUUAGUAGUGCACACAUGUCCAAAAAUUUACAGAUCAUUGGUGCAUCCCUAGCUAGCACUUCCUUCACAAAGGUUCAGUUUUAACAGAAACUUAGCAGAGUUUUCCUGCUCAAAACUUGUACUCGACCAUCAGAUGUUUUUACAUAUUUGAACUAAAUAUGAUCCCUUGGAGCUAAGGGAAUUUAUUGGGAAUUUUCUAACGCAGGAAAAAUAGGGUUGCUUCACAAAGUGACAAUUCUGGUCAGAAAAGAAAUAGUUAUUCCAGCCAAAAUUUUACAUUGGGCAAUGAAAUAUUUUUGAAGAUUUUGAAAUCAUAUGAUACUGAGAACAUGUGUAAAAUGUUUUCGGGUUAAUAGCUUAUCCCAACUAUAGGUUGCUUCACAACCCAUGGUGAUGCCAUAAUAACCCAAAAUAGAAAAAGAAUUAUUUGAAACAGUUAAAUAUUGCAAAUUAUUCCAAGAAGUGUUUUGGCAAGAUGAGAAAGGUUUUGGGUUGCUUGGGACAAGAAAUCAGAGACUCACAAUCCAACUUGCUUGAAAUAAUUUGAAAAUCCACCAAUUUGCAAGUGAAACUCCAAAAUAUUUUGAAAGAAAAAGUUUGAAAAACCAGGGUGUUACAUUCUCUACCUCACUCUGAAAUUUCUUGAACCUUUCAAAGGUUUCAGACUUGUUUUUCAUUAAGUAGACAUACCCAUAUCUGCUUAAGUCAUCAGUGAGGGUGAGAACACAACGAUAGCCACCGCGAGCCUCAACGCUCAUUAGACCGCAUACAUGAGUAUGUAUUAUUUCCAAUAAGUUGGUUGCUCGCUCCAUUGUUCCAGAGAACGUAGUCUUUGUCAUCUUGCCCAUGAGGCACGGUUCACACGUGUCAAAUGAUUCAAAAUCAGGAGAUUCCAAAAGUCCAUAUGUGUGGAGUUUCUUCAUGUGCUUGACACCGAUAUGACCAAGGCGGCAGUGCCACAAGUAUGUGGGACUAUCAUUAUCAACCUUACAUCUUUUGGUACUCAUACUAUGCAUAUGUGUAACAUCACGUUUGAGAUUCAUCAAGAAUAAACCAUUGACCAGCAGGGCAUGACCAUAAAACAUAUCACUCAUAUAAAUGGAACAACCAUUAUUUUCAGAUUUAAAUGAGUAGCCAUCUUGCAUCAAGCAAGAUCCCGAUACAAUGUUCAUGCUCAAAGCUAGUACUAAAUAACAAUUAUUAAGGUUUAAAACUAAUCCUGAAGGUAGAUGUAGAGGUAGCGUGCCGACAGCGAUCACAUCGACCUUGGAACCAUUCCCGACGCGCAUCGUCACCUCGUCCUUUGCCAGCCUCCGCUUAUUCCGCAGUUCCUGCUUUGAGUUGCAAAUAUGAGCAACAACACCGGUAUCAAAUACUCAGGAGCUACUACGAGCGCUGGUAAGGUACACAUCAAUAACAUGUAUAUGAUAUAUACCUUUGACGUUGCCAGCCUUCUUAUCCGCGAAGUACUUGGGGCAGUUCCGCUUCCAGUGACCGGUUCCCUUGCAAUAAUAGCACUCAGUCUCAGGCUUGGGUCCAUUCUUUUUCUUCUUCCCGGCAAAUGGUUUACCGGGCACGAUAACUACUUUUCCGUAGUUCUUGAAGUUCUUUUUACCCUUGCCUUUCUUGAAACUGGUGGUCUUAUUCACCAUCAACACUUGACGUUCUUUCUUGAUUUCCACCUCCGCUGAUUUCAGCAUUGAAUACAACUCGGGAAUGGUCCUCUCCAUCCCUUGAAUGUUUUAGUUCAUCACAAAGCUCUUAUAUCUAGGUUGAAGCGACUGGAGGAUUCUGUCAAUGACCGCAUCAUCCAGAAGUUCAACACCCAGCUGAGUCAGACGGCCGUGCAACCCACACAUUCUGAGUAUGUGCUCAUUGACAAAACUAUUCUCCUCCAUCUUACAACUAAAGAACUUGUCGGAGACCUCAUAUCUCUCGACCCGGGCAUGAGCUUGGAAAACCAGUUUGAGCUCUUGGAACAUCUCAUAUGUUCCAUGAAGCUCAAAACGCCUUUGAAUCCCCGAUUCUAAACCGUAAAGCAUGCCGCACUAAACCAGGGAGUAAUCAUCACUCCGCGACUGCCAGGCGUUCAGAACGUCCUGGGCUGCCGUGGGAACGGAAGGGUCACCUAGCGGCGCAUCAAGGACAUAUGCCUUCUUGGAGGCAAUGAGGCUGAGCUUUAAGUUAUGGACCUAGUCCGCAUAGUUGCUUCCAUCAUCUUUGAGCUUGGUUUUCUCUAGGAACGCGUUGAAAUUGAGGUUGACAUUUGCGUUGGCCAUUGGAUCUGCAAUAUUUGUAAAGACAAUUUUAGACUAAGUUCAUGAGAAUUAAGUUCAUCUAAUCAAAUUAUUUAAUGAACUCCCACUUAGAUAGACAUCCCUCUAGUCAUCCAAGUGUUACAUGAUCCACGACGACUAGCCCGUGUCCGAUCAUCACGCGAGACGGACUAGUCAUCGAUGGUGAGCAUCUCCAUGCUGAUCGUAUCAUCCAUACGACUCAUGUUCGACCUUUCAGUCUCCCGUAUUCCGAGGCCAUGUCUGUACAUGCUAGGCUCGUCGAGUCAACCUAAAUGUUUUUCGUGUGUAAAUCUGGCUUACACCGUUGUAUUCGAACGUUAGAAUUUAUCACACCCAAUCUUCACAUGGUGCUUCGAGACAACGAUCCUUCGCAACGGUGCACACUUAGGGGAAUACAUAUCUGAAAAUUUAAUAAGGGAUCAUCUUAUCUUUGCUACCGUCGUUCUAAGCAAUAAGAUGAAAAACACGAUAAACAUCACAUGCAAUCAUAUAGUGACAUGAUAUGGCCAAUAUCAUCUUGCUCCUUUAAUCUCCAUCUUCGGGGCAUGACAUGAUCAUCAUUGUCACCGGCAUGACACCAUGAUCUCCAUCAUCAUGAUCUCCAUCAUUGUGUCUCCGUGAAGUCGUCUCGCCAACUAUUACUUCUACUACUAUAGCUAACGGUUAGGAAUAAAGUAAAGUAACCACAUGGCAUUGGAUCUGAUACAAUAAAUUAAGACAACUCCUAUGGCUCCUGCCAGUUGUCAUACUCAUCGACAUGCAAGUCAUGAAUCCUAUUACAAGAACAUGAUCAAUCUCAUACAUCACAUCCUUUUGGCCAUAUCACAUCAUAUGUCAUACCCUGCAAAAACAAGUUAGACGUCCUCUAAUUGUUGUUGCAAGUUUUAUGUGGCUGAUUUGGGUUUCUAGCAAGAACGCUUCUUACGUACGUGACAGCCACAACGUUGAUAUGUCAAUGCUAUUUACCCUUCAUAAGGACCCUUUUCAUCGAAUCCAAUUCGACUAAAGUGAGAGAGACAGACAUCCGCUAGCCACCUUAUGCACCAAACGCAUGUCAGGCGGUGGAACCAGUCUCACGUAAGCGUACUGUGAAGUCAGUUCGGGCCGCUUCAUCCCACAAUACUGCCGAAAAAAUAUAGGACUAGUAACGGCAAUCAAUUGACAAAAUCAUCGCCCACAACUUUUGUGUUCUACUCGUGCAUAGUAUCUACGUAUAGAACCUGGCUCGGAUACCACUGUUGGGGAACAUAGUAAUUUCAAAAAAAAACCUACGUCACACAAGGAUCUAUUUAGGAGAAACCAGCAACGAGCAAAGGGGUAGAGCAUCUUCAUACCUAUGAAGAUUGCUAACCGGAAGUGUUACUAGAAUGCCGUUGAUGGAGUCGUAGUCAUAUCAAUUCAGAUCGCGGAAGAGUCUGAUCUAAGCACCGAACAAUGGUGCCUUUGCGUUCAACACACGUGCAGCCUGGUGACGUCUCCUAUGCCUUGAUACAGUAAGGAGAGAGGAGAGGUUGAGGGAGAGCUCCCGCAGCAUGACGGCGUGGUGACGGUGGAGCUGCGUGGUACUCCAACAGGGCUUCGCCAAGUGCUACCGAGGACGAGAAGGAGGAGAGGUGUUGGGUAACUUAGCAUAAAUUCAAAAACAUUCCUACACACAUUCAGAUCUUCCUAUGGAGAUACCAGCAACGAGAGAGGGGUGAGUGCAUCUUCAUACCUUUGAAGAUCGCUAAGCGGAAGCGUUACUAGAACGCAGUUGAUGGAGUCGUACUCGCGGCGAUUCAGAUCGCGGUGUGUGAAAGGAUCGAUAUGGUUGACUAGAGGGGGGGGUGAAUAGACAACAACCACUUUUUAAUUAAACUUUGCAAGUUAUGGUAAACAACAUAUGGGUUCACAAAUAUUACGACAAUGAGGUGAACCCUAAUGAAGCUAACAACGAGAGCUAUUAAGACAAGUAAGAUAUAGACAACAACAUAAGCAUACACAAAGUAAGGUUUAGAGAUAACCACAAGUGGAACCGAUGGAGACGAGGAUGUGUUACCGAAGUUCCUUCCCUUUGACAGGAAGUACGUCUCCGUUGGAGCGGUGUGGAGGCACAAUGCUCCGCAAUAAGCCACUAAGGCCACCGUAUUCUCCUCACGCCCUCGCACGAUGCAAGGUACCGUGAUUCCACUAUAGGUGCCCUUGAAGGCGGCGACUGAACCUUUACAAACAAGGUUGGGGCAAACUCCACACAAAGCUUGGAGGCUCCCAAUACGACCACGAAGCUUCACCACAAUGGAAUAUGGCUUCGAGGUGACCUCAACCGUCUAGGAUGCUCAAACACCCAAGAGUAACAAGAUCCGCAAGAUCCGCAAGGGAUUGGUGGGGGAAUCAACUUUUCUCUUGGUGGAAGUGUGGAUCUAGGCCUUCUCAACCAAUCCCUAAAGAAUCAACAAGUUUGAUUGGCNUGACUCAAAUAAAGAGAACCGUAGAGAACGCCGGUCUUCUGUUCCAUGAACAAAGGGGGGCGAGUCGUCUUGUGCCGUUGACGUGUGUUAUUUGAAAUCUUAAUCACACAAACGGUUAGUCCUUUGCGGUACUGUCAUCAAUCACCAAAAUUACUUAGGCAUAAACUAUGCCCUAACAAUCUCCCCCUUUUUGGUGGAUUGAUGACAAUACCGGAUUUGCACAUAGAAUAAUAUGAGAACCAAAAGAUACAGAAAUAUGGCAAUAAGGAGCAUAUGACUCACAACAUAUGAUGGAAAUAAAUCUCACACAAGUUCAUGUCUCACAAAAGAUAGAAAAAUAGAAGCAAACCAAGUUCGAAGAAAAACACGAAGGAUAAGCAAAGCAAAGCAAAAGUUCGACUCUCAAAGCAAAUCUCCUAGACUCUCUCCCCCUUUGGCACAAGACACCAAAAAGGGGCACACCUAACGCCACAAGUGGUUACUCCUCAUCCUCAGCAUCGCCAGACUCGUCCGUACCCUCCGGGUCGUCCUGCUCCUCCUCUUCCUCCUCAAUGCCAGACCACUGGUACCCUUGAGCCCGCAUCCAAGUAGCCUCUGGAGUUAUGUCGUCCUCUGAUCCGCUGGAGAUGUCAACAUCAAGAGUCCUUAGGACACGUUUGUGCCUCUGACGAUUCUCCUUCUGAGCCAGGUGCAUCUGGUACUGGCCCUUAGCGUGCAUACAGAAUAGAGUCUUCAUCUUAUCCUGCAGUUUGAUGGCCCAACACGGCAUGGCAGAAGGGCGGGACUGAGAGGCGGUUCCUCUGUCAGCGGCAGUUUCUGUGUCAGUGUCCAUGUGCUGAGAGGAGGUUGAUGGGUUGGCCCAUUUAUCCUUGACGCGAAGCUUGACAGGAUCGUGCACAAUAUGGUCAGCCUGAAUGUAUAACUCCUCCCGCGGAUACGUGUCCUGCCACUUCUGACAGAUAUAAGCGAACAGAUAGGGCCCGUAGAUGGGAACCUUGCGCAUCAUGAUGCAGUUCGAGAGCUCAGUGAACAUCACAUCAGAAAUAUCAAGAGGGGCAGACUCCUUAGUCAUAGCCUCCUCACAGAGCAGCAGCAUCUCAGCUAGAGAGCCAUGAACCUCGUCGAAGUUGCCAAUGCGAGGGAAGAGGUUGUUGCGGAAGAUCCGAUGCAUGAUGUCCGGAUGCUUGGGGAGCACACCCUUCUUCACAUAGAGUUGCUGCAAUCUGUCCUUGGCGGGAGCCCUAUUAGUGGGAGCUGCAGCAUGAGGACGCGACCCAAGUGGAGUGUCAGCUCCCUGGCACUCAACCUUGAGGAAAGCCAUGAAUUCACGCCAGGUACCAGUCAUCUUCUGAGUCCGAGUCAUCCACACCAUGGAGCGCUCGUCAUCUGGAGAGAAGUGAACCAUGACAUAGAACUGGGCAAGAACAUUGGGGUCAAAGUCUGUCUUGAAAUUGAUGAUGUCCUUGAUGCCCAGUUUGUCAAUCAGAGAAAGAGCAUCACCAAAGUAGUCCAAGUUCCGCUGAAGAUGAGCUAGGUCAAUCCACUGAACGGGGACAAAGUUCUUCUUGAGAUUCAUGACAAUAUCACGGCAGAUCCUGCAGUGAUCCCUUGCCCAAACAUGCUCAACAUUCUUGAUCACAACCCGCUCUUGGAGAUAAUGGUUUUGAGUGCGGAACCGCAGAAAGUCCUUAGGGGGCAUUGUGCGGACAUUGAUCCCCUUGUCCUUUUGCGCGAUCUUUUUGAAGGCCUGCUUUUUGGGUUGCAGAUCUGAAGUGGCGGAGUCCUCUGGAGCCUCUGGGUUGCGAUAAUGCUUUGACUGCGUGUCCCGUGAGGGGUUCGAGCGGCGAGCACCACCUGUGACACAAAACACACACUGACAAGGAGCGACAAAAAGAGUCAAGGCAAUGAACUAGAAAAGGCAGAAAAGUAAACACUCAUUGCCAAGCACAUGAGAAGAAUACACAGUGAAUCCUCCUGACGGUAGUACCAUUGGGGUCCUAGCGGUAGUACCGCUACCCCUGGCGGUAGUACCACUGGGGUUUGGUUUUCAGAUCUGACAGAUAAAAUAGACCCCAUAGAUAUGGCUACACGAAUUUUACGAGGGGCAUGGGCUGUGUAUGAACACUAAGAACUCCACCACAGCCCUACUCACAUGAGGAUCACAAGUACCACCGAAAUAAGUACAUGCCUAGGCAAGAGAGAGCAAGUUUUAGAUCUAAUCCAAACAUAGUUCAAGUGCUUGAUCUAAAACAUGUAAAUCCUAGGGCAUGGCAAAAUAAACAUCAAAGAUUCAUAGGACCUACAGUCCCCUCACAUAUCUCCUUCAUGCCAUCCAAGAACAAGGCACAAGAUCAAAGACAUGGAUCCAAACCACCAAUGCUCCUAACCCUAGAACAAGAACAUCAACCAAGAGAAGAAGGGGAGGAGCUUUACCGGGAUUCAUGGCCCUUGGAGUAGGAAGGAGAAGUGGAGCAAAACCUCCAAUCCAACGGAGAGAAAGAGCUCCACGAAUAGAGAUCAAAAUAGGGGGAUUUCGGGGUUGGGGAGGGACAAGCCGCGAGGAAGAAGAAAGAACCAGGGAAAAACGGGCUCCCCCUCCUUUAUAUAGCCCAAGGGGUACGGGCCAGCGGUAGUACCGCUGUGGUCCUAGCGGUAGUACCGCUACCUGGCGGUAGUACCGCUGGAUGCAACGGUAGUACCGCUGGGUUCCUAGUGGUAGUACCGCUCCCCCUGGCGGUAGUACCGCUCCCCCUGAGACAGCCCUAAAGAAAUUCCUAGUUAGGUCGUGGUAGAUUGGGAUCCUGGCGGUAGUACCGCUAGCCCUAGCGGUAGUACCACGGGGGCCAAGCGGUAGUACCGCUACCCCGGGCGGUAGUACCGCUGGGGUCCUGGCGGUAGUACCGCUACCCCUGGCGGUAGUACCGCUGCAAAUGUCACAACGGGACCUAGGAAAGAGAAGAACGUGGGCAAAUGACAAGUAAGUGGAAAAAGAAGAUAGCACCAGAAAUAUAUACUGACUUGUCAUUUUAUAUCCUUUCUUCGAUAUGAGAGAAAGGUGGGGGGCGGUGGCCGAGGCCACCUAUGUUUGAGACAACGGUAUGACACCGCGAAGAAUUAUCCUUGGGUUCAUGACCAAUACUCGUCUUUGAAGCACAAGUGCCAUUUGACAAUGGCUAAAGUGAAAGACUAGAUUGAUUUAUGCAUAAUGGGGGGAGGGAAAGUUCAUUGAGAGAACAACACUCCCCCUAUGUCCAUGCCUACAUCUAGACCAAGAUAGAAUGUAAAGUGAGGUGCAACAUGCCUAGCUUCAAUCCACAUUACUUGAAUCAAUGAUAUUUAGCUCAUGCCUUAACUCCCGGAACCUUGCUUCAUCUAGAGGCUUAGUGAAAAUAUCUGCAAGUUUCUCUUCAGUGUGGAUGAAGUGAACCUCAAUAUCACCUAGCUUGAUAUGUUCACGAAUAAAGUGAUGGCGAAUAUCAAUAUGUUUGGUUUUGCUAUGUUGCACUGGGUUGAGGGAAAUCUUGAUAGCACUUUGAUUGUCACAUAGAAGAGGCACUUUGUCACAAGUGACACCAUAAUUCUUUAAAGUUUGCCUCAUCCAUAGCAAUUGUGCACAACAACUUGCAGCUGCCACAUACUCAGCUUCGGUGGAUGAUAAAGAGACACAGUUCUGCUUCUUUGACGACCAACUUACCAACGAGCGAGCAAGGAAUUGGCAUCGUCCAUACGUUGACUUCCUCUCCACACAAUCUCCUGCCCAAUCUGAGUCAGAAUAGCCAACUAGAUUGAAGUUUGUUCCUUUGGGAUACCAAAGGCCAAAGUUUGGGGUAUGAGCCAAAUAUUGAAAGAUUCGCUUAACAGCCAUGUAAUGGCUUUCAUUUGGUGCGGAUUGAAACCAUGCACAUAUCCCUACACUCAACAUAAUAUCCGGUCUAGAUGCACAAAGGUAAAGGAGGGAUCCAAUCAUGGAGCGAUAUACCUUUUGAUCCACUGCUUUACCAUUGGGAUCAUUGUCAAGCUUGCAUCUUGUUGGCAUGGGGAAUUUGACCGGUUUGACAUCUUCGAGCUCGAACCGUUUGAGCAUGUCUUGAGUGUACUUGGCUUGUUUGAUGAAUGUCCCUUCUAGACCUUGUUUAAUCUCGAACCCGAGAAAGAACUUCAACUCUCCCAUCAUGGACAUCUCAAACUUCUCUGUCAUUAGUGCAGCAAAUUCUUCAUUGAAGGAAAUGUUAGGAGAGCCAAAGAUAAUAUCAUCAACAUAUAGUUGGCAUAUGAACAAAUCCCCUUUAACCCUCUUAGUAAGAAGAGUGGGAUCUAUCUUCCCAAUUUCAAACCCACGAUCUUGUAACAACUCAGUAAGAUACUCAUACCACGCACGUGGGGCUUGUUUAAGGCCAUAGAGUGCCUUAUUAAGUUUGUACACAUGAUUGGGGGAGCUUGGAAUGUUCGAAUCCCGGGGGUUGUUUGACAUAGACCAACUCAUUUAAAGGACCAUUAAGAAAGGCACUUUUCACAUCCAUUUGUUGUAAUUUGAAGUUAUGAUGAGAGGCAAAUGCAAGCAACAUGCGAAUAGAUUCUAGACGAGCAACAGGGGCAAAGGUUUCACCGUAGUCGAUACCCUCGACUUGGGAGUAGCCUUGAGCCACCAAUAUUGCCUUGUUUCGAAUCACAAUCCCAUUGGCAUCUUGCUUGUUCUUGAAUAUCCAUUUGGUCCCGAUGACAUUGUGUUCCUCCGUUGGUCUAGGCACUAAAUCCCAGACUUGGUUGCGCUCGAAGUUGUUAAGUUCUUCAUGCAUGGCCAUAAGCCAAUCCUCAUCAUCGAGUGCUUCCUGUACCUAUUGAGGUUCACAAUACGAAACAAACGCGUGAUGCUCACAAUAAUUCCAAAUCUGUUGACGGGUGGAUACUCCCCUUUUCAAACUGCCAAGUACAUUCUUCAUAAGAUGUGACUUGACUGUCAGCUUGUUCGCAAUCUUGGCUGCUCGACGCUCCAUGAGUUCUUCAUUAGAUAACGGGGGAGCAUCGACUUGUUUACUUUGCUUGCCCUUGCGUCUUGAGCCGGCUGUUGGUGCUGCAGAAGGGAAUUGUGAGACAGUCUCCUGGUCUUCUUGUCCUUCGACUUGAGCAGGUUCACUAGUUUGUUCUUGUAUUUGUGGUUGCUCUUGAUCUUGAUCGUGUGCUUCUACUUGGUCUGGAUCUCGUGGUUGCACUUGAUCUUGAUCAUGAGCAGGUUCGGAGUCUUGGGAGAGUGCUUGAAUAUCCUGAGACACUUCAUCAUUGUUGGGCAAUUUAUCUUGACCUUGAGCUUGUUCAUUUUGUUGAGAGUCUUCUCUCUGUUCAUCGGAAGCAUGCAGAACUUGUGGAUGUGAUGGCUCCACUUGAGUAGAGCAUUGUCCUUCUCCUUCGACCACAAGGGGUUCCUCAAUGGGGAGUAUUUGACCAAUCCCCAUUCUUCUUAUGGCUUGGGGAGGAAUUUCAUCACCUACAUCACAAAGACCACUUUGCUCCACUUGGGAGCCAUUAUUUUCAUCAAACUCCACGUUAUACGUCUCCUCAAUGAGUCCGGUGGACUUGUUGAGGACACGGUAAGCAUGAGAGUUUGUAGCAUAACCAACAAAGAUGUCCUCAUGUGCUCUAGAGUCAAAUUUAGCUAACCGUGCACCUUUCUUGAGAAUGAAACACUUACAACCGAAUACCCGGAAGUACUUGAGAUUGGGUUUGUUUCCAGUUAGAAUCUCAUACGGAGUCUUGUUCAAGCCUUUGCGAAAAUAGAGCCGAUUGGAUGCAUGACAUGGUUUGUUGAUGGCCUCUGCCCAGAAGUUAUAUGGAGAUUUGAAUUCUGCCAUCAUUGUCCUUGCGGCGUCUAUCAAGGUCCGGUUCUUCCUUUCUGCCACGCCGAUUUGUUGAGGGGUAUAUGGUGCAGAAUAUUGGUGUUUUAUUCCCUCAUCACCUAGAAACUCAUCCAAGGUGUAGUUCUUGAACUCGGUGCCGUUGUCACUUCUAAUCAUAAAGAUCUUUGCUUCAUGUUGACGUUGGGCUUCAUUAGCAAAGUUGAUGACAGUUUGUUGAGUUUCACUCUUCUUUUUGAAGAAAUAUACCCAGGUAUAUCUUGAGUAGUCGUCAACGAUCACCAAGCAAUACUUUCUGCCUCCAAGACUAUCAAAUGAUGGAGGACCAAACAGAUCCAUAUGGAGAAGCUCCAAUGGCCUCUUAGUGUAGAUAAGAGUCGUUGGAUGAUGAGCAGUUUCAUGAAUCUUUCCUUCAAUGCAGGCACUGCAAACACGAUCUUUAGCAAAACUCACAUUUGUUAGUCCACGAAUAUGCUCCCCUGUCAGAAGGCUUUGCAAAUAUCUCAUAUUGACAUGAGCUAAACGGCGAUGCCAAAGGCAGCCCACAUCAACUUUAGCCAUUAAACAUGUCGCGGUCUUAGUGGGUCGCUUUGAGAAGUUCACCACAUAAUACUACAACAAAACAGACUUUAAAUAACACAAUCAUGUAACACAUUGAAAAAUGUGUGACAAGGGAAAUUGUUGUAACAGAUUAUUUUGUGUCCAACGACAGGCAGUAACACAUACUAUAUAAGCCUCAAAAUGUGUUACAGGAAUAUUUCAAUAGUAACAUAUAAAAUAUGUGUUGGUCGAAUGUGUUACGUAUAUUUUGACACGGUAACAUAUAAAUAUGUGUUAGUAAAAUGUGUUACGUAGGUUGAGACAUAAUGUUACAGGCUUUAUUAUAUGAGGGACUAGAAAAAUUAAAAUCAGUUGGAUACAUAGAUCACAAAUACCUUGACACAUAGGGCUCAUGCGUCAAUAUGAUUUUUUAUAAAUAUGUUCUUGUUUUGGUAAAUAGUCCUUUCAUACUUUGGUAAUAUGGUAUGAAAAAGUAAUACAAUUUGGUUAAUAAAUAUCAAAUUAUUUUUGGUAUGGUUGCAAUAAAUAUCAUAUUAACCAUAUUUUACAUGAAUUUUAGGAUGACUUCGACCUCCUCUGUAACACGAGCUUGAGGGAGAACGGAAGGGAGGGAGAGUGUUGCAAGAAGAAGUGGAUAGUGUAUGGUGGGACAAGACUGUUGGCGCAACUGAUAAGGCACAUGCAGUCCAGGUUGACAACAUUGUCCGACACAGCAAGCAGUGGCGAUUCCUUUCGGCCAGACACGUGUAUGUGUACGUACAUAUGAGCGAGUAGAAGCAGAUGAUCGAUUUUCAUUGGAAGUUGGCUCGUGCACCUAGCAAACGGAGUCGUGCACCUAGCAAACGGAGUCGACCAGAUACACCCACACAACUACAUAGCCAGCAGGUAGAUCGAUCAUUCCCGCCCCACCAGGUAGAUCGAUCAUUCCCGCACCCCCACGACACGACCGGGUACGAAGCCAUGUUCCUCGCCGACGAUGAUGUGGCUGCGCUUGACGUUGUCAUGUGUCUUGUCGAAUUUGCAUAUGGUCACGCGACCACCAAACACCUCAGCAAUGGCGUCUGGCAGGCCGUGAGGCCUUGCUCUCGUUCUCCUCGCGUCAAGCGGGACCAAAUCAGAGGAAAUCGCCAGACAAGGCAAUCAUGCAGUCUGGUAAUCUACGUGAGGCCCCGCUGCUCUUUUUUCUAGCGUAUCUAUGAUGCAGUGCAUCCCUGAAGCUCCUGUGCUACUAUUCUUCUGCAACACCUCAACCCCAUCCGCAGGUCUUCUACAACUCAAGCUCUCCACGGUUGUUCUUCUUCAUCACCUACAGCUUCUACAUCUACAACUUGAAUUGAAUAGGAACUAAUCUCUGAAUCUAUCUCUUCUCUUGUUACCAUCUCUUCUCUUGUUACUGUUAGCCUUCGCUGGAAAUUGAGAUAGUAGUUAAAUUUGUAUGAGACAACUUGUGAGUUACUAGUGAAUUUGAUCUGAUGCAUGAGAUGUGUGUGAUGGCCGAAUCCUCUACUCUAUGCUAGUGUUUAUUUGCCCGUUUGAUUAACUAUAAAAUGACCAAAAAAACAUGUUGAAUUACACACGCAAAGGUUGGUUCACAACGACAAAGAAGGAAGUGUUGAAUCAACCAUCCAGGUUUAAGUUCGAACAUACGUAAACUUAGUUUACAAGAUAGUAAGUCUGACAUAAAACUUCUACAACAAAAAUGUAUCUAUUUCCAAUGACAAUCAGUCAUACAUGAAACUUAAGUUCGCUAAAAAAUUAUGUGGUUGCGCUCCAUGCUGCACAGAACAGAACAAGAUGCACUGUGUUCGGCAAAAGCCAACUUUUUUUACGAGAAAAAACUGAUAGAUCCUUUGGAGCAGGGUCAAACCCCGAAAGAAUUUAAUACAAAUAUUUUUAGAACCUGUAACUUCAUGUUCUGUGUAUAUAUGAUAGAUAACUGGUAUAGAAAUAAAAUAAAGCUAUCACCCAGGGAUUAGUAGGGAGAAAAGAACUGUAAAAGGCAAGUUUAAAGGAGUGCUCCAGCAAGCAUGUUCAUAUCCUGAAGCUCUGCCUAGCCGUUCAUCCAACACUACUAAACAGAGCACAGGAUAUAUAAUGGUUCUAGAAUAUAUCGCGACGAUUAAAUAUAGCAUAGGAUACAUAAUGGUUAUCGAAUAUAUCGUUGCAUCGUGAUAUACAAAAGGUGCUGAAGACUAUAUUUAACAUAUUCCCUCUGUAAACUAAUAUAAGAGCGUUUAGAUUACUAAAGUAGUGUUCUAAAUGCUCUUAUAUUAGUUUACGGAAGGAGUAUUAUACAAAGGUUACUGAGUAUAUCACGACAUUUAGAAGGUGCGGAAGAUUAUAGGUAACAUCUGAUAUAAUAGUUAUUGAAAUAUAUCACAACAUAUGAAGGUGUUGAAUAUUAUAUCUGACAUCUAUAAUGGUUAUCGAAUCUACGCAAUAGUGGAAAGAAUUUGCCAGGUCUGUCAUUAAAUCCUUCUCACUACAUACAUCAGUUAACUCUCUUUUCAGUACUGAUAAACUGAUGGCAUGAGAAAACUACAAAACAUACCAAUCCUACCAAAUCACACCCCACCUCGAUCUGUUGCUUCUUCCUAUUGCACACAACCUUGUCAACGAUGUAAAUCAGUAUGUCCGCGAGCGAGAAUGCCUCCUGCAGUUCAAAUGGAAGGAUAACACCAAUCGCUUCGCGAUAAGUUCCCUGUUCAGCAUAUCAGCGACAACAUCUGCAAUAGCAGAACAGUCUUGAUUAGAUAGGAAGCAGGGAUAAUUAGAAUGUGCCCAUGCAAAAGGUGUGGCAGGGUGCCCUCACCACGUAGCUUCUUCAUGAAGAGCCGGGAGCAUCUGAGCACCUUGACGCAGGUCAAGCAGCCACCAGCAAGCAGCAGCUCAUAGAACUCCUGCAGAGGUCCUAUACUCCUAUCUUAACAGAGAUAAACAGAGUAAAUGAAACGCAAAGAUGGAUCUGAAUCAAAGUCUGAUGGACAACAACACCAAAAAUACAAAAAUUGAGUUCAGGUAAAACUAUAGUGUAUAUAUAAUCAUGAAAAUGCUGCUAGAACAAAGAAAUACCUUUAUAUGGUUUCCGUCCACUAUUCUUCAUUGAUCAAAGCAUUAUCAGUAGCAUCCACAAUUGUUUCCUCAAUAUCGGAUCUUACCCAAUGUUGAUCUUUCCUUUUCUUUUUAAACAUAUCCGUAAGGUGAGAAACAUGGAAUGGCUCAGCGUCUACGUCUCGUGUGCAUUCAUCAUUUCCAAUGUCACAUCUAUCUCUAGGUAGGUUAUUCUGCAUCACCACUGACCAACCUGGGUUCAGUUCGUCUUCUAUGUAAAAGACUUGUUCGGCUUGGUUAGGCAAAAUAAAAGGCUCAUGUUCAAUCUUGUCUCCUUUGUGCAUCAAAUGUGAGAAGUUAACAAGUGUGUAGCCAUACUUGUCCUUUUUAAUUCCUUUCACAGAUACAUCAACCCAUUCACACUUAAAUAUAUCCACCAAAAAUUGUCCAGAGUAGUUCAACUUAAUAAUAUCAAUUAUCCUGCCAUAGUAAGUCACAUCGCCUAAAACAGGGGUCGCAUCACCUGGUGCAGCAUAUGUAGAUGUUUUGGCACGUACCAUUACUCCACUAUUUUGACUCACCCUGUCUAAGCGUUUAGCCCGAAACCGAUAUCCUCUUGAGUUGUAAGCACGAUACCUUUUUGCUGCAUCAACCGGGCCACGUGCUAGCCAUCUAACAUCAUUGUUAAUACUGCCAAUACCAUUUUCUUUCUCCAAUUUAAUCAUCUACAGAUUAAGUAGUUGUUUAGUAAAUGGCUUCAGUUUAACGUAUGAAGGAUAUGAAAUAUGGACUUACAUGAGCUUUGAACCAGUCGUUGAACUUAACAUGCUGGAUGGACUCGACUGUGUUUGAGGAGACAUCACGCUCGCUAUUGAGCUCAUCAGCGUGAGCUCUGCAAAGUAAUUUUAUAGUUAGUUUUGAAGUCAAAGAAAGAGUUGUGCAAACAUGUCAGAAAAAAACUGAAGUUGUUUAGAGGAUUGAGGUAUUACCGAAGGAAUAGGUUGGCAUCUAAGCAGUUGAACAACACAUAUCUAUGUGCUUGGAAUUUAGCCAAACCUCUAAGAACAUAAUUGCCACCCUUUCCUAGUGGUUUUCCUACAAAAGGAAAGAGAGUUGAUCCUUGUUCGACAUCAUCCGCCUCAUUGUCAUCGUCAUCGUCAUUUCUUGAAGUCCGGUUAUGCUUGGUGGCGAAACCAUCAAUAUAUCUAGAACAAAACGUCAUGCACUCGUCUGCAAGAUAUGCUUCUGCAAUAGAUCCUUCUGGAUGUGCUCUGUUUCGCACAUACGACUUCAAGACACAGAGAUACCUACAUAAAUAAAAGAUGAAAAAAUAAGACAAAAAGUGUUAAUGAAUGUAGUGCUGCAAUAAUUAGAAAAUCUAAUGUCUCCUUUUUGAAAGAUUACCUUUCCAAAAACCACAUUGAACGGUAGGCCCCAGGACCAGCUAUUUUUGCCUCUGUUGCUAAAUGAAGAACCAAAUGCACCAUGACAGUAAAAAAUCCAGGUGGAAAUAUCAUCUCCAUACGACAUAAUGUUAUCUUUAUUCUUUCCUCGAACUUCUCAAGAUCUCUCACAUGAAGAACCUUUGCACUAACUUCUCUAAAAUAUGCACAUAGAUCAAACAAGACAAACGUGACAUUAUCUGGAAGUAAACCUCUCAAUGCAACAGGUAAUAGUUGUUGCAUCAGAACAUGACAAUCAUGGCUUUUAAGGCCUGAAAGUUUCCCUUCAGAAAUGUUUGCACAUCUUGAGAUGUUCGACGAAUAACCAUCUCGUACACUUGCAUGAAGUACUUUGCAAAACUGUUGCCUCUGUUUCUUUGACAAGGUAUAAGAAGCAGGAGGAAGAAAAUACUUGUCAUUGUUUUUUUUGAGGAUGUAGCUCUGGCCUGAUUUUCAUGUCUUGCAGGUCUAGUCGUGCCUUUAAAUUAUCCUUUGACUUGCCCUCUAUGCCUAAAAGUGUCCCAUAUAUAUUUUCACAUACAUUCUUUUCAAUGUGCAUAAUAUCAAGAUUGUGGCGGAGCAAAUUGGAGAAAAACCCGUUAACAAACUUCCAAGUUUUGGAAUCAUCAAAGCACUUAAUUGAUUUUAUCUUAUCUAAAACUCCAGCUUUAGAAUAAAGAGUUGGCUCUGUUCUGUGUUCCUCAAAUCCAUCAAAUAAGUUAGAUUCAUAACGGAACUCGUGAUCUGGGUGUAGAAAUCGGCGAUGUCCUAUGAAACAGAACUUCCCCCCAUGUUUCAAGCGUAAAGACCAAGUUUCAUCACUACACGGGAAACAACCGGACUCAGAACUGGUGCUAUGUGCUGAAGCAAUUGCAAGCCCAGGGUAGUCACUCACAGUAUGCAACAGAACAACAUAGAGUUGGAACGUCUCAUCUCGAGAUGCAUCAUAUGUUGACAUUCCAACUUCAAACAACUCAGCUAGUUCCUCAUAAACUGGCUCCAUGAAUACAUGGAAGUUCUUUCCAGGGUAACCUGGAAUAAUCAAAGUAAGCAAAAGAGAGGAGGCUUUCAUGCAUAACCAUGGAGGAAGAUUAUAGGGCACUAAGACCACGGGCCAACAGCUAUGUUUGGAACUCAUAUUCCCAAAUGGAUUGAACCCAUCAAAUCCUAUUCCAAACCUCAUGUUUCGGGAGUCAGACGCGAUGUGUUUAUACUUAGUAUCAAUGGCCUUCCAAGCCUCUGAAUCGGCUAGAUGACGCAAUGCUCCAUCCUUUGUGCGCUCUUCGUCAUGCCAUCUUAAAGCUGUGGCUGUAUCUUUGUGCAUGAAAAGCCUCUUAAGCCUCGGCUUAAUUGGAAAGUAUCGUAACACCUUCCUUGGGAUUGUUGGCAGUUAUUUUCACAAGAAUGAAUUCUCACAUAACUAAGCCCAAGCUUUCCAGUGAUCUUUUUAGCAUCAGAAAAUGUACUAGGUAAAUUCUUACCAUUAGGAAUUGCUUUCUGCAGAAGUGGUAGCAAAUCAUUUAAAGAUUUAUUGCUCCACUUGUUAGUGGCUUUUAUGUUAAAGAGAAUAACAAUAAAAGAAAGUAUGGAUAGUUCACAGCCUGGCCAUAAAGGUUGAUAUGCAUCUCUCAUAAGGUCAUAAAAAGCUUGGGAUUCAGAGUCUCGUCCUGGUUUAGAUGGAUUUUGGGUUUCAGGUUCUAUCGUUGGAGCUUCACAAAAAACAUAUUCCACUAAUUGAUGCAUAUUAGAUUUUGUUCCUUCAAACUGUGAUCGUGGCCUUUUGUUAGUUCUCAUGUGUGUUGGAGUUUUACCUUGUUUGUUAGCAGAGAUAAAUGAUGUUGUUUCCCCAUGGCAACCCCAAACAGUAUAUCCAGGUGAAAUUCCGUUACAAACCAAGUGAUCGUACACGUCCUCCCGCUUCAAUAACGAUCCAUUGACACAUAUGAAGCAUGUGCAACGGAUUUUGGCAUCAGAAUUUUUUCCAAUGUAAGCAAAGUUAAGAAAACCAGCUACACCAGCCAAGUAUUCCUCACUUGGUCUAGGAGAAAGCAAUAGCUCCUUUAUAGAUUCUAAAUCCAUCGAUAUACUGUGUAACAAAUAGAUAUUCAGUUUCUGCUCUGAUUGACAAGGGAUAAAUUUAACAUGUAUUCCUAUAAUUCCUUAAACAGACUUAUUAAGCCAUAUUACUAAUUAACACUCCAAUCAAUAGAUAAAAAAUUGUAAUAAAAUAUAGAGUAACCAGCAACGUUAUUCAUCAUAUACACUAAAGAUGACAUAUGACAUAAAGAUGCAGUUAUAGAAUAGUAAAAUUAGUAAACAGAGUCAAGAAAAGAGAGUUCAUAUACCAACGUCCUGGUCAGGAGCGGAGGAACGUCCUGGUCCUGAGAUCCUGGUGGCGCGGCGCCCCAGCGUGUUGAUCUUAGGCUCCUGGUGGCGCGGGGCGGCGUCGCAGCACCGGGCUAGGGCGGGCAGAAGNGAUCAGGGGAGGGAGCUAGCUGCUAGAUCAGGGGAGGGAGCUAGCCUGAGCUGGAAGGAGAUGGUGGAUGGAUGAAGCGGCGGCUGAAGGGGAUGGUGGAUGGACAUGGUGGAUGCGAAAGCGGCCACCGAUUCGGGACAAAUACCAGCUUAUCCACCGAUUCUUUGAGGCCACUAAAAAUAAAUCCGACGACGAUUUUCUGGAGACACCGAUUCAAUGUUUUUUAAAUAACCAUGUACUCUCUCCGUUUGUAAAUACCCUCCUGUCCUAAAAUUAUUGUCUUAAAUUUCUCUACAAAUAAAUGUAUUUAGUCACGUUUUAUUAUCUCGAUACAUCUAUUUCUAAACAAACAUAAGACAAAAAAUUAUGACGGAGGGAGUAUAAGUCUUUUUAGGGAUUUCAUUAUGGACUACUUCCUCCGUUCCUAAAUAUAAGUUUUUUAAAAGUUUCAUUAGAAAACUACAUACGGAGAGGAGGGGACUGAGGGGCGAGGCGAGGGAGCUAGGAGAUGGCCGGCCUGGCCGCCUGAGCCGGACCGAGGGAUGAGGCGAGGGAGUCUAAAUCGACGGAGGGAGCUAGCAGAUAGGUUAGAGAAAAAGGGGAUCGAUUUAACUGGGGCAGGGAGACACCGAGUCUGGUCGUGCGUCCAUUUGGGUUGGCACGUUCGACCUACUUUUUAUCCGUACGGACCCAAACAGACGGCGACGGACGAAAUAGAUCGUUCCGUUGAAGUCGCUCUUGACAUGGAAACUAACGAGUCGUUAUGGAAAUAAAUCACAAUUACUGUAACUGCGUGGCUCGAUCGUCCCGUUUGAUUUUUUAAUUUACUCUCUGGUUUUCCUUUUAUUUAUUAAACAUUGUGAAAUACUUGGUCAACAUUUUUGAAAUUCUUUCUUAAUAUUUUUAUACUUAUUCAACAUUUUUUAGACUUAUCAUUAUCUGACAAAGUUCAGAUGAAAGACAUACAACAUAACCGUCAAAAUGCGGAUCGGGGCGAAAAAACCUGCCCGACCAGACAACGCAUCCCGCCCCGGCCCGCAAAAAAACAGGAAACAGACAGGUGCUUCCCGCGCGCUUGGACCGGCCCAUAUGCUCGCUCAUUCUAUGAGUCGGAAGGCUCGACUUACUGAACGCGAGACAUAUAUAGCGAUGACCAUCGCGGAAAGGGCAAUUGUGUGUGUUAGUGGAAGCAAAGGCGGCGACGGAAGGGACGAAAGUAGAUGAACGUCCACCGAUUCGGUAUAAACCCGUAAAUUAUUCACAUGGAUUGUGCAUACGGUGCAUGGAGUUUAGUCUAACUGUCUAGGUUAUUGGUUCUGAUUUUGGUCCUUUUUUAAACUAAGGUCCACGGAGAGAUGGUUGCCAUGACUCAUAAUCCUGACAGCUGCCUAGCUUCCGUCCAUGGACUUGGUUGACGGAUGCCUAGCUUCCGGUUCAUUAAUUCUCCGCCGCCAUGGAAGCGGAAGAAAGAAGGGGACUGGUUCAAUGGGCCAAACUCUCAUAUCUAUCAUGAUAGCAUUAUCGAUGGGUCAAACCAACGUACGAGGUCGCAAGUUUGCUUUUUGUGAUACAAUCGGUUUUUUGAACCGUGGGUGUCUACAAAUGUUCGUACGCGACAAGCUCGAUGCUUUUUUUAUCAACUAGUUAUCCAAGGAAAAUCAUGUUAUAGGUUAUUUAGCACAUGUUAUCUAAUUUUUCAAUCAAUGUCGGUACACAUACAAGCUCGAUGCUUUUGUAAAUUCAUUACUAUUUAAUAUAUAUAAUUUACCAUUCAACCAAUAAUAAAUAAAAUAUAAAAUAUACUUUAUUUUUCAAUGUCAACAACACUUUACGGAAAAAAAUCCCUCUAAUUCUCCUUGGAUAAAUAAAAUAGAUCCAAUUUUCCCUCCAGUUUCCGAUGUCCUUUACACAAAAAUUCUACCUAUGGCGCCUAUUUUCCCUCCAAUUAACUAGAAAACGCUAUAUAAGUUGUGUCUCAAAUCCAUCCACAUUCAGCACCACCUGCAACGCCCCUCCCACCCCAACCUCAACCCACACAUCGGGGCCGCUUCCUCGAUAUGCGGCAGAGGAGGCGAACAGAGGCGCGGGACCAAGGAUCGUCCGUGAUCCGUCCGCCGAGAAUUCGCCGCCGCCGCUGCUUUCUUUCUUGCGACCGAGGAUCGUCCGUGAUCCGUCCGGGGCUCGCUCCCCGCCUCCUCCGUGUGUACGUGCUCGCUCCUCCUCACCUCAAUCGCCGAUUGCUUGCUGCUCCAGCUUUCCAUUGGGCGCUUGGGGCGCUUUGCGUGCUGUUUCCGCCUUCUUUUCUUGGUUCCGGGUGGUAGGUGCUUGGGGCCAAUGGGACGCAGGAUUCCCUGUUCUUUGAUAUGGCCCAGUAGAUAUCAAGUUCUAGGUUUUCAGGUCUUGCGGCUUAACAACCUCCCCCGAUCCUAGUUGGAUUCAUCUCAGGUGCUGCGUUGAUUAGGUCCUGGAGGGUUGGAGAAAAACCAAGAAAAAAUAAAAGGAGGAACAAUUUAAAACAGGGAACUAGACAGUCCCUACGCGCAGACUUAGCACCAGUCAAAAAUCUUUCUAGUUUUAGGCCACCUCAGAUACUCACCUCCUCCUUUAGUUCAGAAUUCAGAAACUAUAAUUCCUCUGUUUUUUAUUUGCUGAUUCAAAAUGCACACAGUAUCAUCUUAGUGGAGCUAUAGUUUUGAUGAACGGAUGCAGGGGCGGAGACAGGAAGGGACGAGCAGGUCAGACCCUGCCAAUCGCUCACCCCCUCAACGAUAUAUAUAGCAUAGUGUGUACUGUAGAUGCCUAAUUGCCGUAGCUAAUUGCGUGAUUAGACCAUACAUAGACAAAUAAUUAGGUCGAUUCUGGAUGUACUGUCCACGUCGAUUCUGUAGUGUGUACUCUUCUCGUCGAUUGUGGAUGCAGCCGAUCUACUGCAACUGUUUUGCUUGUGUAAAUUAAACCAUUAGAUCAAAUGACUGAAAUUAGGAACAGAAAAAAAUGCUUAAUACUUGCACCAUCGCAAAAGUUCUAGUAGCAGCUUCCUCACAAAAGUAUCAAUGAAAAAUUUCAGCCACAUGCUUUACUUCAGUACAUUAAAUGUACUUGUACAUAUAUAUUCUACGAAAUCAAUAAAAUGGUUACUGUAACCAUCUCAUUUUUUAAGUUGUGAAGACUGAAGAUGAUUAUUUUUGUAGCAUGUUCAGCCACAAGGCAAACUAAGGAAAAACAAUAUCGUGUUAAGCGAAUGCUGCUACUAAAGAGUGAAAUGUACAUUGAAGACAACAUAAACAAUAGUUAUCUAAAUUAAAACUGAACACAUGUCCCAUUAAGAAUUGUUAUUUUUCCUGUACUAAUUAUUUCUAGUUGUACUGAUGCAAGCUUUUUUGAGUUCCUUUGAUUGACAUGUUAAUAUAUAUCUAGGAUGGCGAGGGACAUGUUGACCAUAUACCUGCACUAUGAAGAUGCAAAUCAGGAAACCAAAAUUUUACAAAGAUCCAUGAUGAGGCGUGAUGUCUCGUAUUAUGACUUAAUCUUGAUGAUCGAGGAAGUUGGCUUUCAGGAAAUUGAUUUUCUGUAUUAUGUGAAAAAAAAACCCGUCUAGGCAGCCCCUACUUUGUUCACAUGUAUGAUCAAGGUCAUGUAAUGAAGAUGUUCUCUGACCCAGAGAUUGUGAAAGAUGUCCAUCUGUAUGUGUCUAAGGAGAAGGCUGGUGAUGAUGUUGCUCCACCUAGCAAGCAAUUUGAUAUUGCUCCAUCUAACCAUCCGAAUGAGAGUGUUCUCUUACAGGAAGGUGGUGUCUAUGCUGAAGGGGAAGGGGCAGGGCAACUUACUUUGAAAAGGCCGCAAAGUAUCCCUCUUGAACCAUAUUUAUUACAUAUCUGUAUUGACUGUUAUAAUUGCUGGAAUAAAAGUUGAAUGGUUGUUCUGCAGAACCGUUGCGUAGGUCAAAAAGGUUGAAUGUGAUUCAGGUUACUGACUAGUGUGAUGAUGACGAUGGGGACUGCAACAAUGGUGAGCAAUUUGCACCAGGUCAUGAAUCAGAAGCAUUGGACAAUGAACAGGGUCAAGAUGAAAAUCAAGGUAACUACCUAUUACAUAUUUUACUUCUAUUAAUUAACUUGUAUAUGCUGAGUAUCGAAAGAAUAAAUGGCGAGCGUCAUUUAAUUAGUACUUUUCUUCAUUAAUCUUGUAGUAGACAAGGAAGUACGCAAGCGCAAGAGAACAAGCUUGCCAAUUGUCUGGAACAUGCCAAAGGGGCAAAGAAUAGUUGUAAAAUGCAAUGAAAAUAGCCAGCCUAUAGGAGAUGAAGGUGCAAUCUUGGGGAAGUUUCUGGGCACGAUAGCUAGAAAUGGAGGAUUUUGCCCACUAAACAUAAAUGAUUGGCGUGAUGUCAAGAAGAAUAGUGGUGAGGAAACAAUACUUCAGUGUGUACAGGUACUUCACAAUUGACAAGGAAACAAAUAUGCUAUUUGUUGUCCUUCUAUUUAAAUCUAAUUUGUCCACUUUAGUUGUAAUGUGGUCUACAUGUCUAUUUACAUUCAUUCUUUAUUUUGUACUUUCAGACAAAGUUUGUAUAUCCUAGGUCAUGUGAAAAAUGGAUACUCAAAUCGAUUGGAAGAGACUGGAGGAAAUAUAAGUCUAGUUUGAAAGAUGCUUUCUUCAAACCCGCCAUUGAAAAAAAUCCAAACAUCAAGCGUAAGGCUUUGUAUAAGCUUUGUCCAGAAGAUGUGGACAUCGAUCAAUGGCGUGGGCUUGUUAAAUUUUGGAAGUCGAAAAAAGGAAGGGUAAUGAAUGCGAUAUUGUACUUUCCUGUUUUGAAAUUUGAAUGUGAGUUCUUGGGCUGAUCAUAUAAGUUGCACUUAUGAUAUGAUUGCAGUGUAACAUGCCCUUGCUGAGAAGAACAUAAUUAGUCGUUCCCUCGUGAAGAAUUCACAUAAUGCUGGCACAAAGAGUUUUGCCUAUUGGAGUGAAGACAUGGUGAGUAAUCUUCAUUAUUGAAUUGUUUUUCUCUGUCUCUUUUAUCAUAUGGGUGUUCUUUCUGUUUUGUAGAGGCAAGCUGAUCCUGAAAAGAAACGACCACACAGAUCACAGGUUUAUUUAGCAACUCACAAGAAGAAGGAUGAUGCUAAUGCUGAAAAUAUAGAUAGAAAUGAGCCUCUGGUACAGAAUUAAUAUAGAAAUUAUCUAAUUGCUCUUGGGAUCAACUUACAUUUCAAUCUAACAAGCAGUAUAUGAAUGAUUCUUGUCUUAUAGGAUCGAUUGAAGAAUCUAAUAACUGAGCGACCAGAGUUGGCACAAAAUGUGAAUGGAAGAGUUGCAUGGGAAGGUGAUGCCCUGCAGGAAGUAUUAGGGAAAGAAAAGAUUGGACAAGUGCAUGGCAUGGGUUUGCUUCCAACUCCUAAGCAAGUAUAUGGUUGUACACUACGGUAUCUAAAGAACAUCAAUAUGACUACAACUGAUGGAUCGCCAUAUGAAGUUGAACAUGAUGUUUGGGAGGAAAUAGCAAAGAUGAAGGAACAUAUUAAAAGGCAAGACCAAAUUAUUGAACAUAUGAAAAACAAAGAAGGCCAUGUGAAUAAUGAAGCAGAAGAGGUAAAGGACUUCUUUAUCCCACCUUUUGUAUGCAUUUCUGUCAAUAGUUUACUCAGAUUUGUUAGUUCUGUAAGAAAACCUCCAAUCAAAUGCUAAUGGUAUUUCUCAGUUACCAAUACUACAUGGUCAAAGAAAGGUAAUGUUAGUACAUGGCUAUAUCAUUGCUUGUCAAUUGAAACCUUUGUAUUAAUAUUUCAAUUUGUAGAUAAUACAAUGCAAUGGACCUGUUGAGGCGCGCUCAUCUAUGCAACACCACAUUUAUGAGGAUAAUAAUUUAUCUCGUUCGCAUGAAAAGGUUAUACCUACACUUACUCCCACUAAUAUGAGAAAGAUAGAAUAUAAGAUAGUUACUUGCUUACCGUUGUUGUAUCAUGGAACUAGGCUGGCGACCAUGAUGUUAACCAAUUACAAAUUCAACAAAAUUCAUCAUCGCCGCAGGACCUUGUUAUUGAUUCUGUGCCAGAGGUUAUUUCUGUGUGCUUUUGAGUUUGAAUUUGCAAGUUUCUGUAGCUUCAAGAUAUCAAUACCUUUCCAUCUAAUAUAUUUUCUCUUGGUAGGUGAGGGAAAUGGGGGAUCCUACGGGUGAAUCUUUUUCAAGACAGAACCAGCAGGGUACUAGAACUGAACAUCCACACUUAGCUCGCUCAAGAAAAAGGCGUACUUCUACCAUCAAGGUAAAGAUCUGACUUUUAAAUGCACACGAUAUGCUGGCUUAGCAACUUGUCCUAUAUCUCCCCAGGAGCGCCCACAUGAUCUGCCUUGCAAUUGCUCAUGUAGUGGCUGGGAUGCUUAAAAAACGUGGUGGCUUGGGAUGUGGGAGUUGCGACCGAUAUGCACGUGUACCCAAAACAGUAGAUGGAAAAAUCAAUGUACCGAUCAUAACUGUGUUGGCUAGGCUCCUCAAUUAGUUCUUUUUUUGUGCUCCUCAAUUUGAAAUCCAAAUGCCGUUAUAUUAAAUUAGAAGAAGAAAAAUCAGAACCCCAUUCCUUGCUUUCAUUUACAUCAACAAAUGUUCACAUGGUGAUGCAUCGUAGCAAUAUUUCUUCUAGUUCAAAUAUAACACAUGUACUGUAGAUACCUAAUUGUCGUAGCUAAUUGCGUGAUUAGCCCAUACAUAGACAAAUAAUUAGGCCAGCCUACCUUCCCCUGCACGACACAUGCGUCACUGGUGACCGGUCAUGUCCAACCAUCGCGGUUGACAAGGACCAUGCAUGUGCACGACACGGUCUCCUGCCUCCAUGCAUCUCUCCCCGGAUCUCUCGUGCCCAUAGUGGCUCAAACCAUUUAACCAUGCACGUUGUACCUAUGCUCUGCUAUCUGAACUUUGGAAGCCAGGACCUUGCAAAUACCCAUCAAGAUCCAAGAAUGUAGUCUUGUUACCCUAUAAAAAACCAAAAUUACGUACUAUUGUAGUUGUAGUAGUCGUGUUAAGUCCUGGCAGGCGAGUUCACAUGCACUGGCCCGAUCGUAAGCUCUAUCGAGAGAAGACAACUGGCAGUCGCAUAGGAAGUAUGUACGUACGGCUAUCGGCUGAUCUAGUUAGUGUGUCGUGAACCAGCCGGCCGGAGAUCCACCCCAUUCCUUUCUUUUUUUUACCGUGCUUCCACAAAAAAAUAGUGACUAUCAUUUUCAAAUAAUGCAUUCAGCCCCAUGCGUUUGCGACGUGCUCAGGCUUUACAAAAGUGCUAGCUCCGCCACUGGUUCACAUUGUUCAUGUAAAUUGUAUUAUCAUUGUCAUUGAAUGCUAAUAUUGAUCAUAAUAUAGGCUGGUUCCAAAGUAGUUUUGAAGACUUCAACAUAUCCCAACAAGAGGAAUGUUGCGUAUGGUACUAUUCGUAGUACUGAUCCAAGAACUACGGCGUGUGGUAUUGAGUUAGGUGCUGAAUUUGCCCUUGUGCGCAUAGAUCAACCUUUGCUUGAUAAUGAGGAGCUGGUAAGGGAAGUUUUUGAUUGCAAGACAAUUUGUGAAGCGUACUCUUCAGGAUACUUAAUUGCAUGGCCUUCAGCUUUUGUAAGUUAAAGCUUCUCUUAAACAUUUUGAAAUCAUAUUUGUGUGCAUUUAAUCACAUAUAUCUAACGUGCAAUUUUCUUUUACAGAUUCGAGAGAAGGAUAAUUGAGUUACGGUUGAAUUCUCGGAUGCGGAAGCAAAUAAAAUCUAAAGAUUUUAUCUAUCAAUAGUCGUAGUUUAGAUUGAUAUAUUGAAAAAUAUAAUAUCAUUCACACGUUAUUUUUCUUUCGUCCAGUUGAUGCAAAUUCUAUGGUGUAAUAUUCUUCAUAGUUGUGUUUUCUAUGCUCAAAAUGAUAUGAAUGAUAUCUUUAUUGUAAUGCAUAUGUAUCAUACACUUGUAUAUUCUUAAUCAGUAUCUUCAUAUUGAGGAUUUCUAUAUGUGUUCUGCUUCUAUUUCUAUACCAUUUUGAUGCUGCUGGCAUAAUGAUAAAAUGAUCAACCACUUGUGCAAUUGCAUCAAUUUUAUUAAAUAAAUUUAUAUUCCAUAAAAGAGGUACUGAAUUUUGUGAUUAAUAAUAAAAAAUACACCAAUUAUGUUACCAUAUUGAUAUAGUAGUGUUACUAUAGUUACAAAAUUUUGUUACUACAGUACGUAACAACUAUAAAUUAUAGUGUUACGAUAGUCCGAUAUUAAGUUACUAGUUGAUGUGUACCGCUUGUGUUACUAGAGUUAGAAAAACAUGUUACCACCAAUGGUGUACGUUUGUGAAAAUGUGUUACUCUCGGUGUUACUAUAACUACAAAAAUGUGUUACCAAUGUGUUUGGUAACACAUAAUAUGCAUGUUACUAUACUAUAAUUGUAACACUAUUUUUAACAUAUGGUAACAAUUACUAUGUGUAACAGUUGACAUCACUUAGUAACACGGGCUAAUGGAACACAUUUCAAAUUGUGUUACUCUCUGACCUAGUAACACACUUUUGGGCCUGUAGUAACACAAGACGGUGUUACCAAAGGUCUGUCCUGUUGUAGUGUAAAGACCAUUUUCGACAUAUCCAACAUAGGCUACUUUAAGAGUCUUGCUCCUCAGGAGGACCACAGUAUCAAGAUUAAAGAAUGUGGAAAAACCCAUAAUUGCGAGUUGACGAACCGAAAGUAAAUUGUAGGCAAGUGACUCAACAAGCAUGACCUUCUCAAUAGAUAAAUCUUGAGAGACGACCACCUUACCAAAUCCCAAUACCUUUGACGAGGAUGCAUCGGCGAAUUGGACAUGGGUGGGCAUAGAUGGAGAAGGAUGCACAUCCACCACUAAGUCCUUGCUUCCGGUCAAAUGAUUUGUUGCUCCACUAUCGAGCAACCAUGACACCCCACCGGAAGCAAACUCCUGCAAUAGAUCAAGGCUUGGUUUUAGGUACCCAUUUUUUAAUGGGUCCUUUUAUGUUAGAGAUAAGGGUCUUAGGAACCCAGAUAGCCCAUUCAAUAUGCUCAUCGUAGGAACCAACAAAUCUGGCAUAAACAUGCCCAUCACUAGCACGACAUAAGACAUAAGAAGAAUUAAGUUUGUCAGCUGUGUUAGUAGGAAUGGUUUUGCCCUUCUUGAGGUUUCCAUAGUCCACCUUGUUCCUGUUCACCUUCUGAGUCCCCUCACCCUCUUUGACAAAGAUGUCCAUGAGGGUAGGAGAUCGUUUGUUCCUGUUCCUCCUUUUACCUUUUGACUUGGAGGUAAGUCCAAGUCCCUCCUUUCCUACAACACAUUUUUGAGUGCUCAAGAGGUCGUUCAGGCUCUUCUCACCUUGUAUGCAUGCCACAAGGCCCUUCUCAAGUUUCUCCUUUAACUUGGCAUUUUCUUCCACAAGAUGUACAUGCUCACAACAGGGAUUAGUUGCAUAAGCAUUAUCAAUUAACACAAAGGGAUGACAAGUAGAGAUCUCCUUGGUAAGCUUUGCUUGGAGUUGAUUAUGAGACUCUUUCAGAGAGAAAUGAGCACCUUUCAAGACCUUGUGGGCCUUGUCGAGUGUGUCAAACUCCUCCUUGAGUCUGUCAUGGCCAACCCCAAGAGAAUACUUUUCAGACUUAAGCAUACGAGUAAGAACAACAUCAUGAUCUAGUUUCUUUUGCAUUUUAGCGCACUCAUCGUUGUAUGACUCCUCAAGAGCCAAACGAAGAGUGCGCUCCUUUUCUAGAGCAAGAGAUAAUUCAGCAAUUCCAUCGGCAUAGUCACGACUGUGUCCCUGAAGCUCGGAGAUGGUCUCCGCAUGAGACUCAAUGAGGUCAGUGGCCUCACCCAGUUGUUCCAAGAGAGCAACAAAGUGCUUCUUGGAUUCUCCCUUAAUAGUGCACAGAAACUUGUCAAGAUCAUGCUCAUUAAGUUCCACAAUAUCACUAUCAUCAACACAGUUUAACAAUGAAGGAGCAGUAGCGAUGUUGGUCUUAAUGAUGGGAGUUACCUGAUUGAUACCUUUUGCCAUGAGGCACUUGGUGAUGUGGUUCUCGUUGGGGGCGUUGAAAAGAGACACCUUCUGGGGAGAGGUAGUGGCAAUAGCAACAGUUGCCGUUGCCACUGUAUCAUCAUCAUCAUCAUCAUCAUCGGAAGGGUACUCUUCAAGGGCCACCAUCCCUUUUGGGUGAGGUUUCUUCACAAAGUUGUUCUUGAUGGGGAAUGAUUUGGUUUUGUCUUUGCGAAUGAGCUUGCCCCCGUUGUCUUCCCUUUUCUCAUAGGUACAUUCGGCCACGAAGUGACUCACGUUACCACAGUUAUAACAUGUCCUUACUCUUUGUUUGGGUUUGAAUCCACUGGAGUUGUUCUUGGUGAAGGUGGGUCUUGAGUUCCUCUUGUUGCCCCAGAAUUGCCUUGAUGCAAGAGCCAUGUGCUCAUGAUAGGCAUACUUUGUGUCUUCAGGGCAGAUCUCUUAUUCAUCAUCCUCUUCUUCUUCUUUAGGCAUUGCUUUUGCUUUCAAGGCAAGGUUGGGUGAAGUUGUCUUUGAGCGAACACGAGCAAGUGCAUUGUCGGCUCUUUUGUUCAUGAUUGACAUUGCAAUGAAUUCAUCCAACACCUCACUGGAAGACAAGGAGUGGAAGUCUGGCCGCUGACGAAUGACAGAUGACAUGGCUUUGUUGAAAGGCAUGAUGGCUUUGAGAAACUUGCGCUUGACCCAUGUAUCAUCCACAUCCUUGCUCCCAUGAUCCUUGAGUGCCACAGCAAUAGCAGUCACCCUCCGAUAGAGAUCACGAGGGUCCUCGUCUUCCUUCAUCACAAACUCAUCGGCCUUAUCAAGUAUCACUUCAUAGUUGGAUCGUUGAAUGCUUGAGCUUCCCUUAUACAACACCAUAAUAUGCUCCCAACAAUCCUUGGCCAAUGUGAAGGGACGCAAGUGAGGAAGAUCUUCAGGUGGCACUGCGGACUAGAGAAUGAACAAAGCGGAGUGAUUGUAUUGAUUGUCUGCAUCUUCUCUUGGUGUGAGGUUGCUUGGACCAUGAGGAUAAUAUCCUUGUUCGAUGAUUCUCCACAAGUUUGUUGAGCUGUGAUUCAAAUGAGACUUAAUAGAAAAUACCCAGUUAGCAAAGUCACCUUUUACAAGCUUAGGAGGAGGACCAACAAGAUUAAGACGCGGUGCAGGAACGGAUCCUCCAUAGGCCAUGGGGGUGGAACUGAGGCAUAUGUUCCAGUCCCAUCCUUCUCGUGAGAUGAGGAAGGUCGCAUACCUUUAGCCGCUUCCUUAGAGGAGUUGGCCUCCGAAUCGGUGACGGUGGGUUUAACCACUAUAGCCGGUUCGGGAGAACUUUUAAAUCCCUCAAUUAACUCUUUAAGCAUGGUCUUGACUUCGUUCGUCAAGGACGUCUUGAGGGCGGCCAUAGCCGUAUUCAAGUCGUCUCUUGUGACCGAAGUCAAGUCCAUGGCCUCGGGUUGCCCAUGGUUAAUUCCCUCUUCGCCUUCCAUACUCUUCGGGUGGUUAAACCCUUAAUAAAGAGACGUGGCUCCGAUACCAAUUGAAAGGAUCGAUAUGGUUGACUAGAGGGGGGUGAAUAGACAACGACCACUUUUUAAUUAAACUUAGCAAGUUAUGGUAAACAACAUAUGGGUUCACAAAUAUUACGACAAUGAGGUGAACCCUAAUGAAGCUAACAACGAGAGCUAUUAAGACAAGUAAGAUAUAGACAACAACAUAAGCAUACACAAAGUAAGGGUUAGAGAUAACCACAAGUGGAACCGAUGGAGACGAGGAUGUGUUACCGAAGUUCCUUCCCUUUGACAGGAAGUACGUCUCCGUUGGAUCGGUGUGGAGGCACAAUGCUCCCCAAUAAGCCACUAAGGCCACCGUAUUCUCCUCACGCCCUCGCACGAUGCAAGGUACCGUGAUUCCACUAUAGGUGCCCUUGAAGGCGGUGACCGAACCUUUACAAACAAGGUUGGGGCAAACUCCACACAAAGCUUGGAGGCUCCCAACACGACCAUGAAGCUUCACCCUAAUGGAAUAUGGCUUCGAGGUGACCUCAACCGUCUAGGAUGCUCAAACACCCAAGAGUAACAAGAUCCGCAAGGGAUUGGUGGGGAAUCAACUUUUCUCUUGGUGGAAGUGUGGAUCUAGGCCUUCUCAACCAAUCCCUAAAGAUUCAACAAGUUUGAUUGGCNUGACUCAAAUAAAGAGAAACGUAGAGAACGCCGGUCUUCUGUUCCAUGAACGAAGGGGGGCGAGUCGUCUUGUGCCGUUGACGUGUGUUAUCUGAAAUCUUAAUCACACAAACGGUUAGUCCUUUGCGGUACUGUCAUCAAUCACCAAAAUUACUUAGGCAUAAACUAUGCCCCAAUACUGUGAUUCCGAUCUAGUGCCAAACUACGACACCUCCGCGUUCACCACACGUGCAGCCCGGUGACGUCGCCCGCACCUUGAUCCAGCAAGGAGGAGGGAGAGGUUGGGGAAGAACUCCAACAGCACGAUAGUGUGGAGUCGAUGGAGAGACGAGGUCUCUCGGCAAGGCUUCUCCAAGCAUCGACAGAGAGGAGGAGAAAGAAGGGCAGGGCUGCGCCGAGGGAGAGGGAAAAGUGUGUCCCCAAUGGCCAAAAGUGUCCACUAUAUAUAGGAGGAGGGGAGGGGGGUGCCACCCCUAGGGUUCCCACUCAAGGUGGUGCGGCAGCCCCCCCCCAGAUGGGACGUGCGGUGGCCAGGGCAGGGAGGAGGGGUGGCGCACCCCUCUGGUGGGCCUUAGGCCCACAUGCGCUAGGGUCCCCCCUCCCCUCUUCCUGCUCCAUGGGCUGAGUGGGGGCGCACCAGCCCACCUAGGGGCUGGUUCCCUCCCGCACUUGGCCCAUCUAGCCUCCGGGGUCGUUGCCCCCUUUCGGUGGACCCCCGGGGCCACCUCCGGUGGUCCCGGUACGUUACCGGUGACGCCCGAAACACUUCUGGUGUCCGAAACCAUCUGUCCUAUAUAUCAAUCUUUAUCUCCGGACCAUUCCGGAGCUCCUCGUGGCGUCCGGGAUCUCAUCCGGGACUCUGGACAACUUUUUAUAACCUUGUAUAACAAUUCCCUAUAACCCUAGCAUCAUCGAACCUUAAGUGUGUAGACCCUACGGGUUCGGGAGACAGGCAGACAUGACCGAGACACCUCUCCGGCCAAUAACCAUCAGUGGGGUCUGGAUAACCAUGGUGGCUCCCACUUGCUCCAUGAUGAUAUCAUCGGAUGAACCACGAUGUCAAGGAUUCAAUCAAUCCCGUAUACGAUUCCCUUUGUCUGUCGGUAUAGAACUUACCCGAGAUUCGAUCAUCGGUAUACCUAUACCUUGUUCAAUCUCGUUACCGGUAAGUCUCUUUACUCGUUCCGUAGCACGUCAUCGUGUGACUAACUCCUUAGUCACAUUGAGCUCAUGAUGAUGUUCUACCGAGUGGGCCCAGAUAUUCCUCUCCGUCACACGGAGUGACAAAUCCCGAUCUCGAUUCGUACCAACCCAACACACAGUUUUGGAGGUACCCGUAGUGCACCUUUAUAGUCACCCAGUUACGUUGUGACGUUUGAUACACCCAAAGCACUCCUACGGUAUCCGGGAGUUGCACAAUAUCACGGUCGAAGGAAAAUACACUUGACAUUAGAAAAGCUUUAGCAUACGAACAAUACGAUCUAGUGUUAUGCUUAGGAUUGGGUCUUGUCCAUCACAUCAUUCUCCCAAUGAUGUGAUCCCGUUAUCAAUGACAUCUAAUGCCCAUGACCAGGAAACCAUGAUCAUCUAUUGGCUAACGAGCUAGCCAACUAGAGGCUUGCUAGGGACACAUUGUGAUCUAUUUAUUCACACAUGUAUUACUGUUUCCUGUUAAUACAAUUAUAGAAUGAACAAUAGACGAUUAUCAUGAACAAGGAAAUAUGAUAAUAACCAUUUUAUUAUUGCCUCUAGGGCAUAUUUCCAAUAGUCUCCCACUUGCACUAGAGUCAAUAAUCUAGUUACAUUGUGAUGUAUCGAACACCCAUAGCAUUAUGGUGUUGAUCAUGUUUUGCUCGUGGAAGAGGUUUAGUCAACGGGUGUGCAAUAUUCAAAUCCGUGUGUACUUUACAAAUAUCUAUUACUCCACUUUGGACAUGGUCCUGGAUGAAGUUGUAGCGGCGUUUGAUGUGCUUCGUCUUCCGGUGAAACCUGGGCUCCUUGGCAAUGGCAAUGGCCCUAGUGUUAUCACAGAAGAGUGUCAUUUGACCCGACGCGCUUGGAACCUCUCCAAGGUCGGUGAUGAGCUCCUUCAUCCAAAUUCCUUCAUGAGCCACUUCUGAAGCAGCUAUGUACUCCGCUUCACAUGUAGACGCUGCCACGACUUCUUGCUUGCUGCUGCACCAGCUCACUGCCCCACCAUUCAAAACAUAUAUGUAUCCAGUCUGUGACUUAGAGUCAUCCGGAUCUAUGUCGAAGCUAGCGUCGACGUAACCCUUUACGACGAGUUCUUCAUCACCUCCAUAAACGAGAAACAUUUCCUUAGUCCUUUUCAAGUACUUAAGGAUAUUCUUGACCACUGUCCAGUGUUCCAUACCAGGAUCACUUUGGUACCUCCCUACCAAACUUAUGGCAAGGUUUAUAUCAGGUCUGGUACACAGCAUGGCAUACAUAAGAGAGCCACGGCUGAAGCGUAGGGGACAUAACUCAUCUUCUCUCUAUCUGCUGUCGUGGUCGGCGACUGAGUCUUACUCAAUCUCAUACCUUGCAAAACUGGCAAGAACCCUUUCUUUGAGUUUUCCAUAUUGAACUUCUUCAAUAUCUUGUCAAGGUAUGUACAUUGCGAAAGACCUAUGAGGCGUCUCGAUCUAACUCUAUAGAUCUUGAUGCCUAAUAUGUAUGCAGCUUCUCCAAGGUCCUUCAUUGAAAAACUCUUGUUCAAAUAGGCCUUUAUGCUCUCCAACAUUUCUGUAUUGUUCCCCAUCAAUAAUAUGUCAUCCACAUACAGUAUGAGGAAAGCUACAGAGCUCCCACUCACUAUAUUGUAUAGAAAGGCUUCUCCGUAAACCUAUAUGAACCCAAACGCUUUAAUCACCUCAUUAAAGUGAAUGUUCCAACUCCGAGAUGCUUGCACCAACCCAUAGAUGGAGCGCUGGAGCUUGCACACUUUGUUAGCACCCUUAGGGUCGACAAAACCUUCUGGUUGCAUCAUAUACAACUCUUCCUUAAGGUUCCCGUUAAGGAAUGCUGUUUUGACGUCCAUUUGCCAAAUUUCAUAAUCGUAAAAGGCAGCAAUCUCUAACAUGAUUCAGACUGAUUUCAGCUUCGCUACGGGAGAGAAAGUCUCUUCGUAGUCAACUCGUUGAAUUUGUCGAAAACCCUUUGCGACAAGUCGAGCUUUAUAAACGGUUACAUUACUGUCUGCAUCAGUCUUAUUCUUGAAGAUCCAUUUAUUUUCUAUGGCUCGCCGGUAAUCGGGCAAGUCCACGAAAGUCCAUACUUUGUUCUCAUACAUGGAUCCUAUCUCGGAUUUCAUAGCUUCAAGCCAUUUGUUGGAGUCCGGGCCCGCCAUCGCUUCUUCAUAGUUCGAAGGUUCACCGUUGUCUAACAACAUGAUUUCCAUCACAGGGUUGCCGUACCACUCUGGUGCGGAGCAUGCCCUCGUGGACCUUUGCGGUUCAGUAGUAACUUGAUCCGAAGCUUCAUGAUCAUUAUCAUUAACUUCCUCUUCAGUUGGUGCAGGCGCCACACGAACAACUUCCCGCGCUGCGCUACUAUCUUGUUCGAGAGGGGGUGUAAUUACCUCAUCAAGUUCUACCUUCCUCCCACUUACUUCUUUCGAGAGAAACUCUUUCUCUAGAAAGGAUCCGUUCUUGGCAACAAAGGUUUUACCUUCGGAUCUAAGAUAGAAGGUAUACCCAAUAGUUUCCUUACGGUAUCCUAUGAAUACACAUUUCUCCGCUUUGGGUUCGAGCUUUUCUGGUUGAAGUUUCUUCACAUAAGCAUCGCAGCCCCAAACUUUAAGAAACGACAACUUAGGUUUCUUGCCAAACCAUAGUUCAUACGGUGUCGUCUCAACGGAUUUAGACGGUGCCCUAUUUAAAGUGAAUGCUGCAGUUUCUAAUGCGUAUCCCCAAAAUGAUAGCGGUAAGUCGGUAAGAGACAUCAUAGAUCGUACCAUAUCUAAUAAAGUGCGAUUAGGACGUUCAGACACUCCGUUGCGUUGUGGUGUGCCAGGCGGCGUCAGUUGUGAAACGAUUCCACACUUCCUUAGGUGUGUGCCAAACUCGUGACUCAAAUAUUCUCCUCCAUGAUCAGAUCGUAGACACUUAAUUUUUCUGUCGCGUUGAUUCUCGACCUCACUCUGAAAUUCCUUGAACUUUUCAAAUGUCUCAUAUUUGUGCUUCAUCAAGUAGGUAUACCCAUACCUACUCAAAUCAUCGGUGAGAGUGAGAACAUAACGAUAGCCACCGCGAGCUUCAACGUUCAUUGGACCACACACAUCAGUAUGUAUUAUUUCCAAUAAGUCGGUUGCUCUCUCCAUUAUUCCUGAGAAUGGAGUCUUAGUCAUCUUGCCCAUGAGGCACGGUUCACAUGUGUCAAAUGAUUCAAAGUCAAGAGACUCUAGUAGUCCAUCAGUAUGGAGCUUCUUCAUGCGCUUAACGCCGAUAUGACCAAGGCGGCAGUGCGACUAUCAUUAUCAACUUUACAUCUUUUGGUACUCACACUAUGAAUAUGCGUAACAUCACGAUCGAGAUUCACCAAGAAUAAACCAUUCACCAGCGGAGCAUGACCAUAAAACAUAUCACUCAUAUAAAUAGAACAACCAUUAUUCUCUGACUUAAAUGAGUAGCCGUCUCGCAUUAAGCAAGACCCUGAUACAAUGUUCAUUCUUAAAGCUGGUACUAAAUAACAAUCAUUAAGGUUUAAAACUAAUCCCGACGGUACAUGUAGAGGUAGCAUGCCGACGGCGAUCACAUCGACCUUGGAGCCAAUCCCGACGCGCAUCGUCACCUCGUCCUUGGCCAGUCUCCUUUGACUUGCAAAUGUGAGCAACAACACCGGUAUGAAAUACCAAGGAGCUACUACGAGCGCUGGUAAGGUACACAUCAAUAACGUGUAUAUCACAUAUACCUUUAACGUUGCCGACCUUCUUGUCCGCUAAGUAUUUGGGGCAGUUCCGCUUCCAGUGACCUUUUCCCUUGCAAUAGAAGCACUCAGUCUCAGGCUUGGGUCCAUUCUUUUUCUUCUUCCCGACAUCUGGCUUACUGGGCGCGGCAACAACUUUGCCGUCUUUCUUGAAGUUCUUCUUACCCUUGCCCUUCUUGAAACUAGUGGUCUUGCUGACCAUCAACACUUGAUGCUCUUUCUUGAUUUCUAGUUCUGCAGACUUGAGCAUCAAGUACAACUCGGGAAUGGUCUUCUCCAUCCCUUGCAUGUUGUAGUUCAGCACAAAACCUUUGUAGCUUGGUGGGAGAGACUGGAGGAUUCUGUCAAUUAUAGCAUCAUCCGGAAGUUCGACUCCAAGUGAAGUCACACGACCGUGUAACCCAGACAUUUUGAGUAUGUGCUCACUGACAGAACUGUUCUCCUCCAUCUUACAGCUAAAGAACUUGUUGGAGACUUCAGAUCUCUCGACAUGGGCAUGAGCUUGAAAAACUAGCUUCAGCUCUUGGAACAUCUCAUAUGCACCGUGUUGCUCAAAACGCCUUCAGAGCCCCGUUUCUAAACUGUAUAACAUGCCACACCUAACCAGAGAGCAGUCAUCACUCCGCGUUUGCCAGACGUUCAGAAUGUCCUGGGCUGCCGCGGGAGCGGGAGGGUCACCUAGCGGCGCAUUAAGGACAUAAGCCUUUUUAGCUGCUUCAAGGAUGAGCUUCAAGUUACGAACCCAGUCCGCAUAGUUGCUACCAUCAUCUUUGAGCUUGUUUUUCUCUAGGAAUGCGUUGAAAUUGAGGUUGACGUUGGCCAUCUACAAUAUUUAUAAAGACAACUUUUAGACUAAGUUCAUGACAUUUAAGUUCAUUUAAUCAAAUUAAGUAUGAACUCCCACUUAAAUCGACAUCCCUCUAGUCAUCUAAGUGAUACAUGAUCCAUGUUGACUAACCCGUGUCCGAUCAUCACGUGAGACGGACUAGUCACCAUGGUUAGCAACUUCAUGCUGAUCGUAUUCAACCAUAAGACUCAUGUUCGACCUUUCGGUCUCUUGUAUUUGAGGUCAUGUUUGUACAUGCUAAGCUCGUCGAGUCAACCUAGGUGUUUCGCGUGUGUAAAUCUGGCUUACACCCGUUGUAUGCGAACGUUAGAAUCUAUCACACCCGAUCAUCACGUGGUGCUUCGAGACAACGAUCCUUCACAACGGUGCACACUUAGGGGAAUACGUUCUCGAAAUUUUAAGAGGGAUCAUCUUAUUAUGCUACCGUCGUUCUAAGCAAUAAGAUGAAAAACAUGAUAAACAUCACAAUGCAAUCAUACAAUGACAUGAUAUGGCCAUUAUCAUCUUUGCUCUUUCGAUCUCCAUCUUCAGGUAUCGCAUGAUCGUAAUCGUCACCGACGUGACACCAUGAUCUCGAUCAUCAUGAUCUCCAGCAUCGUAUCUCCGUGAAAUCGUCACGCCAACUACUACUAUAGCUAACCGUUAGCAAUGAAGUAAAAGUAGUAAGCACAUGGCGUUGCAUCUCAUACAAUAAAUUAAGACAACUCCUAUGGCUCCUGCCGGUUGUCAUACUCAUCGACAUGCAAGUCGUGAAACCUAUUACAAUAACAUGAUCAUCUCAUACAUCAUACAUGCAACAUCACAACUUUGGCCAUAUCACAUCACAUGUCAAACCCUCCAAAAACAAGUUAGACGUCCUCUAAUUGUUGUUGCAAGUUUUACGUGGCUGAUUUGGGUUUCUAGCAAGAACGCUUUCUUACCUAUGUGACAGCCACAAAGAUGAUAUGCCAAAGCUAUUUACCCUUCAUAAGGACCCUUUUCAUCAAAUCCAAUCCGACUAGAGUAGGAGAGACAGAUACCCGCUAGCCACCUUUAUGCACAGUGUGCAUGUUUGUCGGUGGAACUAGUCUCACGUAAGCGUACGUGUAAGGUCGGUCCGGGCCGCUUCAUCCCACAAUACCGCCGGAAAAUAAUAAUACUAGUAGCGGAAAGUAAUUGACACAUCAUCGCACACAAUCUUUUGUGUUCUACUCGUGCAUAGAAUCUACGCAUAGAAAACCUGGCUCUGAUACCACUGUUGGGUAACGUAGCUUAAAUUCAAAACAAUUCCUACACACAUUCAGAUCUUCCUAUGGAGAGACCAGCAACGAGAGAGGGGUGAGUGCAUCUUCAUACCUUUGAAGAUCGCUAAGCGGAAGUGUUACUAGAACGCGGUUGAUGGAGUCGUACUCGCGGCGAUUCAGAUCGCGGUGUGAUUCCGAUCUAGUGCCGAACUACGGCACCUCCGCGUUCAACACACGUGCAGCCCGGUGACGUCUCCUGCACCUUGAUCCAGCAAGGAGGAGGGAGAGGUUGGGGAAGAACUCUAGCAGCACGACGGCGUGGUGUCGAUGGAGAGACGAGGUCUCCCGGCAGGGCUUCGCCAAGCACCGGUAGAGAGGAGGAGAAAGAAGGGCAGGGCUGCACCGAGGGAGAGGGAAAAGUGUGUCCCCAAUGGCCAAAAGUGCCCACUAUAUAUAUGAUGAGGGGAGGGGGGUGCCACCCUAGGUGGUGCGGCAGCCCCUCCAGAUGGGAGGUGCGGCGGCCAGGGCAGGGAGGAGGGGUGGCGCACCCCUCUAGUGGGCCUUAGGCCCACCUGCGCUAGGGUCCCCCCCUCUCCCAUCUUCCUGCGCCAUAGGCUGAGUGGGGGCGCACCAGCCCACCUAGGGGCUGGUUCCCUCCUCCACUUGGCCCAUCUAGCCUCCCGGGGUUGUUGCCCCCUUUCGAUGGACCCCCUGGGCCACCUCCGGUGGUCCCGGUACGUUACCGGUGACGCCCGAAACACUUUCGGUGUCCGAAACCAUCCGUCCUAUAUAUCAAUCUUUACCUUCGGACCAUUCCGGAGCUCCUCGUGAUGUCCGGGAUCUCAUCCGGGACUCCGAACAACUUUCGAUAACCUCGUAUAACAAUUCCCUAUAACCCUAGCGUCAUCGAACCUUAAGUGUGUAGACCCUACGAGUUUGGGAGACAGGCAGACAUGACCGAGACACCUCUCCGGCCAAUAACCAUCAGCGGGGUCUGGAUACCCAUGGUGGCUCCCACUUUCUCCAUGAUGAUCUCAUCGGAUGAACCACGAUGUCAAGGAUUCAAUCAAUCCCGUAUGCGAUUCCCUUUGUCUGUCGGUAUAGAACUUGCCCGAGAUUCGAUCGUCGGUAUACCUAUACCUUGUUCAAUCUCGUUACGGUAAGUCUCUUUACUCGUUCCGUAGCACGUCAUCAUGUGACUAACUCCUUAGUCACAUUGAGCUCAUGAUGAUGUUCUACCGAGUGGGCCCAGAGAUACCUCUCCGUCACACGGAGUGACAAAUCCCGAUCUCGAUUCGCACCAACCCAAUAGACACUUUCGGAGGUACCCGUAGUGCACCUUUAUAGUCACCGAGUUACGUUGCGACAUUUGAUACACCCAAAGCACUCCUACGGUAUCCGGGAGUUGCACAAUCUCACGGUCGAAGGAAAAAACACUUGACAUUAGAAAAGCUUUAGCAUACGAACAAUACGAUCUAGUGCUAUGCUUAGGAUUGGGUCUUGUCCAUCACAUCAUUCUCCCAAUGAUGUGAUCCCGUUAUCAAUGACAUCUAAUGCCCAUGACCAGGAAACCAUGAUCAUCUAUUGACUAACGAGCUAGCCAACUAGAGGCUUGCUAGGGACACAUUGUGAUCUAUUUAUUCACACAUGUAUUACUGUUUCCUGUUAAUACAAUUAUAGCAUGAACAAUAGACGAUUAUCAUGAACAAGGAAAUAUGAUAAUAACCAUUUUUUUAUUGCCUCUACGACAUAUUUCCAACAAGAGGUAGGACUGCACCGUGGAGAGGUGGAAUUGUGUGUGUGCAGCCCUAAAACCCCUUGGGUUUAUAUAGGAGGAGAGGGAGGAGGGUGCGCCACCCCUAGGGUUUCCCCUAGGUGGUGCGACAACCCUUUAGAUGGGAGAGGGGCAUCGGCGAGGAGGAGGGGCGGUGCCCUAGGGUGGGCUUGGCGCCCAAGGUAGACCCCACGCCUAGGGUUAGCCCUCCCUUCCCCUCUUGUGCGCCUUGGGCUAAGGUGGGAGGCGCACCGGCCCAUCUAGGGGCUGGUUCCCUUCCACUCUUGGACCAUGUAGCCUUUUGGUGCUGGUGGCCUGAUGACCCACAAGUAUAGGGGAUCUAUUGUAGUCCUUUCGAUAAGUAAGAGUGUCGAACCCAACGAGGAGCAGAAGGAUCUCACAAGUGGUUUUCAGCAAGGUAAUAUCUCCAAGCACUGAAAUUAUUGGUAACAAGUAGUUGUGUGGUGAGAUGAUUCGUAGCAAGUAGCAAGUAACAAAAGUAACAACGGUGCAGCAAAGUGGCUCAAUCCCUUUUGUAGCAAGGGACGAGCCUGGACAAAGUCUUAUAGGAGGUAAAACGCUCCCGAGGACACAUGGGAAUUUUUGUCAAGCUAGUUUUCAUCAUGUUCAUAUGAUUCGCGUUCGUUACUUUGAUAGUUUGAUAUGUGGGUGGACCGGCGCUUGGGUACUUGUGACAGCCCGAGACCGACGUUCCAGAAGAUUCCCAUUUUCUUUCCGUUUUCGUCGUGUGUUUAUUUUAUCUGUCGCAUCAUCAUCGCAUCAUGCGCAUCAUCUGCAUUGCAUCGGCAUCCUGUUGCCGCCAGUUUUCAAACUUGCAUCCGUUGUUAGUUGCCAGUUCUCGUCGUUGUCCGUUCUAAGCCCGACCACCCUCGCACGCUCCUGCGGCAUCGUCAAACCCUGUUUUUAAAGUGUGUAAAACUUUCUCCGAUUGGGUUGGAACUUGACGUGCGGUCUUAUUUUAAUAUAGGUAGGCCGCCUAUCGAAUUUCGUCGCAAUCGGAGUCCGUCUGGUACCCGAACUUAAUUGUUCCAUCAUCUUAAUUGUUCCAAUCAUGAGUAAUCCCUUUCUUGCUAUUCGGUGCAUUUCAAUGUUGUGUUCAUUUCUCGAUCCUCCGAAGGCCAUUAUUUAAGAAGAUUCUUCAUUCUCAACUUUCAGCUUUCAAUCUCAAAUUCUUCUCAAUUGUUGUAUCUUUGUUCGUCUCUCAAUUAUUCCGGUGCCUUGUUCUAGUUUUCUCUCAGGUGGAUCAUGAUCUCUUCAUUCUCAUGUAUCUCCAUUUAUUCUUGUUAUAUCCCCAUUCAAUCCAAUUCCUACUGGUGUCUCCAUAAGGACUUGUUCAAGUUUGUGCAUAUCUAUCUCUCUCUUCAAGUUUCUUUUCAAGAAGAAUAAGUGAUAUGCUAAAUCCGUUGUUUGUCAUCAAUUUAACUUGAUGAGGGGUAAGCAUAACAUAAUUCUUAUUCUUGUUCCAUCAAAGUGAUCCCAAUUCUUCUUUCGUAGUGGCCCAUCAUAUCAAUUCUUUAUCCCAUGUGCUUAUCUUUCUUUUCUGGAGUUCCAAGUUCUCUUAAGUAUCUCUUUGUGAAGCUUCAUCUAAAUUGUCACAGCCCUAGAUUAUAGCUUGUAGUUAGUUGCAUCAGUCAGCAUUCAUGAAUGCAUUCAAAUCAAUUUAAUUCAAACUUGGAUGAUCUACAAAUGGGGAUGACCAAACCCUAACACCAAACAACAUCCAAAUAGGUUCAACAAGAAAAAAAUCCUAGCUACUCCAUAUUCAAAACAAAACCCUAGCAACUCUAUAUGCANNNNNNNNNNNNNNNNNNNNNNNNNNNNNNNNNNNNNNNNNNNNNNNNNNNNNNNNNNNNNNNNNNNNNNNNNNNNNNNNNNNNNNNNNNNNNNNNNNNNNNNNNNNNNNNNNNNNNNNNNNNNNNNNNNNNNNNNNNNNNNNNNNNNNNNNNNNNNNNNNNNNNNNNNNNNNNNNNNNNNNNNNNNNNNNNNNNNNNNNNNNNNNNNNNNNNNNNNNNNNNNNNNNNNNNNNNNNNNNNNNNNNNNNNNNNNNNNNNNNNNNNNNNNNNNNNNNNNNNNNNNNNNNNNNNNNNNNNNNNNNNNNNNNNNNNNNNNNNNNNNNNNNNNNNNNNNNNNNNNNNNNNNNNNNNNNNNNNNNNNNNNNNNNNNNNNNNNNNNNNNNNNNNNNNNNNNNNNNNNNNNNNNNNNNNNNNNNNNNNNNNNNNNNNNNNNNNNNNNNNNNNNNNNNNNNNNNNNNNNNNNNNNNNNNNNNNNNNNNNNNNNNNNNNNNNNNNNNNNNNNNNNNNNNNNNNNNNNNNNNNNNNNNNNNNNNNNNNNNNNNNNNNNNNNNNNNNNNNNNNNNNNNNNNNNNNNNNNNNNNNNNNNNNNNNNNNNNNNNNNNNNNNNNNNNNNNNNNNNNNNNNNNNNNNNNNNNNNNNNNNNNNNNNNNNNNNNNNNNNNNNNNNNNNNNNNNNNNNNNNNNNNNNNNNNNNNNNNNNNNNNNNNNNNNNNNNNNNNNNNNNNNNNNNNNNNNNNNNNNNNNNNNNNNNNNNNNNNNNNNNNNNNNNNNNNNNNNNNNNNNNNNNNNNNNNNNNNNNNNNNNNNNNNNNNNNNNNNNNNNNNNNNNNNNNNNNNNNNNNNNNNNNNNNNNNNNNNNNNNNNNNNNNNNNNNNNNNNNNNNNNNNNNNNNNNNNNNNNNNNNNNNNNNNNNNNNNNNNNNNNNNNNNNNNNNNNNNNNNNNNNNNNNNNNNNNNNNNNNNNNNNNNNNNNNNNNNNNNNNNNNNNNNNNNNNNNNNNNNNNNNNNNNNNNNNNNNNNNNNNNNNNNNNNNNNNNNNNNNNNNNNNNNNNNNNNNNNNNNNNNNNNNNNNNNNNNNNNNNNNNNNNNNNNNNNNNNNNNNNNNNNNNNNNNNNNNNNNNNNNNNNNNNNNNNNNNNNNNNNNNNNNNNNNNNNNNNNNNNNNNNNNNNNNNNNNNNNNNNNNNNNNNNNNNNNNNNNNNNNNNNNNNNNNNNNNNNNNNNNNNNNNNNNNNNNNNNNNNNNNNNNNNNNNNNNNNNNNNNNNNNNNNNNNNNNNNNNNNNNNNNNNNNNNNNNNNNNNNNNNNNNNNNNNNNNNNNNNNNNNNNNNNNNNNNNNNNNNNNNNNNNNNNNNNNNNNNNNNNNNNNNNNNNNNNNNNNNNNNNNNNNNNNNNNNNNNNNNNNNNNNNAAUCCCAGACAGAGGUCUGGCUCCUUUGGUAGGGUUGUAGUAGCUUUUCAGGCUCUUCCAGCCACUUUUAGUAGAUGUCUGUACCCAGACAUGAUUUGCUUCCGCUUGUUGUUUGUAUGACUUGAGUGUCGGGUCACGAGACCCCUGUUUGUAAUAUCACACUAUGUUAAUUCUUACGAGUCCUUAAUAAAAGCUUGAGUCAUAGAGUUAUGUUGCGAUGCCAUGUUGUAUCUANNNNNNNNNNNNNNNNNNNNNNNNNNNNNNNNNNNNNNNNNNNNNNNNNNNNNNNNNNNNNNNNNNNNNNNNNNNNNNNNNNNNNNNNNNNNNNNNNNNNNNNNNNNNNNNNNNNNNNNNNNNNNNNNNNNNNNNNNNNNNNNNNNNNNNNNNNNNNNNNNNNNNNNNNNNNNNNNNNNNNNNNNNNNNNNNNNNNNNNNNNNNNNNNNNNNNNNNNNNNNNNNNNNNNNNNNNNNNNNNNNNNNNNNNNNNNNNNNNNNNNNNNNNNNNNNNNNNNNNNNNNNNNNNNNNNNNNNNNNNNNNNNNNNNNNNNNNNNNNNNNNNNNNNNNNNNNNNNNNNNNNNNNNNNNNNNNNNNNNNNNNNNNUAGCUUGCUACGACUCGUGACAAAACCACAACAGUUGGCACCCACCGUGGGGCCUGCGCACGGUGGAGUUGAGUUCUCAAAGGGAGCCCUACCAGGGUCCGGGAGCUACGCAGCGGGGCUCAUGACUCAGAGCCGCCGCGGGAAGUACUACGUCGACAACUUGCUAUGGGGAACCGAGGCCGAUUCGAUCGAAUCCGGUUACAGAAUCCCCUUCGGCAAGAUCAACGUCUUCGUCGGCAUGAUUGGAUCGCCUAUGCCUGAGCCAGACACCUCCUCCGACAUCGUCGAGCCGGCCAGGUACGUCCGCCCUGUCGCGAUGCCAAACCUAACCCGUCCGGUCUUUGUUGGGUUCAUGCAGGGAUCUGAGGAACCAGAACAAUCGGCGACCCACGAGACCACGCCGGUCAACACUGAUGACGAAUCGUCCAUGGGCGAUUCAGAUUCAAUUCAGUCUCUACAUGGGGGCUGCCUUAGGGGCUUGUCACUAUCCAUGGACCCCGAAGUUCUUGACCGGACUCACCGUCCGAUUGCCGUUUACAUGGCAGGGGUGACUCAACCCUCGCCAAACCCGGCAGGCGGAGAUGGGACUGGCGAAAUGUCUAGAAGCCCGACCGCGAUCUUGGUGGAGUUAGCGGCGGAGAUAACAAGGCUCAUGGCGACCCCCAUAACAUCGGAAAACCAGGACGCGGUAAACACGGAAUUGACGAAACUAAGAGAUGGGGUGGCAAAGGCUCAGCGGGACGCUGAGGUGGAGGCCGCCAGGAUUGAGACCCGGCAGGCUCAAAUUACCGCUGAGGUAGCUCGCUUGAAUACCGAAAACUGGCGGCUCGAAAGGCAUCAGCGCGCACCUGACGCCGUCCAUCAGCGGAGGCAUCAAGGUCGUUUGCCCCCUGAUCUCAACCCGACCCACCUGUUCGACACUCCACAAAAUCCCGGGGCAGGAGACGCCCCGAGGGGAGGGCCGGGCCAGCCACCGAACCCGCCAUUUCAGCCAGCUGUGGAUCGCAUUCCCCGAUUCCCGACACCUCAAGGUCACUUUUCCAACCCGGUGGACAACGUCCUUGCCGCAACUCGCCAUUUAGAGUCCCUUCCGAUUCAUGGCAACACUCCAGCUGAAAUAGAAGCAAGGAACGCCAUUGAGAUGUUGAAGACGGCGGUGGUUCAAAACGCCCAGUUCUCACACAGCCUAGAUCGGGUGCACUCCACUCCCCAGGCAAGCCGCACCAGGAGUCGACCAGAGGACCAGCCCGCCAUAACCAGCGGACCGCGACCCUUUCCCCAGGUCAACUCGCCUGAUCAUCGAGACCCGCCAGGUCGGGAUCACCCGGACACCCAAGUCGCCCCAGCGCCUCUUGUUGGAAGCGGCAGACAAGUGGGGGUGCCGUGCUUGGCCCCCGCCCUUCGCAACGAGCGAAUGCCCAAGGAUUUUAAAGGUCCAAGAAAGGUGCCUAACUACACUCCGAACCUUGAGCCGGCGUCAUGGGUCGAGAGUUACGAAAUCGCCAUGGACAUGCUAGAUGUAAGCAAAGCAGUCUGCGCCAUAUACUUCACAAUGAUGCUCGAAGGGACGACGCGUACUUGGUUAAAAAACUUGCUCCCAACUCCAUCCAGACUUGGGCUGAAUUAAAAGAGCGUUUCGUCAAAAACUUCCGAGGAACAUGCAAGCGCCCGAUGACAAUAGUCGAUUUACAGCACUGCGUUCAACGCCCGGAUGAGUCGGCCCACCACUAGUUGCGGCGGGUCGCGGAAAUCAUUCAUUCUUCAGAUGGUAUCACGGCGGCUCAUGCUGUGCUGAUCCUGGAGGAGAACUGCCACUAUGAGCCCUUGGUGCAUAAGUUGGGACGACUCAAGCGAAAAGUCCAAGACAUGGGGGAGCUAAUGGACACCCUCACUAGGUACGCUGAGGCGGACGACACCAAACAUCCCGGAGAAGAUGGUGGUAAAGCCAACUCGCCAAGGAAAGGCGAGUCGUCCAAAAAUCAUACCCGGUUCCAGGGACGCGCCCGCCAUAAUCAUCGAGCGAAUGGCAAAACAAGGCAACAAGAAGAGUCUUCGGACUUAGUCGCCAACACCAACACCAACAAUGGCAACCAGCGCUAGAAGAAGAAUAGGGGUUACAGUGGCAAAAAGUCAUGCAACUAUAAUGAGUUACUCAAGGGCCCCUGCCCGCACCAUGCCAUGGCAGACGGACCGGCGACUCAUUCCUGGGAGGACUGUUACGUGAUGCGGGAGUUUCGGGCGGAGGCGAUCAAAAAAGGGCAAGGCGGUGACCCGGACCAACGGCAGGAAUAGUUUGGCGCACCUAAUCAAUGCCAGAACCCCUUCGGCGGUUUCCCCGAACCCGGGGCUCAGGGUGGCUCGCAGCCAAGCAGUGGCCAGUAUCUGGUGCAUCACUAACGACGGUAUAACCCGCCAGGAGUCUUUCAACAACUACCCCCACAGGGGGCUCCGCAGGGGCAGGAUGACAAUGGCGGCUUCCGCAACAACCCCAAGCAGUUAAGCAAUGGGCAGUAUCACGUCUUCACCACCAAUGCCUGCAGGCGUGAUAAAAAGGUGAGUCACCGAGCGUACAGUGUAUCUGAGCCGGCACUCCCUAGAUACCUCCACUGGUCCGAGCAGACUAUAUCGUGGAGUAGGGAGGAUCACCCGCCAAGAGUUGACAAUCCCCGCGACUUAGCGUUGGUCAUGGCUCCUCAAGUUGGAGGAUAUACCUUAUCGAAGGUACUGAUGGAUGGUGGUAGCAGCAUCAACAUAUUAUACUUCGACACCUUCCAAAGGAUGAACCUGUUGGAGAAAGAUUUGAUGCCCUCAACCACGGUGUUCCAUGGGAUUGUCCGAGGUAAAUCGGCGUACCCCAUAGGCCGAGUUAGGCUCACAGUUGCAUUUGGAAUAGCGUCUAACUACAGGAGUGAGUCGCUUAUGUUUGAAGUGGUCAAGUUAAAAAGCCCCUACCAUGCGUUGUUUGGGCGGCCGGCUUACGCCUGGUUUAUGGCUCGCCCCUGCUAUGUUUACCUUAAACUCAAGAUGCCUGGUCCUAAAGGACCCAUCACGGUUGAUGGUGAUAGGAGGAUCGCAAGAGAGUGUGAAGAAGGGGAUGCGGCUUACGCAGAAGUCGCCUGUGCUGCGGAAGAGCUUAAAUAUCACGAGGCCAAUGUUGAUCCGGCUGAUAUGUCCCCUUUAAAGAAGCCAACGAUAGACACUGAGCCGUCCCUCAACUUCAAACCAACAGAUGACACUAAGACAGUGGAUUUCGUCCCUGGCGACUCAACCAAGCAGUUCACUAUCGUGGCGGGUCUAGACCCCAAAUAGGAAAGCAUGCUCAUCGAGUUCAUCCGUGAGAAUCGGGACAUCUUCGCAUGGAAACUUCUGACAUGCCUAGUGUGCUGAGAGAAUUCGCUGAGCAUCAUCUUAAUGUUGACCCAAAAGCAAAACCGAUUCAGCAAUAUCUUAAUGCUGAGCAUCAUCGAGUUCAUCCGUGAGAAUCGGGACAUCUUCGCAUGGAAACUUCUGACAUGCCUGGUGUGUUGAGAAAAUUCGCUGAGCAUCAUCUUAAUGUUGACCCAAAAGCAAAACCGAUUCAGCAAUAUCUUCGCAGGUUCUAUGAGGAACGACGCAAGGCAAUCGGGGAAGAAGUUGCCCGUCUCUUGGCCGCUGGAUUCAUCGUAGAGGUCUUCCACCCCAAAUGGUUGGCUAACCCGGUCCUGGUGCUCAAGAAAAACGGUACCUUCCGUAUGUGCAUUGAUUACACGGAUCUUAACAGAGCCUUUCCAAAGGAUCCUUUCGCUCUUCCCCGCAUCGAUCAAAUUAUUGAUUCAGUGGCGGGAUGCGAACGUUUGUGCUUCCUGGACGCUUAUUCCGGAUAUCACCAAAUCAAGAUGGCUAUGGAAGAUCAGGAGAAAACGGCAUUUAUAACCCCCUUCGGGGCUUUUUGCUAUGCGUCCAUGCCAUUUGGACUCAAGAGUGCAGGGGCGACUUAUCAGCGCUGCAUCCAAAAUUGCCUCCGUGGCCAAAUCGGAUGCAACGUUCAUGCCUACGUUGAUGACAUUGUGGUUAAAACUCACAGGAAGGAAACACUACUGGGAGACCUAAAGGAAACUUUUGAUAAUCUGCAAGUAUACCAGAUGAAGCUUAAUCCCACCAAGUGUGUCUUUGGUGUUCCUGUAGGAAAAUUGUUGGGUUUCCUGGUGACUGAGCACGGCAUUGAAGCUAACCCAGACAAUAUCGAGGCGAUUACUUCCCUUGGAAAACCGGCGAAUAUUAAUCAAGUCCAACGGAUGGCGGGUCAUAUUGUGGCCUUAAGUUGCUUCAUAAGCCGUGUGGGAGAAAAGGCUAUUCCCCUUUAUCAAUUGCUUAAGAAAUCUGACCAUUUUGUUUGGACACACGAAGCCAAUGAAGCUUUCGAAGCCUUAAAAUAGCAGCUGGUCAACCCGCCGGUCUUGGUCGCCCCGACUGAGAAAGAGCCCAUGCUUUUGUAUAUUGCGGCAAACUCCAAAGCGGUGAGUGUGGCAGUGGUCAUCAAAAGGAAGGAGGAAGGGAAGGAAUAUCCAGUGCAACGCCCGGUGUAUUUCGUUAGCGAGGUGCUAACUCUUUCCAAACAGCGAUACCCACACUAGCAGAAGUUAGUUUAUGGGGUCUUUAUGGCGAGCCGGAAGCUCAAACAUUAUUUCAAAGAGCAUCCCAUCACGGUGGUUAGCUCCCCUCCCCUCGGGGACAUCAUCCAGAAUCGGGAAGCAAUAGGGAGAAUCGCCAAGUGGGCAAUCGAGCUCGGACCACACCACGUGCGAUACACUCCUCGCACGGCCAUCAAGUCUCAGGCCUUGGUUCAUUUCGUCAACGAUUGGACCGAGUUACAGAUCCUGGAAGACAGGCCUGACCUUACAUACUCGACUAUUUAUUUUGACGGAUCUAGACAGUUGGAAGGCUCGGGGACUGGCGUGGUGCUGAUAUCGCCUCAAGGAGACAAAUUCUGCUAUGUCCUCCGACUCAUGUUUCCAUGUACCAGCAACGCUGCGGAGUACGAAGCUUUACUUCAUGGCUUGCGACUCGCCAAGGAGAUGAACCUUACGCGGGUCAGAUGUUUUGGCGAUUCUGAUUUGGUGGCUCAGGAAGUUUCAGGUACUUGGGAUUCUCGGGACCCUCUGAUGGCGGCUUAUAGGAGGGUUGUGUCUGAUGUGGCGGGUCACUUCCAUGGCUAUCAGGUCGAUCACAUCGACCGGCGCCUUAACGAAGCAGCUGAUGCCCUUUCACGUCUUGGUUCCCAACGUAAGCCGGUUCCCCCCAAUGUUUUUCUGGAUACUCUGCAUAAUCCUUCCGUAAGGUUACCCUCGGAGGAGGAGUUGGCAAUACCAGACCCUGAGUCUCAGUUCGUGGCGGCUCUCCAUGUUACGCCGGAUUGGGUUCUUCCGUAUCUGGCCUAUCUCGCCCGAGGGGAGUUACCUUCGGAUGAGGUAUUGGCUCGCCAAAUCAUUCGGCGAAGCAAAACUAUGGUGAUCAUCAAUGGCAAAUUAUAUAAACGAAGCACUUCCGGGGUUUUCCAAAGAUGUGUUUCCUCCGAAGAAGGAUGCAUAAUUCUAAACGACAUUCAUUCCGGAGAUUGUGGGCAUCACGCCGGGUCACGCUCCUUGGUUUCAAAAGCGUUUCGUCAUGUUUUUUCUGGUUGACGGCCCAUGCAGAUGCAGAGGAGAUAGUUCGUCGAUGUGACGGAUGCCAGCGUUAUGGACGACAGGCCCAUGUGCCGGCUCAAGAACUAAGGAUGAUACCCAUCACUUGGCCUUUCGCGGUCUGGGGGUUAGACAUGGUUGGCCCCUUUAAAAUGUCGUCCAACAAAAAAACUCAACUGCUAGUGGCGGUUGAUAAGUUCACCAAGUGGGUUGAAGCAGAACCUAUUGGAGCUUGCGAUGCGGAGACGGCGGUCAAAUUCUUGAAAAAAUUUGAUCUUCCGGUUCGGGUAUCCACACAGCAUUAUUACUCACAGUGGCACUAAACUGUCUCAAGGAGCGAUGCAGGAGUUUUGCCAUCGUGAGCACAUCCGGCUUGAUGUUUCUGCAGUAGCUCACCCGCAAUCUAAUGGACAGGCGGAGCAGGCGGAGCAGGCGAAUCAGGAAGUGUUGCGAGGAAUCAAACCCCGACUCAUGGUUCCCCUGGAACGUACCCCGGGGUGUUGGGUUCAGGAGUUGCCUUCAGUACUAUAGAGCAUCCGGACCACCCCGAACCGUUCUACGGGUUUUACUCUCUUCUUUCUGGUAUAUGGAGCAGAAGCCGUUCUUCCCACUGACAUUAGGCAUGACUCGCCCAGAGUUGCCGCUUAUGUGGAACAGGACAACGAGUUAGCGCUUCAAGAUUCUUUGGACGCCUUGGAGGAAGAACACGAUUUAGCUGCAGCCCGAUCGGCCAUUUAUCAGCAGGACUUACGGCGUUAUCACAGCCGCCGGGUCAAGAGCCGAACUUUGCAGGAGGGCGACUUCGUGCUUCGAUUGAUACAAGAUCGUACUGGUAUGCAUAAGUUAUCACCGCCAUGGGAAGGACCGUUCGUCGUCAGCAAAAUCCUUCGCAACGGGUCCUACUAUCUGGUGGAUCUACGGCCUGAUCGUCCAACCACGGAGGCUGAGUCAACUCGCCCCUGGAACAUAGCCCACUUGCGGCCUUAUUACACUUGAGCUAUUAGCUCUACAUUUUGUAAGUUUUUCAUUUCUUAUAAAGCAAUAAAAUUGAUGCCUCCCAGCUUGGGGGCUUUCCUGCUAAUUCAUCUUAUUGAAAAGUAUGGAUCUUUAUUUUUAUUCUUCAAUAAGUCGCCCAAGCAUGGACGCUAUCCAUACCAAAGAGCUUAAGUCGCCACGAUGCGCUUAUUACAAAACUGGGUAUCGAUAAGCCAAAGAGGAUCGAAGUCGCUGCAAGCGCGCGAUUCAAACAUAGGCGCCUUAUAUGAUUCUGUCGAUUAGGCCGACUUACUUGAGGGCAGUUUGUUCUCAAGUCGUUUUGUGGUAAUAGCGUAUACGCUUCUACAAUCCUAUGACGGUCUUUCCCUUAAUCAUAGGUCACUUGGGGGCUUCCUCUCAGUGAGAUCAGCCUUACUACCCAUUUGGCCUGCGAAAAAUUACCGCAUUACAAAUGGUUAUACUGGACUGUGUGUUGGCCGAAUCGCCAAAUGGACCCAUGAAUUCUUGGCGAGUUACUCCACUCAUGGACCCUGAACUCGCCUUGGUUAAAACAUGUCUCGUACCGGCUAGCGCCUCACAUGGAAAAUAGAGAAACCAUUGGUUCACUGAACCCGCUUCACUGAAGCUUGACUCGUGCCUGAUCAGCCGGUCUAAAUACUUGAGCUUUUUAUACAAAACUCUCCCUCGGGUAGCACUUGAGUUUAUUUAACUCGUCCUAUCCUGUCGCGACCUGAUGAGCCGACGAAAUUGCUAUUUUUUACCUUCCUGGCACUGCCACAAGGUCUUUCAGACUUUUUUCUGACUCGCCUCAAAUAUCUUGGGUCGAUUAUUAUUUAUUAUCAUCCAUUACUCACCGAGAUGGUUUGAUAUAUGUUUUUAAGCCUAACAGGUUGAUUAUCAAAAUCAUUCUAGCCAUGGCGGGUCAAGCAUCAUAAAGACGCCUUGACGGCGGGUCAAGCAUUCUAAAGCGCCUUAAGGGCGACAUAAGGGUUUUUCAAGACAUCACAGAAGCAGUUUGAUCUCUAAAAAGACUUAUUACAUGGCUCUUAUGGCCAAAUCUAUGGAGGUUUAUUCUACUGAUGUCCUCGGAUCAGCCUGCUGCGAGCUCUGGCUGACUUCAAUUUGCAAGUCGCCCAGUACCCAGUUACACUUGGAUAACGCGGCGAACUCAUCUUCAUCGUUCAGCACUGAUGAGAGAUCCACCUCCAAGUCAAAAGGAUUCUUGGGUCGACGUGGAGUUAAGCUGGUCGUUACAAAGGUUGGCGGGUUAACUUUCUUGUUCUUGUUGUCAUAGGCGGCUUGGUAUUUUGAUAAAUCCAAGCUUGCGGCAAGCUGAGUUGCUGCCAAACGGGAUUCUUUGACAACACGCAGGUAAUCCUCUUCAGCAAAUUCUGACCCGUCAUCCUUGAGCUCGGGAAAGCCUGCCGCUACCUCUUCAGGGUUUAUUUCCGGAGCAUACGCCAGACACCAACUCAGCGUAGUCAGUGCUCCAUUUUGGGCAGCAGACCGAGUUAGCUCACCAAUUUGAGGAGGAAGAGUAGAUAAGCAGCCAAGCAUCUUCUUUAUUGAUGUUAUGGGUUCCUUGGCACCCAUCACUGCUUUCAUGGUCAGCACACUUCCGGUAUACAACUGCUCCGUCAACGUGUAAAUCGCCUUCAGCAUCAGGACACAAUCGUUCUGAAGAUUGGCGGCUCUCGGACCUGCAUAAGGAGUAAUGAUGGUCAGCGAUUUCUACAAGUUAUUUAUUUACAAAGUGCAAGGUCAGGGGUUGGUUUUUACCAAAGACGGCUUGUGCCAUGUUGGAGAUAUGUCGCUUUAAGCCGGCCAGCUCUUGUUGAACAGUAUCAAACUUAGCUUCAGCUUUAUCUGCUCGCUUUAUUAGGGCAUCUUGAUCAGCUUGAGCCUUUUUUAAGUCGGCUUUUAGCUUCUCCAUCGCAGAUUAGAUCAGUUGACACUUCUCUUGUGAUUUUUCCCGGGCAUCCUACUGAUCGGUUAAAUUUUUCUUCAAGUCGCCAAAUGCUGAUUCAGUUUGGGUAAGUGAUUCCUGUCGAAAUAUAUAGUCAAGGGGCAAGUCUCAGAAUUAUUGCAAGCAACAUCCCUGACACUUGGGGGCUAAUGUAUAAUUUUUUAGACAAAUUAUACAGUAUCAAGACCCGCCUCAUCUUUUUACAGAUGACCCGGCCCUUGGGGGUUACAGGUCGAAAGUUUUCUUCCAUUAUCAAGACCCGACUCAUCUUUUUACAGAUGACCCGACCCUUGGGGGUUACAGGUCGAAAGUUUUCUUCCAUUAUCAAGACCCGGCUCAUCUUUUUACAGAUGACCCGGCCCUUGGGGGUUACAGGUCGAAAGUUUUUCUUCAAUUAUCAAGACCCGGCUCAUAUUUUUACAGAUGACCCGACCCUUGGGGUUACAGGUCGACAUAUUCAUUUUACUAUUAAGACCCGGCUCAUCUUUUACUGAUGACCAGGCCCUUGGGGGUUAAUAAGGAUGAUACAGUAUGCAAUAAGACGUACCUCAUGUUUGUUCUUCAGCAUGAGAAGAAGACUUUUUUCCAUCUCAUAACUCGCCUCCAGGCGAUUUGCAAAGCCAGAGCAAAGUUCUCUGAAUUCAAGAUUCUCAUACUGGGAGAGCUUAGCCUUGGAAAGUUCAUGCUCAAAAGCAGGUUGAGCUGAUGAUGAUACAUGCUUCGAUAAAACUGUUGUGGCCGGCUUACAAAAGCGAGUGCCGGUGAUGACCACAGCGUCUGGGUCUUCUGCUGUUUUCAAUGGACUUGGCGGAUUAGGCGUUUCCAUGGUUUCCUUGGGCGACCUUGGGAGGUCCACUUGAUCUUCAGGUUUAUCUUGGGCAGGGUUAUCCUGGAUCGGCGCCGAUUUUUCAACAGGCUCCGAAGCUGUAAUGGGAGUUGACCCGCCAGUUUUCCUUUUCUUCGCCUGUGUCCUAAAAGGAAAAGGGGGUGUGCUUAAAUAAACAGACAUUACCACCAUCAGGACAAGGUAAAUGUAAUAAAAGACUUACCCUGGGACGUGGAUCAUCGGUGGAAGUGCUGACAGCACAGAGUCGCCGAAUGAAGGAGGAGAACUCUGCAAAAAUAACACUUCAAGAUGUGAGAGAGUUAUAAAAGCGAUCCAAAAGGAAAUGAAGAUGUGCUAUUAAAAGAUACCUCAUUUUGCCUUUUCUUGGUUCUUGUUGGUAACCCGGACACCAAGUUUCCAGAAUGACUCUGAGUUUUCCGACUUGAGGCAUGUUGCGCUUUCUUCAAAAGGAAAUUUGGAUCCAAACAAGCAUUCGGGUGUGAGAAGGGAACUUUCCCACAAAUUCGUCUGGCCGGCUUAGAUGGAGGAGAAGAUGAGUCGGAGGAAACAUAAGUUACCUCUAUGGAGUCUUCCUAGCUUUCAUUUUCCUCAUUCUACACAAGAGUUACAGAGGCGUAAACACAAAACUAUCAACAAUGAAUGGCGAGUUAAAGAGGAUGGAUUUUACCUCUGAAAGUACGUCGCCGACUUGGGAUUCAUCGGCGCCAGAUGGCUUAGUGACGGCGGCUUUGCCCUUGCCCUUGGACUUCUUCUUUGGAGGCGGCCUGACUUGUUUCAAGGCCAUCUUUUUUGGCCUCCUGGACCAGAAUUUGUCACCUUUAUGAAAUGGCAUUUUUUAUUUAUAAGAGGUCUUAGCUCAAGUAAGACAGAAGGAAUAAAGCAAAAAGCGGGUUAAGUUAUUUACCUUUGGUGCCGGGUUGAUCUUGCAGAACGGCUUAAGACCUAUUUGGCCGCACUUGGCCGCUGGUUCGCCGGUCAAUUUCUUGAUGAUGGUUACAAUAUCAUUUUCUGUCAGUGCUGUGUGGAAGUAGCACUGAGGGUGAUCCAGGGUACCAUCAAAAUCACACAUUAAUCCAUCCCGGCGACUUAAGGGGAGGAUACGCCAUUCGACCCAGCAGCAGAUUAUGUCAACCCCAGUAAGGCCGUUGUUUGUCAGAGAUCUUAACUCAGACAGUACUGGGAUAAAGUCUGACUCCUCUUCUUCGGUGAGCUUGUCUGGGAGUUUGAAAUUUGUUGGAAGGCGAUCCUUCCUAUAGCCAAGAAGCUUGUUCUCACCCUCAGGCGAAGUCUCCUGGCAGUAAAACCAAGACUCGCCCCAGCCUUUGGGAUGGCUUGGCAUGGCGAGUGAUGGGAGCGAACUAUCCCUACGGCGUUGAACAUUGACACCUCCAAGCUCCAAGCUAGGGCCAUUGGAAAAUUCUGUCUGGCGAUUCAAAUGGAAGAAGUACCAGAAUAAAGGAACUGAGGGUUCCAUCUGCAAGUAGGCCUCACAAAACACGUGGAACUGGCAUAAAUUGCUCAUCGAGUUGGGCCCUAAGUCCUGGAGGCGGACAUUCAUAAAGGUCAUGGCAUCUCUGAGGAAUUUUGAUCCGGGCGGCUUAAUACCCCGUUCAAGGUGUUCAACAAAAACAACAAUCUCCCCUUCUUUCGAGUUGGGGAUCUCCUCUCCUAACCCGGAACGCCAACCGAUAACCUCUUGAGGGUCCAGAUUCCCCGUUUUCACACAGUUAUUAAGGAGAGUAUCAUCAACCUUGGUCGGGAGCCAAUCACUUUUGAAAACGGUGCCCAUGCUACAAAGGGACAAAAUUACGGGUAAAUUAACUCGCCAAGCAUCUACUAAUCGGUGAAACAGAUCAUUUGACUCGCCAAAACAGUUUGCCUGAUAGCUGAGGGAGUUUUUUGACUCGCUGAUAAAGGUCCGGGUCAGGAUACCAGGGCGACUUAUGAAAUUCUUACUACUUAAAGGAAAGAUGGUUCAGAGCUUCAGUGGUGUCCGCCAAAAUGGUGAAGUAUGAAUCUAUAAACAGGUUUCACGCAACAGGCAGUAAUAUAUGGAUCUACAGAACAUGCAGAAAUGAAUGCGAAAAGGACUGGGUAGAACGGCCUAUGACUAAGAUGAAAACAGUAUGGUUGAUCCGGUGAAAUCCUUUUUAAGUGUGCAAAUCAAGGCUAAGAAACUGAGGGUAUGGAAAAUGUUGAUGUGUUCACUAUCAUCACCACCAACUAGCCGAGAAUUACGAAGCUAUUCGUGAUGUUCCAAAGGAACAGUGGACAUGAACUUUGAAAAGCUUAGAUCUGCCUACAAUGGCGGGAGGCUGACCUGGUAAGUGCAACUGGGGGUGUCCGAAGAAAGAUUCGCGGCGAGCAUCGCACGUUCGGCAGCUCCCGGACGGCGCGAAGAUCUCGGACGACAACGAAGAUCUCGAAGCGGUGGCGAAGAUCUCCGGCGGCGACGAGGUGCUCGGACGACAGUGAAGCCUUCGGGCGGCGACGAGGUUCUCGGGCGACGGCGGAGCUCUCCGGCGGCGACGAAGUGCUCGGGUGGCGACGAAGCUCUCGGGUGGCGACGAGGCUCUUGGUGCGACGGCGAGGAAGAAGAGGGCGACAAGAUGGGUAGGUGGAAAUGUGCCCUGUCCCCUCCUCCCGCCUAUUUAUCAGGUCGGGCGCUAGGAUCGAGGCGCCACAAGCAGGAACUGCCAAAAAGAUAAAGAUUCGCCAUGAUGGCGCCCCGAAAUUUUCGGGAUAGUGAUACACAAGGAUCCAUUGGAGAUUACGUCAUCAUCUCUUCUGAGAUUAAAGGGAUGAGAAGGCGCCAACAAGAAGUGGUUUGGUGACUUGAGUUUUUCCACAACAGAUGGCGGUUUAAGUGCAUGGUGCGUAAGAACAGCGAGAUGAAUCGCCCCUAACUGGGUGAGGAUAUUGGCGUGAAAAAAUUCAAGUCAAUCUGGGGCCUAAUGUUGGGGAUAUUAUCUGUUGGGUAACCCGCCCUAGUUGGGCCGGGUCACCCAAGCUGGCGACUCAUCUCCAAGUGGUUCCGGCCUUGGCCCAGCGAGGUCGGGAGUCGUAUGACGGUUCAGGACCUUCGGGAGAGGUCCAUAGUAGGGAAUAUCUCCAAGUCUUGGAAAGAUGGCGACUUAGAGAUCGGAAGAAUCACGAUUUCUAUAAAGGAAAGGACCCUUGUAAACCCUAAGGACUCGACUUGUAUAUAAAGGCGAGUCCGAGGGAAGGAGAGGGUAGGUUAGAAAUCAUCGAGUGCUAGGUCAGGCGAGUUACGCCCCCUUGUAAUCGAAACAUCAUCAAUACAAACUCCAAGCAUGACGUAGGCAUUUACCUCCUCACGAGGGGCCGAACCUGGGUAAAUAUUUGUAUCGCUCCCACAUAACCCCUUUGAGUCGCCACCAAUAGGUGUGACGGCUCCAACACUAAGUCCUUUCACGAGGACAUCUGCCGCGACAAAACCACGACACUUGUGUCAUUCUUAUUCUGAGUCAUCCUCUUCUUUAUUCUACGGGGUUCCAUAAUUAGGCUUUCUCAUCUAUUCAUUAGGAUGACGAGUCGAUCUCAUAGAUCCCUAUAGAAUUUCGUGGAAAGUCGUAUUCGAUGAAAGUCGUAUGUACGGAUUGGAGGGAGAUCUUUCCUAUCUUUCGAGAUCCACCCUACAAUAUGGGGUCAAAAAGCCAAAAAUAUAACUGAUUUUAGCCCUUAUAAAAAGAAAACGGAUUCUUGAACCUCUUUCACACUCAUGUCACGUCGAGGUACUGCAGAAAAAAGAACUGCAAAAUCCGAUCCAUUUUUUUGUAAUCGAUUAGUUAACAUGGUGGUUAACCGUAUUAUGAAAGACGGAAAAAAAUCAUUGGCCUAUCAAAUUGUUGGAGACUUAUAGAAAAGUUGUUGUCUUCCUGGAUCAAUGUCUCCAUAAGAAUUCAAUUGUUAUGUUGUUAGCUUUCUUGCACGUUGCCUCAUGUUUCAUGCCCGUACAGCCGUUAUGAUGUCCGAGUUUUCCAGAGUCCCCAAAUAGUCCGAUGCGAUUGCAAAUUCCUUCCUCUUUUCCCAAUGUCUUUUGGCCGAACAAAGCACACUAAUAAUUGUGUUGAGGUACUCUAUUACCUCGACGUUUUGUUGAAGUAUUAGGGAAACAUGUUACUCCGAAAACUACCCAAUAGUCUAGAUGUGUGCUAUGUCUUCCAGUGUGAUAGUUCUCGCCAUCAUUUUCGGAAACAUCUCAUGAUGUUAUUUAGUUUUUAGGUAUUCUAUUUCUGGGUCAUUGAAUCCAAGGAUCAUUCUGCUCAUCUCUGUUUAUAGUGUUUCUAGUUCCUUUAGAAUGAUUAGUAACCUUGUUGUAGCUCCCAAGGUUCAUGGUAUAUCAUUUUUCCAACACCAUGAAUCAUCUUUGGCAGAAGUUCUCCGUGAACUAAAGAUUAUAACAAGAGUGCUCGUGAUGAGUUCUCUACUCCAUAUUGUGAUUCUGCCUACCCCGCCCUUCUGCAUGGGUUAUCUGGAAAAAUUAUGUUGAACUUGUUCGACAUUUUAAUCCAUGCAUCCAUAACUCAAUAAAUCAUGUGCUCUUGAGUUGGCCCUAUCUAGUUGUAUUUUGACCUUCAUCAUUGAGAGGAUAGUCAAGAGUAAUUGUGCAUUCGUGUCAUCAAUGUCUUUUAUUCCUGUGGUCUCUCAAAUUGUUCUAUUCUCGAAUGACUGGGAGAAGCAAACUCCAGUACCUCAUUCAUUUCUUGGAUUGGGUCAAAGUAGUUGUAUUCCGUAGAUCGAAAUUCUAACCAGCUUUUGUUCUGUUCUAUCUCGGAGUAUUACCCUCUUGUUGUCAAGAAUGUUGUGAGAAUUGCACCAUCUCUUAGGAACUCUUGAUGUAGUGAUACUUCUCGCUAUCAUUGUUCAUCCCUCGGUUUUCGUGUUGGUUGUAACCGGAAUAUCGACAAGUGAACCAUGAUGUGUGAAAUCAAUACUCCUAGCAAUGCCAUUGUUUAGUAGUUAAUGGACAAUAAAUUCACUCUUAUGGUGAUGAUGAUUGAAUCGUCAUCCUAAGAUUGAUCGUGCUACCUAGUGCAUGGUUCAUGGUGCACUUUUCGAUCAAUGAGUUAGGAUUUUGUCAAUCCCUCGUUCUAUUGAUCACAUCAUCUUGCCCUGAAGAGCAAGAUUGUUCCCGAACUUAAUAACAUAUCGGUGGUUCGUGAUUUUCCAAAUAUCUUCUCGGAAGUAUUACCAGGUUGUUUCCUGACUGUUAUGAUAGAGCUCGUGAUCAAGUUGGUUUUUCUAUAAACCAACCCCUUCUCCAAGAAUCUGUAUUGGAUACCCCGAGCUAGUUGGUUAAGCUAAACAACAACUUGGAGAGUUGGAAGAUAAAAGCUUCGCCUAAACUUAGCUCAUUUAAAAGGGAUAUCUUUCUUGUUGUGUGAGUCUGAAGAAAAUGAUAUUUUCAUCGGUUGAUUCAUGUGAUCAAUUGUUGCAUAUAUUAUCUUGUUCAAUUUUGAUUUGAGUAUGGGCUAUUGUCAAAUCAAACUCAGAACCAAAGAUUUUCAUAACGGUGUCUUACUCAGGGGUUUCCUUGAGCCUACACUAUUAUAUUCUUUGACCUGACCAAUGCUAUUAUAUUUCUCACAUAGUUGUGGAAUUCCAUCUAUAUGGAUAUUUUGAUGAACUGUUGUUGAGCCCAUUAGCAACACCUUUGUCUUCUCCAUAACUAUUGUUGGACAUUAAGUUAGUGUUGGAAACUUUUAAGACAUUGUCUUCAUGUCUAUUCAUGAAGUACAUGUUAGGUGUAAGAAGUGACUUCCUCUAAUUCAUGUGCAUUGGUGCAAGUUGCUGCCACGAAUUUGGGAAGGUCGUUUUGUUAUCUUCAGAAUCAUCCCAAAUCAGUCAUGCAUGUGCGAAGUAUGCUAUGGUUUGAUAGCUUUGCAACCUCUCUCUCCAUAUGUAUUUCCUAGCACAUCAAGCCACUGAUUGAUUUUUUCAAGGAAAAGAAGUUAAGUUCCAUUCCUGAAGGUACCAGACGGACUUGCACAUGGCUUUGUUAUCCGCAAUAAUGGUUCCCAUCCAGAACUCGGUAGUGUUUUGUUGUAAGACUUUUCAUGUGGUCAUCAUUGUCUUGGGCAGUGUGUUCACAUGUGUCUUGCAAUCCGGCUCAUGUUUUGGAGUUGUCUUCCAUAGUUCAUUUCCCGAGAAUCUCGCAAUGUUAUCUCGUCAAUUUGUGUUGCAAUCCUUCUUUUCAAACAUGAUGAGUCUGAAGCAUCGUGUCACCAACCGGAGUUGAAUUUCAGGCAGUUAUAAUGGUUGGAACUUUCCCAAGAAUUAUAAUAUUGGUCUCUAUGUAACCCGGUAAAGUGGUGAAAUGGCUAACACACCUAGCCGGAAGACUUGAUAUUAUAAUAUCUUGCAUCAGCAAUCUUAGCCAUCUCCCCGUGAGGUUUUGUAUGACUUAUUUUGGAAGUUGUUCCUCAUGGACUCCCUUUGAUGCCCCGAAUUCCGACCUAUACUUGAUGUGCUAGAUAUCAAGCAUGAUCUAUAAAUGGGUUGUGCUAGUACAUCAAGGAGAACAUUAGAAGCGGAGUGAUAAAUGUCUCUCGGUCGAUCAACCAGAUUUCUUUCCCUUGGCACAGCUAAGGUGAAAUCUGAGGAAGUGAUGUCUUCUUUUGCAUCUGCAUCCUCCAUCACUGUUCAUCAUGGUAGUAUGUUGUGUCGCCAGGAUCCUUGGCACGGAUGUUGGUAAACCUUGAUGAAUAUGGAAAUGCUCAAGUUCUUGAGAGCAUGCUCAGACACUAGGUUAUAUCCUCGGUAAUAAUUGGAUUGUGCCUUCCGUUUGCCGAGUUUUUCAAUAAUUCUAGUUUCUUUCCAACCUGAGUAUGCCAUUCUUUCAACUUCCUUGAAACAAUCAUUUGUGAAUUGUCUUCCCUGGUAGGAAGAGUUUCAAUGAUAUUAUGAUCAAAAGUAAUUCUUUUUGCCACUUAAGGGGAAUAACUCUAAGAGUCACCUUCCUAAGGUGUCCCGUUGUGGUAUGAAGGGUAACUUAAACCUCGCUACUUUGAAACCUCGCCACCAUCUGUUUUAAGCCUGGAUUUGUUGCCUACCAAUUGAACCUCUGUCAUAUGUCUCAUUUCCUCGUCCGUGUUAUCUGUGUUGUGUCUCAGCUCAAGGGACGUUCCUACGUCUCAUUCUAUGAGUUGAUCUUGAGUUGCUCGAUCUUCGAGGAGAUCGAAUCUUGUGUAGUCUCCCUGUUCUUUUGUCGUCAAGCUAGAUGAAUACCUCAAGGACAAAGAUGUCAAGAUCAACAUGGUGCGAUGAAUCAACGUCCUCGAGAGGAGCAAAUGGAUCGUGAAGAUUGUGAUAGUUUAGUGUCCCCUCUUCCUCUUCCCGACUACGCUUGAAUCUCGGGACGAGAUUCUUGUUUAGUGGGGGUGAGUUGUCAUAGCCCUAGAUUAUAGCUUGUAGUUAGUUGCAUCAGUAAGCAUUCAUGAAUGCAUUCAAAUCAAUUUAAUUCAAAUUUGGAUGAUCUACAAAUGGGGAUGACCAAACCCUAACACCAAACAACAUCCAAAUAUGUUCAACGAGAGAAAAAUCCUAGCUACUCCAUAUUCAAAACAAAACUCUAGCAACUCUAUAUGCAAAACAAUUCAAAAGUGGUGACAAAUCAAUGAACCAAAAUGGUUUUCAUAAAAGUCCAUCAUUUUUGAUAAAUGUUGGAAAGAAGAUAUCAGGGGUGAUAUAUAUUUUCAAAAUACUUUUGGGCAUUUUAUUUUAAAUAUAAAAGUCGCUAAAAUCAACUAUAUAUUUGAUUUUAAAUAAUUCAGAUUCUCAAAAAUGUUGAAUCUUUUAUAUGUGGUAGAAAAUAUUACAACUAACACCCCAACAAUAUUUUCACCUUUUCUUGUUUUAGUUUGGAGCCAAAAUAAAAUAAAAACAAAUGUCAGAAAGAAAACAAAACAGAAAAAGGAAAAAAGAAAAGAAAGGAAACUAACCUGCGCUCCUCGCCUGGCCCAGCUCACCUCCCUGCCGCCUUCUUCAACCUCGUGCCAGUGGGCACGAGGGCGUGGCGAGCGCACAGGAGGCACGGCCACCUCCUGCUUCGCGCUGGAGGCACCCCCUCCGACCCUAUGUCCUCGUGCUGAGAAGCCCCGAGGUGCCCUCCUCUCAUUCCUCUCCUCGCACGCGUCUCUCCUCUCCCCUAGCUCCCUCUCCGCGACCACCGAGCAAGCUCGCCGCCGUUUCUCACUGCUACCCCGGCAACCGCACCCCUCCGGCCUACCUGAGAGGCUCAGAAGCUCUGCCAUGUUCCUCUUCGUCCUCAGAAUGAAGCCAGAAUGGCCGAGGUCCUCUGUCGCCGCAGCUACGCCGUCUUCCCCAUCUCCGGCCGCCGGCAACCUCGAGGCCGAUUCGCCGCCUCCUGGUCCUCCCCGACCCUGCCGUCAGCUUCAGAAGAAUCGCCGUGAGCCUCUCUCUUCAUUUCCCUCUUCCCCAUCGAGCUCCCCCUCCUCUAUCUCCCUCCCACCAUGGAGCUCGAGCUCUGUUGCCGCCGGCCAUGGCGCCCCGUGGCUAGCACCCCCGAGUGCUGCUGCUGAGCACACUAGCGUGCUCAGGGAGCUCGCAGGUGCUCGUAGCCACCCCCACUUCCUCCUCCCCCACCCCCUAGCCUCGAUCCCGUCUUGCCUGAGCCCCGUCCGCCGCCUCGGCUCAUCGCUGGCGCCUCUCCGGCCACCUUCAGUCCCUCCCGCUACCCCUGGAAGAUGAGCCGCUUCGCCAGCUUCGCGUAGCCGCAAACCACGCCCGAUUUGGUGCCCUGUAUUGCGUUUUGGGCCAACUCUGGCGAGCCCUCCGCCGCAGCUAUGGUCGCCGGCGACCACCCUCCGGUGGGGGCCGACGUGGCCAGCCAUUAACUACUAACCCACUCUCCCGAGAGACGCUGACAGAGGGCCCCACAUGGGGUGAAAGCUUGAUUAGCUUCGGGUUUGACCAGGGAUUAGCCCUGUGUCACUGACCGGUGGGCCCUGGCAUGCAGGUUUGACCUGACCCAGGCCAGUUGACUGCUGACGCAAUGCUGACGCAGUAAUAGCUUUUCUGAUUUAAUUUAAUUCCAGAAAAUGCCUAAAACUUCUAAAAAUCAUAGAAAAUAAUCUGUAAGUCUGAUGGAAAUAAUUUAUAUAUGAAAAAGGAUCAGAAAAAUCCAAAGAAUCUGAUUAUGGCGUUUUAAUGCAUGUUUGAAAAAGUUAACAUCACCAAAUAGGCCAAAUGAUGAAUAGGAUAAAUUUAAUAAUUAGUUUGGAGUUGGAAUUUGAUUCCUAUUUGAAUUCCACUUCAAUUGUUAUGACCAAACAUUGAUCAAGGGAAACCAGUACCUCAAAAUACCAUCCUCUUGCAUGAUAAAACAAAUUAUGCAUGAGNNNNNNNNNNNNNNNNNNNNNNNNNNNNNNNNNNNNNNNNNNNNNNNNNNNNNNNNNNNNNNNNNNNNNNNNNNNNNNNNNNNNNNNNNNNNNNNNNNNNNNNNNNNNNNNNNNNNNNNNNNNNNNNNNNNNNNNNNNNNNNNNNNNNNNNNNNNNNNNNNNNNNNNNNNNNNNNNNNNNNNNNNNNNNNNNNNNNNNNNNNNNNNNNNNNNNNNNNNNNNNNNNNNNNNNNNNNNNNNNNNNNNNNNNNNNNNNNNNNNNNNNNNNNNNNNNNNNNNNNNNNNNNNNNNNNNNNNNNNNNNNNNNNNNNNNNNNNNNNNNNNNNNNNNNNNNNNNNNNNNNNNNNNNNNNNNNNNNNNNNNNNNNNNNNNNNNNNNNNNNNNNNNNNNNNNNNNNNNNNNNNNNNNNNNNNNNNNNNNNNNNNNNNNNNNNNNNNNNNNNNNNNNNNNNNNNNNNNNNNNNNNNNNNNNNNNNNNNNNNNNNNNNNNNNNNNNNNNNNNNNNNNNNNNNNNNNNNNNNNNNNNNNNNNNNNNNNNNNNNNNNNNNNNNNNNNNNNNNNNNNNNNNNNNNNNNNNNNNNNNNNNNNNNNNNNNNNNNNNNNNNNNNNNNNNNNNNNNNNNNNNNNNNNNNNNNNNNNNNNNNNNNNNNNNNNNNNNNNNNNNNNNNNNNNNNNNNNNNNNNNNNNNNNNNNNNNNNNNNNNNNNNNNNNNNNNNNNNNNNNNNNNNNNNNNNNNNNNNNNNNNNNNNNNNNNNNNNNNNNNNNNNNNNNNNNNNNNNNNNNNNNNNNNNNNNNNNNNNNNNNNNNNNNNNNNNNNNNNNNNNNNNNNNNNNNNNNNNNNNNNNNNNNNNNNNNNNNNNNNNNNNNNNNNNNNNNNNNNNNNNNNNNNNNNNNNNNNNNNNNNNNNNNNNNNNNNNNNNNNNNNNNNNNNNNNNNNNNNNNNNNNNNNNNNNNNNNNNNNNNNNNNNNNNNNNNNNNNNNNNNNNNNNNNNNNNNNNNNNNNNNNNNNNNNNNNNNNNNNNNNNNNNNNNNNNNNNNNNNNNNNNNNNNNNNNNNNNNNNNNNNNNNNNNNNNNNNNNNNNNNNNNNNNNNNNNNNNNNNNNNNNNNNNNNNNNNNNNNNNNNNNNNNNNNNNNNNNNNNNNNNNNNNNNNNNNNNNNNNNNNNNNNNNNNNNNNNNNNNNNNNNNNNNNNNNNNNNNNNNNNNNNNNNNNNNNNNNNNNNNNNNNNNNNNNNNNNNNNNNNNNNNNNNNNNNNNNNNNNNNNNNNNNNNNNNNNNNNNNNNNNNNNNNNNNNNNNNNNNNNNNNNNNNNNNNNNNNNNNNNNNNNNNNNNNNNNNNNNNNNNNNNNNNNNNNNNNNNNNNNNNNNNNNNNNNNNNNNNNNNNNNNNNNNNNNNNNNNNNNNNNNNNNNNNNNNNNNNNNNNNNNNNNNNNNNNNNNNNNNNNNNNNNNNNNNNNNNNNNNNNNNNNNNNNNNNNNNNNNNNNNNNNNNNNNNNNNNNNNNNNNNNNNNNNNNNNNNNNNNNNNNNNNNNNNNNNNNNNNNNNNNNNNNNNNNNNNNNNNNNNNNNNNNNNNNNNNNNNNNNNNNNNNNNNNNNNNNNNNNNNNNNNNNNNNNNNNNNNNNNNNNNNNNNNNNNNNNNNNNNNNNNNNNNNNNNNNNNNNNNNNNNNNNNNNNNNNNNNNNNNNNNNNNNNNNNNNNNNNNNNNNNNNNNNNNNNNNNNNNNNNNNNNNNNNNNNNNNNNNNNNNNNNNNNNNNNNNNNNNNNNNNNNNNNNNNNNNNNNNNNNNNNNNNNNNNNNNNNNNNNNNNNNNNNNNNNNNNNNNNNNNNNNNNNNNNNNNNNNNNNNNNNNNNNNNNNNNNNNNNNNNNNNNNNNNNNNNNNNNNNNNNNNNNNNNNNNNNNNNNNNNNNNNNNNNNNNNNNNNNNNNNNNNNNNNNNNNNNNNNNCGACUUGGGCCUCGGCCUGCUAUGGUGCGUCCCCCUGGCCCCUCCAUUUCGCACCCUCAGCGUUUAUUACUUAAAUUGCACCCAUGUCCUAUUUUGGGCCUGUAGCUAGAUUCGGCCCAAUAGUUAUUUUAGGAUUUAAAUACGGUUUUAUUAUCUCACGAAUUAUUAGAUAUUAAAACGUCUGUAGUUUAUAAUCCGUAUGUCGGAUCGAGGCGAGUUGUAUAUGUAACUCGUGUAGUUUUUCGCGUAGAUUCGGAUUUUGAAACUUGCAUACAUGUUUGAUGUGGUUUGUCCCACUGUUUGCCUAGAAAUGUGUGCUUUCCUAAUAGUUUGAAUGUCCCGUAUUUAUUUUCGCGCGUGUCCGGAUUGCUCAAACCCCGUAGAUAAAAUGUUCAUGUUUUUAGGGACCUCUUGCCAUGUAUUUUAGGGUAGUUGUUUGUAUUUUUGCAUGUAGGAUUCCGUAGCUAGCUUGCUAUACGUGUUUAGGAUAUAUUCCCGCAUAUGCGUGUGGCGUUGUUUUUAUUUUGCAACCCCUCAUGUUAUAUAUGUUUUCGGGGUAGAAAAAUCCAUAGAAUUUAACUAUGCAUUUAGUUUUAGCUUUUGAGCAAGUUAGUGCGUGUGAUAUUUUGCCAUGUUGCCCUUUGUUUAUUUUGUGGGAUUUUAUCCGUGCUUGAUAUGAAGGAGUUGUCGCCUAGAUAUUUGCCCUUGGAUAUGUUUGCUAGCCCCUCGUAUUUUUGGUUGCAAUAGAAAUCCAUGUUAUGUGUGGUUUGCUUGAUCUCAACUUGCUAGGGAAUAGUGUUGAUUUGGAGAUGCUGAAAUAUUUCUAAGUCUAAAAUCAGUUAUAUUUUGUUGAUGUCUUGUCUUGAGUUUAUCUGGUGAUCUAUAGCUCUUUUGAGGUUGAUGCAAUGGAGUUAGUUGUAGACUUUAGGAUUCUAUAGCAUGUUGUGAAUUUUCAUGCCAUUUGGAGUCAUGUAGCUUAUGGUUUUUCUGCAGUCAAUAUGCCUUCAGAUCAAAAACUGCACUGUGAUAAAGUGUGUUUUUCUCUAAGUCUGAAACUGUGUGUGAGAAGCCAUUUUGUGACUUCUUUUCCUAGUGAUCCAUGCUUCCAUGCUAGGUGUUAUAAGUUGCGUGUGGUAGUGCACCUUGCCCUCUAUCGUCUCAUGCCUUGGUUGAGCAUAUUGGUUUUGUGUAGCUCGUAGUUGUGGGGCGUAGACAAUGCUAUGUGGCUGAUUUUGGCACAUUGUAGUGAUUUCUUGUUUAGCUCGUAGUUGUUGAACCGUUGCUCCGUUUUGAUCGUGUCCUAUAUGAAACUUGCUUAGAAUCUCGUGUAGUUUCAUAUUAUCUUGCUGGUUGUAUGUUUUGAAAUGCUUGUGACUACCAUUUGCACACAUAUUACAUUCAUGCCAUCAUAUCUUGCGGUGCUCGUAUCUUUUGAACCAUAGCUCCGUUGGAGAUGUUCUCUAUGUGUAAAUUGCUUGUAACGAUGCGUAGAUUCACGUGAACCUAUUUCUUUUGCUGUUUAACAACUAUUACAACAUGUUAGUUCAGAUCUGGACAGAAUUGUUAAUUAUCAUGUGAGGUCGUUUCGGAGAUGCUAUAUGUCAUUUCCGACCUCAUUUAAGAUGCCUAGAUAAGUAGAUUAAUUGCGAUUCACCUCUUGCCAUGUUUAAUAACAUUUAAUAUUGCCGAGUACCUAAUCGGGAUAGAACUAAAUAAUUCGUAUGUGGAGUUUCGUCAAUAUGCAACUCGUUGCAUAUUGAACUUCACUUAAUGUGUAGUGUUUGAUUGUCGUGAAUUGCCAUGCCAUGUCUUGCAUGUAUUCACCGUUCAUGCAUCAUAUGUGGAUUGCAUCUGUCGUGCAUGUGCCGUGGUGAAUAUCCGUGUUUAUGCUUGUUUCCGGUUUCCUUCGUCUUGAUAGAGUUCCGCAAGCGUGUCGGAUUGUGAGGACUCGUUCGACUACAUCGGUUCAUCUGCUUCACGGAGUCGUUCUUAUUCCAAGCGGGAUCUCAGGCAAGAUGACCAUUUCCCCAGAUAACAUUACUAUCAUUGCCAUGCUAGUUUUGCCGUUUCUAUCGUUAUUGUCUCGCUACCCACCACAUGUUAAAUAUCAGCCUCCCAACAUUGCCAUGAAAACCUUUAACCUGUUCACAACCUAGCUAACCACUGAUUGACCUCGUGACAGAGAAAGCAUCGCUCAAGCUUGGGGGAGGCUUAAAUCAAUGCUAUAUUCAUGCCCCAAUCAUGAGCUCUCAAGAGAAAUUAUCAUUCAGAACUUUUAUGCUCGGCUUUCUCAUGAUGAUCGCACCAUGCUUGACACUUCUUGUACCGGUUCUUUUAUGAAGAGAGAUAUUGACUUCAAAUGGAAUUUAUUGGAGAGAAUUAACUGCAACUCUGAAGAUUGGGAGCUUGAAGAAGGUAAGGAGUCAGGUUUGAAUUUCACAUUUGAUUGCGUUAAAUCCUUUGUUGAGACAAAUACUUUUUGUGACUUUAGCGCUAAGUAUGGACUUGACUAUGAGAUAGUAGCUUCAUUGUGUGAAUCCUUUGCUGCUCAUAUUGAUCACCCCAAAGAGAAGUGGUUUAAAUAUCAUCCUCCUUUAGAAGUCAAUGUAGUUAAACCCACUCCAGUUGAAGAGAAAGUCAUUGCCUAUAAUGAUCCUGUGGUUCCCAAUGCUUACAUUGAGAAACCACCUUUCCCUGUUAGGAUAAAGGAUCAUUCUAAAGCUUCAACUAUGAUACGUAGAGGCUAUAUUAGAACACCUACACCCCCUGAGCAAAUUAGAGUUGAACCUAGCACUGCUAUUAUCAAAGAUCUUCUGUCCGACGAUGUUGAGGGACAUAAUAUUCACUUGUGUGAAGAUGCUGCUAGAAUUGCUAAACCUCACGUUAGGGACAAACAUAGGCCUGUUGUUGGCAUGCCUGUGGUUUCUGUUAAGAUAGGAGAUCAUUGUUAUCAUGGUUUAUGUGACGUGGGUGCUAGUGUUAGUGCAAUACCUCAAUCCUUAUAUGAUGAAAUCAAAGAUGAGAUUGCACCAGUUGAGAUAGAGCCUAUUGAUGUCACUAUUCAGCUUGCCAAUAGAGAUACUAUAUGCCCUGUGGGAAUUGUUAGGGAUGUUGAAGUCUUGUGUGGUAAAACAAAGUAUCCUGCUGAUUUCCUCGUUCUUGCUACCGCACAAGAUAGCUUUUGUCCCAUCAUAUUUGGUAGACCUUUGCUCAAUACUGUCAAUGCUCAUAUUGAUUGUGAGAAGCAAACUGUCACUUUUGGCUUUGAAGGUGUGUCACAUGAGUUCAAUUUCUCUAAGUUUGGUAGACAACCUCAUGAAAAGGGCUUUCCUAGUAGGGAUGAAACUAUUGCCUUAGCUUCUAUUGUCGUACCUCCUACUAAUCCCUUAGAGCAAUACUUGCUUGAGCAUGAAAAUGAUAUGCAUAUGGAUGAAAGGGAUGAGAUAGAUAGAGUUGUCUUAGAACAAUAUCCUAUCCUUAAGAAUAAUCUGCGUGUUGAACUGCUUGGGGAUCCACCCCCACCAAAGGGUGAUCCUGUGUUCGAGCUUAAAUAGUUGCCUCAUACUCUUAAGUAUGCUUAUCUUGAUGAAAAGGAGAUAUAUCCUGUUAUUAUUAGUGCUAGCCUCUCAGAGCAUGAAGAAAAUAAGUUACUAAAAACUCUGAGGAAGCACCGUGCUGCUAUUGGAUAUACUCAUGAUGAUCUUAAGGGCAUUAGUCCUACUCUAUGUCAGCACAAGAUUAAAACUGAUCCUGAUUUCAAACGAGUUGCUGAUCAUCAAAGGCGAUUAAAUCCUGAUGAAAGAAGUAGUGAGAAAAGAAAUACUAAAGCUCCUGGAAGCAGGUAUCAUCUAUCCUGUUGCUCAUAGCGGUCGGCUGACUCCGGUGCAUUGCGUCCCUAAGAAGGGAGGCAUUACCGUUGUCCCUAAUGAUAAGGAUGAAUUGAUCCCACAUAGGAUUAUUACUGGCUAUAGGAUGGUGAUUGAUUUUUGGAAAUUGAAUAAAGCCACUAGGAAAGAUCAUUACCCUUUGCCUUUUAUCGACCAAAUGCUAGAAAGGCUGUCCAAACACACACACUUCUGCUUUCUAGACGGUUAUUCUGGUUUCUCCCAAAUACGAGUUGCACAAUCUCAUCAGGAGAAAACAACUUUCACCUGUCCUUUCGGUACCUUUGCUUAUAGACGUAUGCCUUUUGGCUUAUGUAAUGCACCCGCCACCUUUCAAAGAUGUAUGAUGGCUAUAUUCUCUGACUUUUGUGAAAAGAUUGUUGAGGUUUUCAUGGAUGACUUUUCAUUUACGGGUCUUCUUUUGACGAUUGCCUCACCAACCUUGAUCGAGUCUCGCAGAGAUGUAAAGACACCAAUCUUGUCUUGAAUUGGGAGAAGCGCCACUUUAUGGAUAAUGAAGGCAUCGUCUUAGGACAUAAAAUUUCUGAAAGAGGUAUUGAAGUCGAUAAGGCUAAGGUUGAUGCGAUCGAGAAAAUGCUAUACCCCACAGAUAUCAAAGGUAUAAGAAGUUUCCUUCGUCAUGUUGGUUUCUAUAGAAGGUUUAUUAAAGACUUCUCUAAGAUUUCUAGGCCUCUUACCAAUCUCUUCAAAAAGGAUAUUACUUUUGUCUUUGACGAUGAUUGUGAGGAAGCCUUCGAAAUACUUAAGAGGGCUUUGAUAACUGCACAUAUUGUUCAACCACCUGAUUGGAACUUACCUUUUGAGAUCAUGUGUGACGCUAGUGAUUAUGUUGUUGGUGUUGUUCUAGGGCAAAGAGUCGAUAAGAAGUUGAAUGUUAUUCACUACGCUAGUAAAACUCUAGACAAUGCCCAAAGAAACUAUGCUACUACGGAGAAGGAGUUUUUAGGAGUCGUGUUUGCAUGUGAAAAUUUCAGGUCUUACAUAGUUGAUUCCAAAAUCACUAUUCACACUGAUCAUGCUGCUAUUAAGGACCUCAUGAAGAAGAAAGACGCUAAACCUAGACUUGUCAAAUGGGUUCUCUUGCUACAAGAAUUUGAUUUGCACGUUGUCGACAGAAAGGGUGUUGAUAACCCAGUAGCAGAUAACUUGUCUAGGUUGGAGAACGUUCUUGAUGACCCACAACCUAUUGAUGACAGCUUUCCCGAUGAGCAAUUGAAUAUUAUCAAUGCUUCACGUAGUGCACCAUGGUAUGCUGAUUAUGCAAACUAUACCGUUGCCAAAUACAUACCACCUAGUUUCACGUACCAGCAAAAGAAGAAAUUCUUCUUUGACUUGAGACACUACUUUUGGGAUGAUCCUCACCUUUAUAAGGAAGGAUUAGAUGGUGUUAUUAGACGUUGUGUACCUGAACAUGAACAGGGACAGAUCCUACAGAAGUGUCACUCCGAGGCUUACGGAGGACACCAUGCGGGAGAUAGAACUGCACACAAGGUAUUGCAAUCAGGUUUCUAUUGGCCCACUCUCUUCAAGGAUGCCCGUAAGUUUGUCAUGUCUUGUGACGAAUGUCAAAGAAUAGGUAAUAUUAGCAAACGUCAGGAAAUGCCUAUGAACUAUUCACUUGUCAUUAAACCAUUUGAUGUCUGGGGCUUUGAUUAUAUGGGACCUUUUCCAAAAUCCAACAGGUAUACUCAUAUCCUAGUUGUUGUUGAUUAUGUCACUAAGUGGGUAGAAGCUAUCCCCACUAGUAGUGCUGAUCACAACACUUCUAUCAGGAUGCUCAAAGAAGUUAUCUUCCCUCGAUUUGGAGUCCCUAGAUAUCUAAUGACCGGCGGUGGUUCACACUUCAUUCAUGGUGCUUUUCGUAAAACGCUUGCUAAGUACGAUGUCAACCAUAGAAUUGCGUCUCCCUAUCACCCUCAGUCCAGUGGUCAAGCAGAGAUAAGUAAUAGAGAGAUUAAACUGAUUCUGCAAAAGACUAUCAACAGGUCUAAAAAGAAUUGGUCUAAGAAGCUCGAUGAUGCACUGUGGGCUUAUAGAACUGCCUAUAAGAAUCCCACGGGCAUGUCUCUAUACAAAAUGGUGUACGGUAAAGCAUGGCAUCUACCUCUUGAGCUAGAGCAUAAAGCUUAUUGGGCAAUCAAAGAGCUCAACUUUGAUUUCAAACUUGCCGGUGAGAAGAGGUUAUUUGAUAUUAGCUCGCUUGAUGAAUGGAGAACUCAGGCAUAAGAGAAUGCCAAGUUGUUCAAAGAGAAGGUUAAGAGGUGGCAUGAUAAGAGGAUACAAAAGCGUGAGUUCAAUGUAGGUGAUUAUGUCUUGCUAUAUAACUCUCGUUUAUGAUUCUUUGCAGGCAAGCUUCUCUCUAAAUGGGAAGGUCCCUAUGUUGUUGAGGAAGUAUAUCGUUUCGGUGCUAUCAAGAUCAACAACACGGAAGGUAAUUGUCCAGAGUGGUAAAUGGGCAGAGAAUCAAGCAUUAUAUCUCAGGUACUCCCAUAAAUGUUGAAAGCAAUAUUAUCAAUACCAUAACUCCGGAAGAAUACCUAAGGGAUGUUUAUAAGCCUGUUUCAGACUCCAAAAACGAAGAGGUAUGCCAUUCGGUAAGAAAACAGAGUCCAAAACUUUUCCAGUAGGAAAUUUUCUCCGUUUUGGAAUAUUUGAAAAAAUACAAAAAUUGGAAGUAGUCCGGAAAGUGCGCGAGGAGGCGACAAGCCUGCACGGCGCGGGCCCACCCCGUGGUCGCGCCGUGAGGGCUUGUAGCCACCUCGUGCGCCUCCCGGACUCCGUUUUCGUGCACGGGACUCCUUCUGGUCUGGAAAAAAUCAUUUUAUAUACUUUCGUUUGGUCUGACAUCUGCAUCACGCAGAUUUCCCCUGUUUUUCGUUUCGUGCCUGUUUCUGUUGCAGAUCUAGAUCGCCAUGACUUCCCCCAAAGCUCCGACGGACAAGAUCUUCGAGAAGGUCAUCAAUCCCUACCUCACGGAAGUGCUGCAACACCCUCAAUCUAUCGAGAUGCGUGAGGGGAUGUUGCACAUCCGUGAUGUUGAGGGGCCUAAGAAGACCGGAAGCGUGGAGACGAGGCUCGAAGCAAUGGAGCAACAAGUCUUCAAGUGCCAAGGGAUGGUGGAGCGUGGACUCAACACCAACCACAUGAUGAUCAUGGAGUUCACCAACAAGCACAAGAUUGAUGCCAAUGACAGGAUUGAUCAACUUGAGGGCCAGAUCUAUGUCCUGCAGAACCAAAACUGUGAGUAUGAGUAUAGAUUUAAAUCAAUACGGUUGGCUGUAGAUUUGAGGAUUCCGGAGACUCGUUCAUCUUUCCAUGAUGGAGCACCUAUGCCUUGGAAGACGGAGGAUCAAACUCAUGUUGCAGGAACUCCACCAUCACCGCCAAAGGAAGACAACUGAGCAUUGGUAUGGGCAAUCCCCUUGGGUUUUGCCAAGCUUGGCGGAGUUGCCCGGUAUCGUAUCACCAUCACAUCUUUUGCCUUUACCUUUGUUUUAGUUUUCCUUUUCAGUUUUCUUUUUCUCUAGUAGUUUAAAAGUCUUAGUGUUUUAGUCUUGAGUUUUGCUUUGUGUCACCCCCGAUGUAUUCUUGCUCUUGAGCCUUAUAAUAAAGAGUGUCUUAGUUGAAGGACUUUGCCUCUUGCCAUGAUCAAAAGAGUGAGAAUAGAACAAAAGCAUGAAAGAUCAUGUAAUGAUCUUAUGGGAAGUGAUGGCUUCACAUAUAAAAAGAAUGAGGAUUGAAACUUGUUGAGGGUAGGCAAACGUAGACCUUGGUCAUUGUUGCAAUUAAUAGGAAGUGAUAAGGAAGGAGAGGUUCACAUAUAAAUAUAUCAUCUCUAACACCAUCUAUGAUUGUGAACACUCACCAAACUAUUGCAUGCCUAGAAGUAGAUGUUGGACAAGGAAGACAACGUAAUGAAUUGUGUUUGCUUUGCUCUAAACAAUGUUAUAUGAUUAGAGAUCCCUUAGCAUGUAACGAUUGCUUCCACCUCACAUUAGCGAAACCUCCCGCACUAAGUAGAGAUACUACUUGUGCAUCCAUAAACCUUCAACCCAGUUUUUCCAUGAGUGUCCACCAUACCUACCUAUGGAUUGAAUAAGAUCCCUCAAGUAAGUUGUCAUCGGUGCAAGCAAUAAAAAUUGCUCUCUAAUAUGUAUGAUCUAUUAGUGUGGGGAAAAUAAGCAUUAUACGAACCUGUGAUGAGGAAGACAUAAAAGCGACAGACUGCAUAGUAAAGUUCUUUAUCACAGGGGGCAAUAUAAAGUGACAUUCCUCCGCAUUAAGAGGACACGCAUCCGAACCUCAAAAGCGCAUGACAACCUCUGCUUCCCUCUGCGAAGGGCCUAUCUUGUACAUUUACUUUUUGUCCCUGAAAGAGUCAUGGUGAUCUUCACCAAUUCCUUAUUUUUCCUUUGUCUUGGCUACCGUCACAUGCUUGGGAAAUAUCUAUAUUCAUAUGUCAACUUGGAGGUAAGUAUUCAUGAAUUAUUACUGUUUACAUUACCCUUGAGGUAAGGUCAUAAUCUUAUUCUUUUCUACCUUCAUAUCUUUGCAUCAUUCAUUGUAUACGGAGGUCCUUCAUGGUGGUUCAUCAAGGUUGCAAUCCAUUCUCAGGUGUUCUUCAAGAUUCUUGUGGUGGUAGCUAUCUUUUUCUUCUUCGUUCCUUCUUUCCAAGAUUUAGUUUGUAACGGGGGCCUUGUGAUGUUGCUCUCUUCAAUAUAUCAUUUUGUCUUUUCAAGAUCAUGGUGUUCCCUUGUUCUAUUUAGUUGUUUGUUAUGAAUCUUGUCUAAUUCUCCCAUCUUAUAGAAUUUUGUCCCCUUUUGCAAUCGAAGUGCUGCUGAAAUUUUCUGUGAAUUCUUUCUUGUUUCUCAUGUCAUUCUUCAUCUCUUUGCAACUUUCAAGGAUCGUUGGUUUCACUCGUUUGUCAAAGAAGCGGCUAAGUUUUAUCUUGCUCUUUCUCUUCCUCUUCUCCUUUCAUUCUUGGAUCUCGGGUCAAGAUCCUCUUGUAGUGUAGGAGAAUUGUGACAGCCCGAGACCGAUGUUCCAGAAGAUUCCCCUUUUCUUUCCGUUUUCGUCGUGUGUUUAUUUUAUCUGUCGCAUCAUCAUCGCAUCAUGCGCAUCAUCUGCAUUGCAUCGGCAUCCCGUUGCCGCCAAUUUUCAAACUUGCAUCCGUUGUUAGUUCCUGGUUCGCUUCGUUGUCCGUUCUGAGCCCCCCGACCACCCUCGCAUGCGCCCGCGGCAUCGUCAAACCCUGUUUUUAAAAGUGUGUGUAAAACUUUCUCCGAUUGGGUUGGAACUUGACAUGUGGUCUUAUUUUAAUAUAGGUAGGCCGCCUNNNNNNNNNNNNNNNNNNNNNNNNNNNNNNNNNNNNNNNNNNNNNNNNNNNNNNNNNNNNNNNNNNNNNNNNNNNNNNNNNNNNNNNNNNNNNNNNNNNNNNNNNNNNNNNNNNNNNNNNNNNNNNNNNNNNNNNNNNNNNNNNNNNNNNNNNNNNNNNNNNNNNNNNNNNNNNNNNNNNNNNNNNNNNNNNNNNNNNNNNNNNNNNNNNNNNNNNNNNNNNNNNNNNNNNNNNNNNNNNNNNNNNNNNNNNNNNNNNNNNNNNNNNNNNNNNNNNNNNNNNNNNNNNNNNNNNNNNNNNNNNNNNNNNNNNNNNNNNNNNNNNNNNNNNNNNNNNNNNNNNNNNNNNNNNNNNNNNNNNNNNNNNNNNNNNNNNNNNNNNNNNNNNNNNNNNNNNNNNNNNNNNNCCACCGGAUCUGAGGCCGCCCCGCCGGAGCUCCCAGGCCAGCCCGAGUCUUCCUAGACGUCCCGUCGCUCGGAGCCCACUGUCGGUCGCCGCCUCGCCCGGAGCUCCUUCGUUGCGCCACCAGUCGUCGUUGGUCCGGUCCGCCGUCCGAUCGCUAGAUCCGACUGCCUACGUCGCCCCAUGCUGGUUCCCUGCUGGAUCCACCGCCAGGAACUGCCGUCGAUGCUCUGCUCUGCCGCCGACACCUCUGCUCGCCAGGUCGAGUAGAAGGGACGAGACGGCGAGCACAUGCUCCCUUGCCCCGACCGGCUUCUCGACUAGCCUCCUGCCCGAGGCCCAGCAGUUGGCCACUAGCCGGCCCGGCCGACUAUCUUGCCCCGGCCCAGCUCCAGGCCAGAUCCGGUCUCCUCCAGGCCUGCCUCACCACCUCGCCCAGCUGGCCUCCUCCACCGUCGACUUGGGCCUCGGCCUGCUAUGGUGUGUCCCGUGGCCCCUCUAUUGUGCGCCCUCACCGUUUAUUAGUUAAAUUACGCCCAUGUCCUAUUUUGGGCCUGUAGCUAGAUUCGGCCGAGUAGUUAUUUUAGGAUUUAAAUCCGGAUUUAUUACCUUAGGAAUUAUUAGAUAUUAAAACGUCUGUAGUUUAUAAUCCGUAUGUCGGAUUGAGGUGAGUUGUAUAUGUCACUUGUGUAAUUUUUCGCGUAGAUUCGUAUUUUGAAACUUGCAUACAUGUUUGGUGUGGUUUGGCCCACUGUUUGCCUAGAAAUGCAUGUUGUCUUAAUAGGUUGAACGUCCCCUAUUUAUUUUCGCGCGUGUCCGGAUUGCUCAAACCCCGUAGAUAAAAUGUUCAUAUUUUUAGGGACCUCUUGCCAUUUAUUUUAGGGUAGUUGUUUUUAUUUUUGCAUGUAGGAUUCCGUAGCUAGCUUCUAUACGUGUUUAGGAUAUAUUCCCGCAUAUACGUGUGGCGUUGUUUUUAUUUUGCAACCCCUCAUGUUAUAUAUGUUUUCAGGGUAGAAAAAUCCAUAGAAUUUAACUGUACAUUUAGUUUUAGCUUUUGAGCAAGUUAGUGCGAGUGAUAUUUUGCCAUGUUGCUCUUUUGUUUAUUUUGUGGGAUUUUAUCCGUGCUUGAUAUGAAGGAGUUGUCAACUAGAGAUAUGCCCUUGGAUAUGUUUGCUAGCCCCUGGUAUUUUUGGUUGCAAUAGAAAUCCAUGUUUAGGUGUGGUCUGCUUGCUCUCAACUUGCUAGGAAAUAGUGCUGAUUUAUAGAUGCUAAAAUAUUUCUAAGUCUGAAAUCUGUUAUAUUUUGUUGUUGUCUUGUCUUGAGUUUAUCUGGUGAUCUAUAGCUCUUUUGAGGUUGAUGCAAUGGAGUUAGUCGUAGACUUUAGGAUUCUCUAGCAUGCUGUGAAUUUUCAUGCCAUUUGGAGUCUUGUAGCUUAUGGUUUUGCUGCUGUCAAUAUGCGUUUAGAUCGAAAACUGCACUGUCAUAAACUCUGUUUUUCUCUUAAGUCUGAAACUGCGUGUGAGAAGCCAUUUUGUGACUUCUUUUCCUGAUGAUCCAUGCUUCCAUGCUAGGUGUUAUAAGUUGCGUGUGGUAGUGCACCUUGCCCUCUAUCGUCUCAUGCCUUGGUUGAGCAGAUUGGUUUUGUGUAGCUCGUAGUUGUGGGGCGUAGAAAAUGCUAUGUGGCUGAUUUUGGCAGAUUGUAGUGAUUUCUUGUUUAGCUCAUAGUUGUUGAACCGUUGCUCCGUUUUGAUCGUGUCCUAUAUGAAACUUGCUUAGAAUCUCGUGUAGUUUCAUAUUAUCUUGAUGGUUGUAUGUUUUGAAAUGCUUGUGACUGCCAUUUGCACACAUAUUGCAUUCAUGCCAUCAUAUCUUGCGGUGCUCGUAUCUUUUGAACCGUAGCUCCGUUGGAGAUGUUCUCUAUGUGUAAAUUGCUUGUAACGACGCGUAGAUUUACGUGAACCUAUUUGUUUUUCUGUUUCACAACUAUUAAAACAUGUUAGUUCAGAUCUGGACAGAAUUGUUAAUUAUCAUGUGAGGUCGUUUCGGAGAUGCUAUAUGUCAUUUCCGACCUCAUUUAAAAUGCCUAGAUAGGUAGAUUAAUUGUGCUUCACCUCUUGCCAUGUUUAAUAACAUUUAAUAUUGCCGAGUACCUAAUCGGGAUAGAACUAAAUAAUUCGUAUGUGGAGUUUCGUCAAUAUGCAACUCGUUGCAUAUUGAACUUCACUUAAUGUGUAGUGUUUGAUUGUCGUGAAUUGCCAUGCCAUGUAUUGCAUGUAUUCACCAUUCAUGCAUCAUAUGUGGAUUGCAUCUGUCGUGCAUGUGCCGUGGUGAAUAUUUGUGUUGAUGCUUGUUCCGGUUUCCUUCGUCUCGAUAGAGUUCCGCAAGCGUGUCAGAUUGUGAGGACCCGUUCGACUACAUCGGUUCGUCUGCUUCACGGAGUCGUUCUUAUUCCAAGCGGGAUCUCAGGCAAGAUGACCAUUUCCCCAGAUACGAUUACUAUCAUUGCCAUGCUAGUUUUACCGUUUCUAUCGUUAUUGUCUCGCUACCCACCACAUGUUAAAUAUCAGCCUGCCAACAUUGCCAUGAAAACCUUUAACCUGUUCACAACCUAGCAAACCACUGAUUGGCUAUGUUACCUCUUGCUUAACCAUGUGUUAGCGUUGCUAGUUGUAGGUGCAGUUCCUUCCAUGUGAUAACAUGGGUUCCUUGUUAUAUCACCAUAUAGAUGCUAUUAAAUUUAAUGCACCUAUAUACUUGGUAAAAGGUGGAAGGCUCGGCCUUUCUAGCCUGGUGUUUUGUUCCACCUUUGCCCCCUUAGUUUCGGCUACCGGUGUUAUGUUCCAUAAUUGAGCGCUCCUAACAUGAUCGGGGUUGUUAUGGGGACCCCCUUGAUAAUUCGUUUUAGAUUAAAGCUGGUCUGGCAAGGCCCAACUUUGGUACUACAUUUGCCUAAUAACCUAAUAAAAUUGCAUAGGGACUUUCCGGACCCUGAGGAUAAUUAAUCAACCCCCAGGUCAGUGCUCCGCAUGACUGUUGGUCUCACCUGAGCGAUUUCCGGCGCCCCCCUGGUCACCCAGGGUUUAGCGAUCCUGACGUCUAGCUCAUCCGUCGUGUCCUGAGAACGAGAUACGCGACUCCUAUUGGGAUUGUUGACACGUCGGGCGGCCUUGCUAGAUUAGUUUUACCUUUGACGAGAUAUCUUGUGCAUUGGGAUUCCGGUGAUGCUUUGGGUAAUCUCAGAGUUGUGGUUUUCCACUAAGGAGUCGGACGAGAUCGCGAGCUUCGUGAUCGAGGAUUUCUAUGCGGCUUGUGGUCAUUUGUGAUGGACUAGUUGGAGCACCCCUGUAGGGUUAAAUCUUUUCGAAAACCCGUGCCCGCGGUUAUGUGGCAACGUGGAAACUUUGUUUAACACUGGUUCUAGACAACUUGAAGUUAACUUAAUUAAAAUAUGCCAACUGAGUGCGUAACCGUGACUGUCUCUUUCGUGAGUUCCUUCUCCGAUCGAGGACACGGUGGGGUUAUGUUUGACGUAAGUAGAUGUUCAGGAUCAUUCAUUUGAUCAUCAGUAGUUCACGUUCAUUAUGCGUAGAUCAUCCCACUCUUUAUUCUUGUACUCGUAAGUUAGCCACCAAAUAAACGCUUAGCUGCUUGCUGCAACCUCACCACUUAACCAUACCUCACCCAUUAAGCUUUGCUAGUCUUGAUACCUUUGGAAAUGAGAUUGCUGAGUCCCCUAUGGAUCCNNNNNNNNNNNNNNNNNNNNNNNNNNNNNNNNNNNNNNNNNNNNNNNNNNNNNNNNNNNNNNNNNNNNNNNNNNNNNNNNNNNNNNNNNNNNNNNNNNNNGGUGCUAAGUGGUGGGAGCGUGUGUGAAGAAGUAUACCCCUGCAGGGUGAUUUAAUCUGUUCGAAUAGCCGCGUCCUCGGAUAUGGACUACUUGGAAACAUUACGUGGUACAUAGACAAGUUAAAUGGAUACUCUAACACAUGCAAGAUAAGUGUGAGUGCUAUGGAAGGCUUUCUCGUAGGCAGACGAGAGUGAAUCCAUAGUGGUGUAUUGCAUUGGUGAAUAUGUGGACUCGUGUGCGCUAUCCCACAUCAAAGAAAGAACUUGUAGUCGUAGUACAGGUUAACCAAGAGUCAAAGCUGGCUUGCUGCAAUCAAACCCCACGAAUCUUCCAUUGAAACAUGAUGCAUAUGUAGACAGUUCUGAUGUAAGUCUUGUUGAGUACCUUUGUACUCACGGUUGCUUUAUUUAUGUUUUGCAGAGAAGAUUUAGUCUGAUUAAAGGUUUCUACGCGAUGUGUUCGAUGUUGACCGGAAUAGCUUGGGAAUCCCAGACAGAGGUCUNNNNNNNNNNNNNNNNNNNNNNNNNNNNNNNNNNNNNNNNNNNNNNNNNNNNNNNNNNNNNNNNNNNNNNNNNNNNNNNNNNNNNNNNNNNNNNNNNNNNNNNNNNNNNNNNNNNNNNNNNNNNNNNNNNNNNNNNNNNNNNNNNNNNNNNNNNNNNNNNNNNNNNNNNNNNNNNNNNNNNNNNNNNNNNNNNNNNNNNNNNNNNNNNNNNNNNNNNNNNNNNNNNNNNNNNNNNNNNNNNNNNNNNNNNNNNNNNNNNNNNNNNNNNNNNNNNNNNNNNNNNNNNNNNNNNNNNNNNNNNNNNNNNNNNNNNNNNNNNNNNNNNNNNNNNNNNNNNNNNNNNNNNNNNNNNNNNNNNGAUGCCAUGUUGUAUCUACACAUAUCGUGCAUAUUGUGUGUAUGUUAUGAAAUGCAUUAUAUGUGUGGGAUUCUACACCUAGUUGUGUGCCUUUAGUAGUACUCUUUACAGGGAAAUGCCUCUUUGUGCUUCUAUCGAGCCUUGGUAGCUUGCUACUGCUCUAGACACAUUGACUGACCGGCGUGUAUCCUUCUUUGCUGCUGUGUCUGUCCCCUCGGGGAAAUGUCACGCGGUGUAAUGGAGUCCUUGUAGCUUGCUACGACUCGNNNNNNNNNNNNNNNNNNNNNNNNNNNNNNNNNNNNNNNNNNNNNNNNNNNNNNNNNNNNNNNNNNNNNNNNNNNNNNNNNNNNNNNNNNNNNNNNNNNNGUAUCUCCGAAGGUGUUCUUUGAGUUAGUAUAGAUCGAGACUGGGAUUUGUCACUCCGUGUGACGGAGAGGUAUCUCGGGGCCCACUCGGUAAUACAACAUCACACAUAAGCCUUGCAAGCAAUGUAACUUAGUGUAAGUUGCGGGAUCUUGUAUUAUGGAACGAGUAAAGAGANNNNNNNNNNNNNNNNNNNNNNNNNNNNNNNNNNNNNNNNNNNNNNNNNNNNNNNNNNNNNNNNNNNNNNNNNNNNNNNNNNNNNNNNNNNNNNNNNNNNNNNNNNNNNNNNNNNNNNNNNNNNNNNNNNNNNNNNNNNNNNNNNNNNNNNNNNNNNNNNNNNNNNNNNNNNNNNNNNNNNNNNNNNNNNNNNNNNNNNNNNNNNNNNNNNNNNNNNNNNNNNNNNNNNNNNNNNNNNNNNNNNNNNNNNNNNNNNNNNNNNNNNNNNNNNNNNNNNNNNNNNNNNNNNNNNNNNNNNNNNNNNNNNNNNNNNNNNNNNNNNNNNNNNNNNNNNNNNNNNNNNNNNNNNNNNNNNNNNNNNNNNNNNNNNNNNNNNNNNNNNNNNNNNNNNNNNNNNNNNNNNNNNNNNNNNNNNNNNNNNNNNNNNNNNNNNNNNNNNNNNNNNNNNNNNNNNNNNNNNNNNNNNNNNNNNNNNNNNNNGAAGAUUGAUAUAUAGGAUGACCUCAUUUGAUUACCGGAAGGUUUUCGGAAUUACCGGGAAUGUACCGGGAAUGACGAAUGGGUUCCGGGAGUUCACCGGAGGGGGGCAACCCACUCCGGGGAAGCCCAUAGGCAUUUGGGGGGGUCACACCAGCCCUUAGUGGGCUGGUGGGACAGCCCACCAAUCCCCUAUGCGCCAAGAGAGAAAAAAUCAAAAGAAAGAAAAAAAAGGAAGAAGUGGGAAGGGGGAAGGACUCCCUCCCACCAAACCAAGUAGGACUCGGUUUGGGGGGGGAGAGUCCCCCCCUGGCUCGGCCGACCCCUUGGGGAUCCCUUGGACCCCAAGUCAAGGUCCCCCUCCCUCCUCCUAUAUAUAUAUGGGGCUUUUAGGGCAGAUUUGAGACGACUUUCUCACGGCUGCCCGACCACAUACCUCCAUAGUUUUUCCUCUAGAUCGCGUUUCUGNNNNNNNNNNNNNNNNNNNNNNNNNNNNNNNNNNNNNNNNNNNNNNNNNNNNNNNNNNNNNNNNNNNNNNNNNNNNNNNNNNNNNNNNNNNNNNNNNNNNUCAACAAGUUUGAUUGGCUAGGGAGAGAGAUCGGGCACUUUUGAGCUUAGGGAGCAACAAUGGAGCUUGGGAGGGUAAGAGAUAAGGUUCCACAGCUAGAAGAACCCUUUAUAUAGGGGGGGGGAAAUCCAACCGUUUUCCCCACUCUCUCCCCGAGCUCCAGCGGUACUACCGCUCGCUGCAGCGGUACUACCGCUGGGCCCCUGGUAGUGCAAAGGCACUACCACCGCCAAGAAAGUCUUCGCAAAAAGGUCCGUCCACGUACAACCGCUAGGCAGGCGGUACUAAGCUCCUGGAGUGGUACUACCGCUGACCAGGGGCGGUACUACCGCCAGCUAGCGGUACUACCGCUCGCUACAGCGGUACUACCGCUAGCACUCCAGCGGUACUACCGCUAGGGCUAGCGGUACUACCGCUAGGGCCAGCGGUACUACCGCUUGGCCCAGCAGUACUACCGCUGGGGGACCAUUUUGCAAAGAGGAAAGAAACACAGAGGCGGGAGCCACUCCAAAGAUGCAGGUAAGGGAAAAUAUGUGAAGUGUGCGUGUGCAAAGAUUGAUUCCACCCAAACCUUUCCACUACGGUUCCCCUCUUAAUAGUACGGCUUUCCUAUGACUCAAAUAAAGAGAANNNNNNNNNNNNNNNNNNNNNNNNNNNNNNNNNNNNNNNNNNNNNNNNNNNNNNNNNNNNNNNNNNNNNNNNNNNNNNNNNNNNNNNNNNNNNNNNNNNNGCGAACUGACCCGAUGGACGCCCUCGCCGGCACCCCCUCACCCCUUCCUACACCCGCGACCCCUCCGCGGCCGUCGCCGCCGCCGCAAACCCUAGCGCGGGGAGCUUUGGCUUCGCCUUCGCAGGUGCUCCUCCAAGCACCGGCGUCGCGCGCGGCCUUUUCAUGACGCCACGGAUGACCUCGGUGGCGGGUGGCCUCGCGCCGGCGCCCAUCGUGAAGCCACGUGCCCCCCUCUCGAAGCGCCCAAAUGCGGCGCGACCGAAGAAGGGCAAGGUUUCCGCGAAGAAGAACAAGGCAACGGACGGCUCCGGCUCCUCCAAGUCGUAACUUGCAGGGCGAGCGACGGCCGCGGCGGCUACCGAAGCACCGAUGAGCUCACUUGUUGAGCCGGCGGCCGACGCGCACAAUGUGUUUGAGGAAAUGCCCCAAAGGUAAAAAUAAUCGCCAACUUUUUCUUGUUGUUAUUUUUUGAAUGCAUACAUAUAGAUAGUGUUGGGGACCGUCGCAUGGGAAACAAAAAAUUUCCUACACGCACGAAGACCUAUCAUGGUGAUGUCCAUCUACGAGAGGGGAUGAGUGAUCUACGUACCCUUGUAGAUCGUACAGCAGAAGCGUUAGUGAACGCGGUUGAUGUAGUGGAACGUCCUCACGUCCCUCGAUCCGCCCCGCGAACAAUCUCGCGAUCAGUCCCACGAUCUAGUACCGAACGGACGACACCUCCGCGUUCAGCACACGUACAGCUCGACGAUGAUCUCGGCCUUCUUGAUCCAGCAAGAGAGACGGAGAGGUAGAAGAGUUCUCCGGCAGCGUGACGGCGCUUCGAAGGUUGGUGAUGACCUUGUCUCAGCAGGGCUCCACCCGAGCUCCGCAGAAACGCGAUCUAGAGGAAAAACCGUGGAGGUAUGUGGUCGGGCUGCCGUGGAAAAGUCGUCUCAAAUCAGCCCUAAAACCUCCGUAUAUAUAGGUGAGAGGGAGGGGAGGAGGCAGCCUCAAAACCUAAAGGUUUGGCCGAAAUUGGAGGUGGAGGAGUCCUACUCCAAUCCUACUUGGAGUAGGAUUCCACCUUCCCACUUGGAAACUCUUUCCACCUUGUGUUUUUUCCUUCUCAAACCUUAUGGGCCUUAGUGGGAACUUAUUCCAGCCCACUAGGGGCUAGUUUUUCUCUUCCCAUAGCCCAUGAGACCCCUUGGGGCGUGACACCCCUCCCGAUGGUCCCCGGCACCCCUCCCGGCACUCCCGGUACACUGUCGAUGAGCCCGAAACUUUUCCGUUAAUGCACGAAAACCUUCCGGUAACCAAAUGAGGUCAUCCUAUAUAUCAAUCUUCGUUUCCGGACCAUUCCGGAAACCCUCGUGACGUCCGUGAUCUCAUCCGGGACGCCAAACAACAUUCGGUAACCAACCAUAUAACUCAAAUACGCAUAAAACAACGUCGAACCUUAAGUGUGCAAACCCUGCGGGUUCGAGAACUAUGUAGACAUGACCCGAGAGACUCCUCGGUCAAUAUCCAAUAGCGGGACCUGGAUGCCCAUAUUGGAUCCUACAUAUUCUGCGAAGAUCUUAUCGUUUGAACCUCAGUGCCAAGGAUUCAUAUAAUCCCGUAUGUCAUUCCCUUUGUCCUUCGGUAUGUUACUUGCCCGAGAUUCGAUCGUUAGUAUCCGCAUACCUAUUUCAAUCUCGUUUACCCGCAAGUCUCUUUACUCGUUCCGUAAUACAAGAUCCCGCAACUUACAUUAAGUUACAUUGCUUGCAAGGCUUGUGUGUGAUGUUGUAUUACCGAGUGGGCCCCGAGAUACCUCUCCGUCACACGGAGUGACAAAUCCCAGUCUCGAUCUAUACUAACUCAACGAACACCUUCGGAGAUACCUGUAGAGCAUCUUUAUAGUCACCCAGUUACGUUGCGACGUUUGAUACACACAAAGCAUUCCUCCGGUGUCCGCGAGUUAUAUGAUCUCAUGGUCAUAGGAACAAAUACUUGACACGGAGAAAACAGUAGCAACAAAAUGACACGAUCAACAUGCUACGUCUAUUAGUUUGGGUCUAGUCCAUCACAUGAUUCUCCUAAUGAUGUGAUCCCGUUAUCAAGUGACAACACUUGCCUAUGGCCAGGAAACCUUAACCAUCUUUGAUCAACGAGCUAGUCAACUAGAGGCUUACUAGGGACAGUGUUUUGUCUAUGUAUCCACACAAGUAUUGUGUUUCCAAUCAAUACAAUUAUAGCAUGGAUAAUAAACGAUUAUCAUGAACUAAGAAAUAUAAUAAUAACUAAUUUAUUANNNNNNNNNNNNNNNNNNNNNNNNNNNNNNNNNNNNNNNNNNNNNNNNNNNNNNNNNNNNNNNNNNNNNNNNNNNNNNNNNNNNNNNNNNNNNNNNNNNNGCAAUAAUAAAUUAGUUAUUAUUAUAUUUCUUAGUUCAUGAUAAUCGUUUAUUAUCCAUGCUAUAAUUGUAUUGAUUGGAAACACAAUACUUGUGUGGAUACAUAGACAAAACACUGUCCCUAGUAAGCCUCUAAUUGACUAGCUCGUUGAUCAAAGAUGGUCAAGGUUUCCUGGCCAUAGGCAAGUGUUGUCACUUGAUAACGGGAUCACAUCAUUAGGAGAAUCAUGUGAUGGACUAGACCCAAACUAAUAGACGUAGCAUGUUGAUCGUGUCAUUUUGUUGCUACUGUUUUCUGCGUGUCAAGUAUUUGUUCCUAUGACCAUGAGAUCAUAUAACUCACGGACACCGGAGGAAUGCUUUGUGUGUAUCAAACGUCGCAACGUAACUGGGUGACUAUAAAGAUGCUCUACAGGUAUCUCCGAAGGUGUUCGUUGAGUUAGUAUAGAUCGAGACUGGGAUUUGUCACUCCAUGUGACGGAGAGGUAUCUCGGGGCCCACUCGGUAAUACAACGUCACACAUAAGCCUUGCAAGCAAUGUAACUUAGUGUAAGUUGCGGGAUCUUGUAUCAUGGAACGAGUAAAGAGACUUGCCGGUAAACGAGGUUGAAAUAGGUAUACGGAUACUGACGAUCGAAUCUCGGGCAAGUAACAUACCGAAGGACAAAGGGAAUGACAUACGGGAUUAUACGAAUCCUUGGCACUGAGGUUCAAACGAUAAGAUCUUCGUAGAAUAUGUAGGAUCCAAUAUGGGCAUCCAGGUCCCACUGUUGGAUAUUGACCGAGGAGUCUCUCGGGUCGUGUCUACAUAGUUCUCGAACCCGCAGGGUCUGCACACUUAAGGUUCGACGUUGUUUUAUGCGUAUUUGAGUUAUAUGGUUGGUUACCGAAUGUUGUUCGGAGUCCCGGAUGAGAUCACGGACGUCACGAGGGUUUCCGGAAUAGUCCGGAAAUGAAGAUUGAUAUAUAGGAUGACCUCAUUUGAUUACCGGAAGGUUUUCGGAAUUACCGGGAAUGUACCGGGAAUGACGAAUGGGUUCCGGGAGUUCACCGGAGGGGGGCAACCCACUCCGGGGAAGCCCAUAGGCAUUUGGGGGGGUCACACCAGCCCUUAGUGGGCUGGUGGGACAGCCCACCAAUCCCCUAUGCGCCAAGAGAGAAAAAAUCAAAAGAAAGAAAAAAAGGAAGAAGUGGGAAGGGGGAAGGACUCCCUCCCACCAAACCAAGUAGGACUCGGUUUGGGGGGGGAGAGUCCCCCCCUGGCUCGGCCGACCCCUUGGGGAUCCCUUGGACCCCAAGUCAAGGUCCCCCUCCCUCCUCCUAUAUAUAUAUGGGGCUUUUUAGGGCAGAUUUGAGACGACUUUCUCACGGCUGCCCGACCACAUACCUCCAUAGUUUUUCCUCUAGAUCGCGUUUCUGCGGAGCUCGGGCGGAGCCCUGCUGAGACGAGAUCAUCACCAACCUCCGGAGCGCCGUCACGCUGCCGGAGAACUCUUCUACCUCUCCGUCUCUCUUGCUGGAUCAAGAAGGCCGAGAUCAUCGUCGAGCUGUACGUGUGCNNNNNNNNNNNNNNNNNNNNNNNNNNNNNNNNNNNNNNNNNNNNNNNNNNNNNNNNNNNNNNNNNNNNNNNNNNNNNNNNNNNNNNNNNNNNNNNNNNNNGUCAAAUUUCGUCGCAAUCGGAGUCCGUCUGGUACCCGAACGGUCGACCGUAGCGGCACCGUAUUCGGUAUAUCGUCGGACGUCAUUUAGUGUUUGAAAUCUCGUUGCCGGGUCGCCCGUUGUCCCUCUCGUCUCCGGAUAACUAUACUACACGGCCACUUACCCAUUCCCGCGUUCGGAAUUAUCCGAUUCCGACCGCACGGUUGGAUCCGGAACGAAAUUCCGGUAAACCUAGCGCCCCCUUUCUCUAUAAAUAGACCUCCUCCUACUUUUUAGAUAGCCCCUCUCCCCUCUCCUCGAAAUCCGCGCCUAACCCUAAUCCUCCCUCACCCUCUCUCCUCCCACCAGCCCCAGCCGCCGCGGGGCCGCCUAUCCCAGAUCGGGCCCGCCGAGCCCAAAUCAGGCCCGGGCAGGCCCCAUCUGGCCGACCGCCGUCGUGUGCCCCGAGCUCCUCCUGCCAGGACCUGCCUCGCCGGAGCAUCCCCGCCAGCCCCUCGCCGGAGCCGACCUCCGCAGCCUCAGGCCGGCCCAGCCUCGAUGCCCUGCUGGCCAUGGCCGCCGACGCAUCGCCGCUCCUCUCCGCCGGUCCCUAUCAGAUCCUCGCCGGCCGUCGUCGUCGUGCCGGCCACCUGCAGCCACCGGCCCUGCGCAGAUUCGCCGCCCCCGCGUCAGAUCACCGCCGCCAUGCCGGUGCUUCGCCCUCCCCCGCCUCGCCUCUGCAGCCCCGCCGUCACGAGCUCCUCCCGCCGCCGUUCCCUUGUCUCGUCGGGAUCGGGCGAGACGAGGAGCCCCGUGGCCAGCGCCACCUACCCCGCUCGGCUGGGCCCCGAGCCGGCCCAGGCCAGGGCGCCCCAGCGGCCCACCAGNNNNNNNNNNNNNNNNNNNNNNNNNNNNNNNNNNNNNNNNNNNNNNNNNNNNNNNNNNNNNNNNNNNNNNNNNNNNNNNNNNNNNNNNNNNNNNNNNNNNCUAUAAUUGUAUUGAUUGGAAACACAAUACUUGUNUGGAUACAUUAGACUAAAACACUGUCCCCUAGUAAGCCUCUAAUUGACUAGCUCGUUGAUCAAAGAUGGUCAAGGUUUCCUGGCCAUAGGCAAGUGUUGUCACUUGAUAACGGGAUCACAUCAUUAGGAGAAUCAUGUGAUGGACUAGACCCAAACUAAUAGACGUAGCAUGUUGAUCGUGUCAUUUUGUUGCUACUGUUUUCUGCGUGUCAAGUAUUUGUUCCUAUGACCAUGAGAUCAUAUAACUCACGGACACCGGAGGAAUGCUUUGUGUGUAUCAAACGUCGCAACGUAACUGGGUGACUAUAAAGAUGCUCUACAGGUAUCUCCGAAGGUGUUCUUUGAGUUAGUAUAGAUCGAGACUGGGAUUUGUCACUCCGUGUGACGGAGAGGUAUCUCGGGGCCCACUCGGUAAUACAACAUCACACAUAAGCCUUGCAAGCAAUGUAACUUAGUGUAAGUUGCGGGAUCUUGUAUUAUGGAACGAGUAAAGAGACUUGCCGGUAAACGAGGUUGAAAUAGGUAUACGGAUACUGACGAUCGAAUCUCGGGCAAGUAACAUACCGAAGGACAAAGGGAAUGACAUACGGGAUUAUACGAAUCCUUGGCACUGAGGUUCAAACGAUAAGAUCUUCGUAGAAUAUGUAGGAUCCAAUAUGGGCAUCCAGGUCCCGCUAUUGGAUAUUGACCGAGGAGUCUCUCGGGUCAUGUCUACAUAGUUAUCGAACCCGCAGGGUCUGCACACUUAAGGUUCGACGUUGUUUUAUGCGUAUUUGAGUUAUAUGGUUGGUUACCGAAUAUUGUUCGGAGUCCCGGAUGAGAUCACGGACGUCACGAGGGUUUCCAGAAUAGUCCGGAAACGAAGAUUGAUAUAUAGGAUGACCUCAUUUGAUUACCGGAAGGUUUUCGGAAUUACCGGGAAUGUACCGGGAAUGACGAAUGGGUUCCGGGAGUUCACCGGAGGGGGGCAACCCACUCCGGGGAAGCCCAUAGGCAUUUGGGGGGGGGGUCACACCAGCCCUUAGUGGGCUGGUGGGACAGCCCACCAAUCCCCUAUGCGCCAAGAGAGAAAAAAUCAAAAGAAAGAAAAAAAAGGAAGAAGUGGGAAGGGGGAAGGACUCUCUCCCACCAAACCAAGUAGGACUCGGUUUGGGGGGGGGAGAGUCCUCCCCCCUAGCUCGACCGACCCCUUGGGGAUCCCUUGGACCCCAAGGCAAGGUCCCCCUCCCUCCUCCUAUAUAUAUGGGGCUUUUAGGGCAGAUUUGAGACGACUUUCUCACGGCUGCCCGACCACAUACCUCCAUAGUUUUUCCUCUAGAUCGCGUUUCUGUGGAGCUCGGGCGGAGCCCUGCUGAGACGAGAUCAUCACCAACCUCCGGAGCACCGUCACGCUGCCGGAGAACUCUUCUACCUCUCCGUCUCUCUUGCUGGAUCAAGAAGGCCGAGAUCAUCGUCGAGCUGUACGUGUGCUGAACGCGGAGGUGCCGUCCGUUCGGUACUAGAUCGUGGGACUGAUCGCGGGAUUGUUCGCGGGGCGGAUCGAGGGACGUGAGGACGUUCCACUACAUCAACCGCGUUCUCUAACGCUUCUGCUGUACGAUCUACGAGGGUACGUAGAUCACUCAUCCCCUCUCGUAGAUGGACAUCACCAUGAUAGGUCUUCGUGCGCGUAGGAAAAUUUUUGUUUCCCAUGCGACGUUCCCAACAGUGGUAUCAGAGCUAGGUUCAUGCGUAGAUGUCUUCUCGAGUAGAACACAAAAGUUUUUGUGGGCGGUGAUGUGCGUUUUGCUGCCCUCCUUAGUCUUUUCUUGAUUCCGCGGUAUUGUUGGAUUGAAGCGGCUUGGACCGACAUUACUCGUACGCUUACGAGAGACUGGUUUCAUCGUUACGAGUAACCCCCUUUGCUCAAAGAUGACUGGCAAGUGACGGUUUCUCCAACUUUAGUUGAAUCGGAUUUGACCGAGGAGGUCCUUGGAUGAGGUUAAAUAGCAACUCAUAUAUCUCCGUUGUGGUGUUUGCGUAAGUAAGAUGCGAUCCUACUAGAUACCCAUGGUCACCACGUAAAACAUGCAACAACAAAAUUAGAGGAUGUCUAACUUGUUUUUGCAGGGUAUGCUUGUGAUGUGAUAUGGCCAACGAUGUGAUGUGAUAUAUUGGAUGUAUGAGAUGAUCAUGUUGUAAUAGAAAAUAUCGACUUGCACGUCGAUGGUACGGCAACCGGCAGGAGCCAUAGGGUUGUCUUUAUAACUAACGUUUGUGCUUGCAGAUGCGUUUACUAUUUUGCUAGGACGUAGCUUUAGUAGUAAUAGCAUGAGUAGCACGACAACCCCGAUGUCGACACGUUGAUGGAGAUCAUGAUGAUGGAGAUCAUGGUGUGACGCCGGUGACAAGAAGAUCGUGCCGGUGCUUUGGUGAUGGAGAUCAAGAAGCACGUGAUGAUGGCCAUAUCAUGUCACUUAUGAAUUGCAUGUGAUGUUAAUCCUUUUAUGCACCUUAUUUUGCUUAGAACGACGGUAGCAUUAUGAGGUGAUCUCUCACUAAAAUUUCAAGACGAAAUUGUGUUCUCCCCGACUGUGCACCGUUGCUACAGUUCGUCGUUUCGAGACACCACGUGAUGAUCGGGUGUGAUAGACUCAACGUUCACAUACAACGGGUGCAAAACAGUUGCGCACGCGGAACACUCGGGUUAAGCUUGACGAGCCUAGCAUGUGCAGACAUGGCCUCGGAACACAUGAGACAGAAAGGUCGAGCAUGAAUCGUAUAGUUGAUAUGAUUAGCAUAGAGAUGCUUACCACUGAAACUAUUCUCGACUCACGUGAUGAUCGGACUUGAGAUAGUGGAUUUGGAUCAUGUACCACUCAAAUGACUAGAGAGAUGUACUUUUGGAGUGGGAGUUCUUAAGUAAUAUGAUUAAUUGAACUAAUUGUCAUGAACAUAGUCUAAUGGUCAUUGCGAAUUAUGAUGUAGCAUGCGCUAUAGCUCUACUGUUUUUAUAUGUUCCUAGAGAAAAAUUAGUUGAAAGUUGAUAGUAGCAAACUUUGCAGACAGAGUCUGUAAAACCGAGGAUUGUCCUCAUUGCUACGCAUAAGGCUUAUGUCCUCAAUACACCACUCGGUGUGCUGCACCUCGAGCGUCGUCUCUGGAUGCUAUGAACAUCCGACAUACACGUUUCUGAUGACUACACGAUAGUUCAGUGCAAAAUACUUAAUGGCUUAGAAGCAACGCGCCGAAAACGUUGUAAAACGUCACGGAACAUAAGUGAUGUUCUAAAGAGAUGAAAUUGUGAUUUCAUGCUUGUGCCCUUGUUAAGAGGUACGAGACCUCCAACAAGAUUCUUUGUCCACAAAGUAAAGGAGAAAAGCUCAAUCGUUGAGCGUGUGCUCAGAUUGUCUGAGUACGACGAUCACUUGAAUCAAGUGGGAGUUAAUCUUCCAGAUGAGAUAGUGAUGGUUCUCCAAAGUCACUGCCACCGAGCUGUGAGAGCUUCGUGAUGAACUAUAACAUAUCAAGGAUAGAUACAAUGAUCCUUGAGCGAUUCGCGAUGUUUGGCACUGCGAAAGUAGAAAUCAAGAAGGAGCGUCAAUAGUUGAUGGUUUGUAAAACCACUAAGUUUCAAGAAAGGCGAGGGCUAGAAGGGAUACUUUGUGAAACGGCAAAACAGUUGCUGCACUAAUGAAGAGACCCAAGAUUAAACCCAAACCCGAGACUAAGUGCUUCUGUAAUGAGGGGAACAGUCACUGAGGCGAAGCAACUCUAGAUACUUGGUAGAUAAGAAGGCUGGCGAAAGUCGAAAGAAGUGUAUUUGAUAUACAUGAUGUUGAUGUGUACUUUACUAGUACUCCUAGUAGCAUGAGGGUAUUGGAUACCGGUUCGGUUGCUAAAUGAUUAGUAACACGAAAUGAAAGCUACGGCAUAAACGGAGACUAGCUAAAGGCGAGGUGACGAUACGUGUUGGAAGUGUUUCCAAGGUUGAUAUGAUCAAAACGUCGCACGCUCCCUCUACCAUCGGGAUUGGUGUUAAACCUAAAUAAUUGUUAUUUGGUGCUUGCGUUAAGCAUGAAAAUGAUUGGAUCGUGUUUAUUGCAAUACGAUUAUUCAUUUAAGGAGAAUAAUGGUUACUCUAUUUUCUUGAAUAAUCACCAUCAAUGGUUUAUUGAAUCUCGAUUGUAGUGUUACACAUGUUCAUGAUAUUGGUGCCAAAAGAUACGAGUUAAUGAUGAUAGUACCACUUACUUGUGGCACUGCCGCUUGAAGUCAUGUUAGUAUAAAUUGCAUGAAGAGGCUCCAUGCUGAUGGAUCUUUGUACUCACCUGAUUUCGAAUCACUAGUGACAUGCAAAUCAUACCACAUGAGCAAGGCCUUGUUUUCAUUGAGAUGAAAUAAGAUAGUAACUUGUUGGAAGUGAUACAUUUUGAUGUAUGCAGUCCAAUGGGUGCUGAGGCACGUAGUGGAUAUCAUUAUGUUCUUACUUCACUGACGAUUUGAGUAGAUACAUGAGUAUUUACUUAAUGAAUCACAAGUCUGAAAUGUUGAAAAGUUCAAUUCCGUUUCAGAGUGAAGUUCGUCGUAACAAGAGGAUAAACUGUCUACGAUAUGAUCAUGGAAAUGAAUAUCUGAGUUACGAGUUUUGGUACGCGGUUAAGACAAUGUGGAAAUUGUUUCGCAGUUCAUGCCACCUGGAACAUCAUAGUGUGAUGAUGUGUCUGAACGUCAUAGCCACGCACUAUUUAGUAUGGUGUAUGCUGUGAUGUCUCUUAUCGAAUUACCACUAUCGUUUAUGGGUUAUGCAUUAGAGACAACCGCAUUCACUUUAAAUAGGGCACCGCGUAUUUCCGUUGAGAUGACACAGUAUAGACUGAGGUUUAGAGAAAUCUAAACUGUCGUUUCUUGAAAGUUUGGGGCUUCGACACUUAUGUGAAAAAGUUUCAGUCUGAUAAGCUCGAACCCAAAGCGGAUAAAUGCAUCUUCAUAGGAUAUCCAAAACAGUUGGGUACAUCUCCUAUCUCAGAUCCGAAAGCAAAGUGUUUGUUUCUAGAAACGGAUCCUUUCUCGAGGAAAGGUUUAUCUCGAAAGAAUUGAGUGGGAGGGUAGUAGAACUUCAUGAGGUUAUUGAACCAUCACUUCAACCAGUGUGUAGCAGGGCGCAGGAAGUUGUUCAUGUGGCGCCUACACCAAUUGAAGUAGAAGCUGAUGAUGAUGAUCAUUGAGAUUCGAAUCAAGUUACUACAAACCUCGUAGGUCGACAAGGUCGCGUACUGCUGCAGAGUAGUACGGUAACCCUGUCUUGGAGGUCAUGUUGUUGAGCAACAGUGAACCUACGAGUUAUGGAGAAAGCGAUGGUGGGCCCAGAUUCCGACAAAUGGCUGGAAGCCAUGAAAUCCGAGAGAGGAUCCAUGUGUGAAAACAAAGUGUAGACUUUGGUAGAACUACUUGAUGGUCAUAGGACUAUUGAGUAAAAAAAUGAAUCUUUAAAAGAAGACAGACGAUGAUGGUGAUUAGUCACUAUUAAGAAAAGCUCGACUUGUCGCAAAGAUGUUUUCGAUAAGAUCAAACAGUUGACUAUGAUGAGACUUUCUCACUCGUAGCGAUGCUAAAAGUAUGUUAGAAUUAUGUUAGUAGUUGCUGCAUUAUUUAUGAAAUAUUGCACGUAGGAUGUCAAAACAUUGUUUUCUCGACGGUUUCCUUGAGCAAACAUUGUAUGUGAUACAACCAGAAGGUUUUGUCGAUCCUAAAGAUACUAGCAAGUAUGCAAGCUCCAGUGAUCCUUCAAUGGACUGGUGCAAGCAUCUCGGAGUUGGAAUAUACACUUUGAUGAGAUGAUCAAAGAUUUUGGGUUUGUACAAGGUUUAUGAGAAACUUGUAUUUCCCAAGAAGUGAGUGGGAGCACUAUAGAAUUUCUGAUAGGUAUAUGUGGUUGACAUAUUGUGGAUCAGAAGUAAUGUAGAAUUUCUGUAAAGCAUACAAGGUUGUUUGAAAGAAGUUUUCAAAGGAGUACCUGGAUUACGCUACUUGAACGUUGAGCAUCAAAGAUCUAUGGAGAUAGAUCGAAAGCGCUUAAUAGAAGUUUCAACAAGAUGCAUGCCUUGACAAGUUUUUGAAAGAGUUCAAAAUAGACCAGCAAAGAAGGAGUUCUUGGUUGCAUUGUGAGGUGUGAAUUUGAGUAAGACUGAAAACCCGACCACGGCAGAAUAAAGAGAAUAGACGAAGGUCGUCUUCUAUGCCUUAGCCGUAGAAUCUAAAGUAUGCCAUGCUGUGUACCGCACCUGAAGUGUGCCUUGACUCAAAGUAUGUUGAGAGGUACAGAGAGUGAUGCAUGAUUGAAUCACUAGCAGCGGUCGAAAUUUAUCCUUAGUAACUAAUGGACUAAGGAAUUUUUCUCGAUUAUGGAGGUGGUUAAAUAGUUUGUCGUAAAGGGUUACGUCAAUGCAAGCUUUGACACUAAUCCGGAUAACUAUGAGUAGUGAAACGGAUUCGUAUAGUAGAGUAGAUAUUUGGAGCUUUUCCGAAUAGCACGUAGUAGCAGCAUCUAUAAGAUGACAUAAAGAUUUGUAAAGAACGCAUGAAUCUGAAAGUUUCAGAACCGUUGACUAAAACCUCUCUCACGAGCAAGACGUGAUCAGACCCCAUAACUAUAUGGGUGUUGGAUUCGUUGGAAUCACAUGGUGAUGUGAACUAGAUUAUAGACUCUAGUGCAAGUGGGAGACUGUUGGAAAUAUGCCCUAGAGGCAAUAAUAAAUUAGUUAUUAUUAUAUUUCUUAGUUCAUGAUAAUCGGUUAUUAUCCAUGCUAUAAUUGUAUUGAUUGGAAACACAAUACUUGUGUGGAUACAUAGACAAAACACUGUCCCUAGUAAGCCUCUAAUUGACUAGCUCGUUGAUCAAAGAUGGUCAAGGUUUCCUGGCCAUAGGCAAGUGUUGUCACUUGAUAACGGGAUCACAUCAUUAGGAGAAUCAUGUGAUGGACUAGACCCAAACUAAUAGACGUAGCAUGUUGAUCGUGUCAUUUUGUUGCUACUGUUUUCUGCGUGUCAAGUAUUUGUUCCUAUGACCAUGAGAUCAUAUAACUCACGGACACCGGAGGAAUGCUUUGUGUGUAUCAAACGUCGCAACGUAACUGGGUGACUAUAAAGAUGCUCUACAGGUAUCUCCGAAGGUGUUCUUUGAGUUAGUAUAGAUCGAGACUGGGAUUUGUCACUCCGUGUGACGGAGAGGUAUCUCGGGGCCCACUCGGUAAUACAACAUCACACAUAAGCCUUGCAAGCAAUGUAACUUAGUGUAAGUUGCGGGAUCUUGUAUUAUGGAACGAGUAAAGAGACUUGACCGGUAAACGAGGUUGAAAAUAGGUAUACGGAUACUGACGAUCGAAUCGUCGGGCAAGUAACAUACCGAAGGACAAAGGGANNNNNNNNNNNNNNNNNNNNNNNNNNNNNNNNNNNNNNNNNNNNNNNNNNNNNNNNNNNNNNNNNNNNNNNNNNNNNNNNNNNNNNNNNNNNNNNNNNNNAUUUUACUUGCAUUUCGCCUUAAGGAUGGAUCCUUGUUAGAAAAAACACGUCAUAUAUCAAGCCCUAAUCCAUCUGCGGGUCUCCUUCGGUUGUUGAGGAUGAUGUAUUGAUGUGCACAUGUCCCUCAUGGUAGAAGCGACAUCUAGGCUCGUUCCUUCCCCACAACCAACUGCUCGGACCAAUACACAAGAUAUGACUAGGAGGAGUUCUCGGAGAUGUCGUUGACUUCUUUCGAGUAUGAGUGCGUGUUGCACUAUUGGGGCAAGAAGGCCUCGUGGAACAACCGAGUCUUCACAUCCAAGAAGCGGGAUGCUCUUCGGAUGGCCGACGAACAUCUCGACAUGACACAUCUCGGGCUCAAGGAUGCGACCGACAUCUUUGCGAGUGAUGCAGAGGUAAAAAACAUAUUUAUGAUUGAAUUAUAUGCGACUGUGCAUAAAAUAACCUUCGGGGUGUGUGUCGUACUGAUGAAGUGUCCCGAAUUGGGAUCUUAGCGGUGCCGGUGACCUUCCUCCCUCACCAAUCUUCGUCGCACACCUUCGUCGUUUGUGUGACGUCGACCCUUGACGUUUCGAGCCUCUCGUGGCGACAAUCACGCACGGUCUUCAUUUGUGUGGUGUCUCACGUAAAAUCAUGCUACGCAUAUGUAGCUGCCGGGGUCGUGGGAAAUGGUGGCCACAACACAUCCUGAUUUCUAUUUGGUGGUUUGUCUCGAGUCCCGGGGUGAAAACCCUAGGUACGGAUGCACACUGUCAAAUAUAUGAGAAUCAUAUGGUGCUCUUUGACCGUUGAAACAAUUCAACAUAGGAGGAUCAAAUGGCACGAACAGGUUCCCAAUCUUAUGGAUCGCCUUCAGAUUUUCGCUGCUUCUUCCAAAGCAGAUCCCUUCUUACAUCCAAGUAGGAUACAUAGAUUCUCAGAAAAUAAUCACGAUUCUAAAAGAAGUGAUUCUCAAAAAUAGAAUCAAGAUACACAGGCAGCUAAUAAAUGGCUAAUGGACAUAUCAUCAAAGCAACAGAUGAGAAAAUAUUGAGGCUGAGACAAUAUCUGGGCACAAUUUAUUAUCAAACCAGAGCACGGGAAUGCUCAUUUAAGUACAAGAUUCGACAGGAUCGCAAGCACAAGCCNNNNNNNNNNNNNNNNNNNNNNNNNNNNNNNNNNNNNNNNNNNNNNNNNNNNNNNNNNNNNNNNNNNNNNNNNNNNNNNNNNNNNNNNNNNNNNNNNNNNGCUAUUUUGCGCGCGCUAAAAGUUAAUUUUACAGCGCGGCGUUGUUUUAGCGCGGCUGUUGGAGACGCUCUAAUACCUCGAAGAAGCUUAUAAAGAUAGGCGUGCGUGUGUAUUUUCAUAAUUGUAUGUGAUCAUCUUCGUUUGAACGCGCCUCUCAAAGGAAAAAAUGAUUGUACGUGUCCAAAAAAGAAAAGAACGCGCAUCUAGAAAAUAAACAUAUGUAAAAACAAGGAAGUAAACGAAGCAGAGAUUGUUCGAAAUAAUUUAAWUUCAGCCCCUUGGAAGCGGAGUACUGCAUUGCGAGUACUAGAGGCCUAAUUGCUACAGUAACGAAGCUUCAUCCGAAGAAGCUAAAGUCAAUCAAUCAUCAAAACUAAAGUGCUGGAGAAAGGAAAUGCGCGGAUCUCGAUGCGCCGCUGGCGCACUACCCACCGUGAUCACUUGCGUCGGUCGCCAAUCCGAAAAGAUAUCUAUAUAGGAGUAUAUCAGAAAAACAGAAUAGAGUGGAGCACUAGAAAAAGCUCGUGCAAAAACAAGGACGAGUAGUAGUACUACUCGAAAUGGUUGAAGAAACGGAAGCCCCUAGAAGCGCGGGGCCCAUUGACCAGCCGCACCCUCCACCACACCUCACCUACCCGCUCCCUCUCCCACUCCACCUGCUCCAUCGGAAGGGAGCAGCAGUGAGGCUCCAUUGCCUAUUUAGCCGAGACCCCGAGCGCGGUCAUUUCCCCCAUCCCGUCCCGUCCCAUCCCAUCCCAUCCGAGAAGAAGAGAUAGAAAAAAARGUUCGAGGGCGUUGCGGAGUGAGAAGAGACGAGAUGSSUCCGGUGAAGCUGUACGGCGCGACCCUGUCGUGGAACGUCACCAGGUGCGUGGCGGCGCUGGAGGAGGCCGGCGUCGAGUACGAGCUCGUCCCCAUCAACUUCAGCACCGGCGAGCACAAGAGCCCCGACCACCUCGCCAGGAACGUACGUGCCCUACC